AAGCUAAGAUAUCUUGAUGUUCAAGUGUUCACUCUGAAAGAGAUACCCGCUGGACUUUUACCAAAACUCGUUCACCUUCAGCACUUGGGUUUUCAUAAGGACAAUAAAAGAACCAGUCUAAAAGCAGAGGAGAUGGAACCAUUGAAGAAGUUGGAGAACUUAACCGGACAUUUCGAAGACGUCAGUGAAUUCAGUAAGUUCAUCUCCUCAAUGCAACAAAGUAAGAAAAAUCUCAUCAAGUACGAUUUACAGGUGGGCUCAUCUUUUAUGCGUGCUACAAGAGAUAAAACAGUAACAAUUGGAGGAUUCCAUGAUUGGGAAGGUGAGUUAAUUAUGCACCCAAUUGAAAUUCAACAGUUGAAUAUUUUAAAGUGCCACAAUUUAAGAAGCUUAGUCAAUGAUAAUUCUUCCUUCAAAAAUGCGAUUGGCUUGAGGGUUUGGUGGUGUGAAGGGAUAGAGUGUGUUGUUUCCCUGUCCUCUUUUGCCUCUUCUUCCGCUCAUCCAUUUCAGAGCCUCGAGAUGUUGGAUCUUAGUGAGCUACCAAAGUUGAGUGCCCUUAUUAUGAAAGAUGAAGGAAUUGGUCCAGCAACAACAUCAACAUUGGCUCCGUCUGCCGCCUUUUCCCAUCUUAAGGAAAUUACGAUAGACAGCUGCUCAAGUAUGAAGACGUUGCUUCCACAUUGGUUGCUUCCAAACCUCCAAAACCUGGAAGUAAUAUCAGUGUCACACUGUGAUAAGGUAGCAGAAAUAUUGGGAGCACCAACAUCAGAAGUUGAAGAAAAAGGGAGUGAUGCAUUAAUCAAAUUCCAUCUUCCUAAAUUGAGAAAGUUGAAAUUGUGGAGAUUACCAAAUUUGACGAGCAUAUGCAGCAAAAGUGGAGUGAUGGUUUGCGAUUCUCUCCAAGUUAUCCAAGUUGCUGGAGACUGUUAUAAACUGAAGAGAAUUCCUCCAUUUGUUCCCCUUGUUGGCAAUGGGCAGCCAUUUGCAUAUGCUCCACCUUCUCUUACCAUCAGGUCAUGGAAAGAAUGGUGGGAAUGGUUGGAGUGGGAUGACCAUCCAAACUUUAAAAAUGUUCUUCAACCCCUUUGGAAGGAUGGAAGGUAUGAACCAUUUAUAGCUUAGUUUAUUUUAUUUAAUUUAUAAAUCUAAUUUCUGAAUUUUAAAACCAUUUCAUGUUAUAUUUUAUUUUUGUUAUAAGAUGAUGCUGCCUCCAUUGCCGCCAAAGAAGUAGAAGAGAGUAGCAGCGCGGAGGAUGGUGCAAAAAAGGCGGGAAUAAAAGGAAUGAUGGAGCAUUGAGGAAUUGAGCAGCCACCAUAAUAAUUGACUCCUUUUCCAUUUUAAUAACAAAUUAUUUUAUUUGUAUUUUUAUAUAAAACAAUUAAAUUCAAAUAUUAUAUAAAAAAUCUUUAUAUGUUCUUAAUUGAAUUGAUGUAAUUCGUUAAUUGAAUUUUAAUAUUAUUUUCAUAAAAUAACAAAUAUUAUUUUGAGAAUAUUUUUAUUUUUUACAUAAAAUUUUAAAAUAUAUAUGUACAUGUUGAAAUUUAAAUCUAAAACAUCACAUUCUUUAAUACCUCAAUUCUAUUAUUUAAAAUUAUAGUACUCUUUACUUAUAUUGAUCUAUUGGCAUAAUCUUAAUUAGAUAUGUUUGUAUUGAUCGUAAAGUGAAAUUAUUUUUCUUAACAUUUAUAAUUGAUUAAUAUUAAAAUAUUUGAAAUUAAAAAUAAAUUUCUAAAAUUAAUUUUAAAAAAAAUUAGAUUUAAAAUGGAAUUAAAAUAUAAUAUCAAAUUAUUACUACCUUUAUAGUAUAAUUUAUUGGAUAAACUACACCGUAGGUUAUUCUAAAACAACAUUAUUUCUAUUUUGGUCACUUUAUUUUUUUAUCAAUUUAGUCACUUUAAUUAAAAUAAUUGCUUGAAUUAGACAUUGACAUGACAUUUUUUUUUACUUUUGACUAAAGCUAGGGAUUUUUCUAUUAGCCCAAAACAUUUGUUUUUGUUUAUUUGCAGCAUAAGAACCACAUAUCCUUGUCGCCACUCAUCCCCUGCUUUCCAUCUCUAUUGCUCCUCACUGCACCAUAAGAACUACGUUUCAUCACAAUGGUGUACAAAGAGUGUUGGUUGUGUUUUGACUAUCGUACAAAUUAGUGUAGAAAUACAAACGGCAAACUUCCAAGUGGAUACUAUUGGGAAACUAUAGGUGAAGUUGGAGUGAAAGACACAAGCCGUCAUGUAAGGACCUACGGCUAUCGUCGAAUCUUGCAUGGCGACUGGGGAUAUGGCAGAUUUUUUAGUUCUGACGAGGAACUUGGAUCCGAUAUCCAGAGUCCAUUUCCACUUAUCGUUAUUGUAUAGCUCAGAUUUUUCGCCAAGAAUCUUCUUGGUUAGAACAUAGUCAAUAGCUAAGACAAGGUGAAAGAGAAGCAACAAGGAAGCUAAAAUGGUAACAAGCUUGGGAAAGGAUUGAGUAGAAACUGACUUCUUCAUGGACUCAGUAUGGGAUCCAGGAAGGGAAAAACUCAAUCUUUAAGAACAAAUGAAAAAAACCAAAGGAAUCCGCUUUCAAAUAAAUUUACCUUUGAGGCUUUGUUAGUGUUUUGGAUUAAUUAUAGAGAGGUUCCUAAUUUUAGUAAAAAGUAAAAAAAUGAAUGUCAUGUCAACAAUCAGUUAGUGGGUUAAUGCGAUAGUGACCAAUUCAAAUAAUUAGUAUAAUAAAAAAAAUUGCUCUUUAACUUUUAAAUAUUAUAUCAGUUUGGCAUAAUUUUAAAAAAAUAAUCUUCAAAAUUACAAAUGAUCUCUAUUUCAUCAUCAAAUUUUACCUACCUUUUCUGCUUCCCCACGGUCACUACUAUGGUUGCCUCCAUAUCCUCCUCCACCCUUCUUCAAACAAAAAAAAAAAAAAAAAACUUCUCUUUUUUUUUAUUUGAACCUAAUUUAUCGUUAAAUAGUAGUAGAUAUAUUCUGUUUGUAUGAUUUCUGGGUUGACAUAUUCUUUUCAGCUGAAUGCUAAUAAUAACAAUAAUAUGAUGAAACAGUGGAAUAAUUUCUGAUGUGACGGCCUUCAUUUCGCUCACUAGUUGCAUGUUUAUUGUUCAUGCACUGAUUAAACAAGAUUUGAAAAGGCUAAAAGCAUGAGCAUGCAACACUGAAUUGUCAAAUACUCAAUAGUAUAAGAUUGAAAUGGUGUUAUUUUGCAGGAAGAAUGGGUGAUUGCAGAAUAAUACACAAAACAGGCGAGAAGAAAAAUGGGGUAGCUGCUGCGCAAGGACAAGGUUAUCUCUUGGAACUUUCUUCAAUAUCUUCAACAGCAAAGCAACAACUAAUUGCUUUCGUCCACUGCUUGAAAUCCCAAUUCCAUUGUUAGAAUCUCAAGCUCAAACUUCAGAGCAGGCUGCCCCUAACUCUUUUACAGAAAAUGACCUGAAAAAGCCUAAUAAACCCAGUUGUUUAUCCAACUAAUAAUGGGUUCCAACCCUCCUUUUCAGCCACUUCCACCUAGCACACUUGAUUUAUAAAUUUUGAAAUUUAGUUUUUUAAAAUUAUGAUCAAAUUGAUAUAUUAUAUCAAAGUUGAGAGAUAAAUUUAUUGUUAUAUCAAUUUUUUAACUGCCACAUCACCCUCCGAUUAGAGUUUUAAGGCACUUAACGAAAAUGGAUAAAAAAAACAAUCUUAAUUAGUUGAGUGACCAAAUUAAAAAUAAAUUAAUAGUUGGUGACCAAAAAGAAAAGGUACAAUAAUUAGAUGACCUGUGAUGUAGUUUACCCAUAUCUUUUUAAAAGCGUAUAAAUAUUUAUAAAUGUCAUCAUUCGUAUAGAAAUGUCACAAAUAUUAAAUCAUUAAAUUGCAUGUUUCAAAACAAAAUUAUUAAUUCAUUUUUUAAGAUUAGUAAUUAAUAGAAAUAGGAUCAAAAACAUCCAUACUAAACUUAACUAAACAGACUUACAAUUCGGUCACUCAUGUUUUCGGAAUUGUUUGUUUUCUUCACUCGACUGUUAAGUGACGCUUGUUUUAAUUGAUAUAAUAAUAAUAAUUAUAAUAAUAAUAAUGAUAAUUUUAGUCCUCAAUUUUUAUAUUUUUUAUCAAUUUGACCUUAAUUUUAUACAAAAAUUAUAAAAAAAACCUCCAAAUUAUGUAUAAAAUAUAAAUUUUUAUAUAAAAAUUCUAGAAAAAUAAAAUCUUGAAUAUGUUGUUACAUAACUAAAUUGUAUAAGAAAUAAAGAAAAUCAGCAUUUAAUAGAAUCUAAUAAUAAAUUAAAAAUAAAAUAAAAAGUUAGAUCAUUACAUGCUUCAUCAAUGUUUCUCGAAAUCAAAUUAGUAAUAUUAUUAAGUUGAGUUUCAUGUCCUUAAAGAACAUCUAGAAUUGAUAUUGCAGAGGCUUAUGAAAUUGACCUUGAUGUCAUUUUUUUUUUAGCCAAAAGCUAUUAUGUUUCAAACUCAAUUCAAUUUUUCGUUACAUUUAAAUUAUUUUUUGAAACUCAAAUUGUAAAACGAAAUCAUAUUCAAAAGUUUAUCUUCUCUUGUAAGGUAAAAAUUAUAUCAAGAAAUAGAAAAAGUAAAAAACAGAGAACAAAUAAAUCAGCUUAAUAUUUGUUUUUUAUGUUUGUUUUUAAAGAACGAGUAUUGGAUAUUUCGAUAUACAUAAUAUAGAGAAUUUCUGUAGGGUUUAAAAACAAUUAUCCCUCAUUUUCUCACACUUUAUUUAUUUUUGAAAAUUUUAUCAACUUUUAUUUAAUUUUUAAUUUUAUAAUGUACUAAAAUUUUAAAAAUAAUUUAUUUUUUUACCAUUUUAUAUAUUAUCAAGAUUAAAUCGAGUAAAAAUAUAAAACUUAAAAAAGACUAAAAUAACAAUUAUAUUAAUUAAAAGAAUACCACUUAACAAUGGAGUAUGUAAGAAAUUGUUCAAGAGUUAAAUCCAAAAUGUAAUAUCAACAACACAAGUUAUUUACUACAACACCAAUAACUAUAUAUAUAUAUAUUUAUACCUAAUACAUGUCAUUUACUAGUAUAUUAGACAUUCUUAUACCCUGCUUUCCCAUACAUUCCCAUUAUGAUGAUGAUGAUGAUGAUGAUGAUGAUGAUGUUACAAUUGAGCACCAAGAUGACUGCAAAACUUGUUAGUAUUGUCCAGAAUGAAUGGAAAGGACAUUUCCAUGGAUUUUAGACCUCAUAUCUAUCUUUCAAAUUUGAGAGCAGAUUCAAGGUUUUAUCAAGUAGAAAUGUCAGUAUCAAAUACCCAAAAUGCCAACUAAUAAUGGCAGACAGCAAAGCAAAAAGCUAAAAGAAAAUAUGGGAUUUCUUACUAAUAAUCCUGCCUUUGUGGAACCCACCACAGAAGUGAAUGCCUCAUUAUUUUGCCUGUUUUUAUCUUCACUUUGUUCCUUGUUUUGCUAUUGUACCCACAACAUUCUUUCUUCUUCACUGUUUUUAUCAAGCAUCCAGUCAAGGUAAUUUUGUUUCAUUUGCUUAAUCCAUGACAUGCUUUUCAUUGCUUAGUUCAUGACUAUGCAAUGAUUGUUUUUUAUUAUCUGCUUCAGUUAUAGCAGUUUGCUUUGUAAGAUAGUCAAGGGAGUGAACUUCACUGCUUCAUUUUCAGUUCUAAUAACACUUUUCAGCCAGUAGGUCAGGCAAUUUCUGCUUCCCAUUCUUUGAUCCUUAAAUAUGCAAUUCAGCUCAUUUGAAAAUUUGUUUGCUUAUUAUCAACUCAUGACAUGAUUUCCUUUGCUUUUACAUAACAAGAAAGAUGAAUAAUUGUAAUAAGAUCUGAAGCUAUGCUUUCCUCUGCUGAUUAUCAACAGUUUUAGAUUUCCAGACUGGAUGAUCAGCAGACAUAAUCUACUAUAGUUAGAAAUUAAUACCAAAAGAGCUACCCAGAAGCAACAUAAUGCUGAAAUCCCAAACUGUUGAACAUUUUACCUCUUAAUAUUCUGUUGCACACUUGAAUCUAGCAUUUUCUAUACAUUGAGAGGUUAAUUCUGGAUAUACAAAUUUCAUCAUGUUUCUGUCUGCCACCCAUCCAUAGCUCCAUCUAAUAAACGCCAUUGCUUGAAACUUGCAUUCAUGCUUACACUGACAUAUCAAAAAGCCAAUACAUUCACAGAUUUUCAUUAUCUGCUACUGUUAUAUAUGAUUGCGUUGCAGGGACAUAGCAAUGGAGUACGUUGCAAAUUGUCUCGGAACUCCGGCUUGUAAAUACUUGCAAUAUCACAGAAAGCUCAAUGAUUAUGUGAGAAACUUCAAGAGGAUGAGAGAUGAGUUGAAUUGCAAAAUGGAAGAUAUAGAGCUGCAAUUGAGGUUGAGCUGUUUUUAUUUUCAAAAAUAAAUAUUUAUUUUCUUUUGCAUUUAUUUCUAAUAUCACCAUAAAUUGUUUAGGGUUGUGGAUUUUGGGGAUUUUGGGUUUUGAGUUUUGGGUGGUCUAAUAAGAAGAUAGCACGUUUUAAUAUUGUCGAACUCAUAUCCUUCUACAUUGACAACAAUACCCAUGGCAAUUAAAUAAAUACUCAAUCUACAAUAACUAUAUUUAUUUUUUGUUAUACCUAAUACAAGUCAUUUACUAGUAUAUUAGACAUUCUUAUACCCUGCUUUCCCAUACUUUCCCAUUAUUAUGAUGAUGAUGAUGAUGAUGUUACAAUUGAGUGGCAGUUGUUUUAGUUGUCACCUGACUAUUAAGUGGCACUUGUUUUAGUUGGUACAAUAAUAAUUUUAGUCCUCAAGUUUUAUAUUUUUUGUUAAUUUGACCUUGAUUUUGUAUAAAAUCAUAAAAAAAUUAAAAAAUAUUUAUAAAAUAGGAAAAUGUAUAUAAAAACUUUAAAAAAUAAAAUCUUGAAUAUGUUGUUGAGUAACUGGACUGUAUUGAGAAAUAAAGAAAUUAAAUUAUCAUUUAAAACCUAAUAACAAAUGAAAAACAGAACAAAUCAAUGUUUCUUAAAACCAAAUUAGUAAUAUUUUCAAGUUGAAUUGCAUGCCCUAGAAGAAUACCUAAAAAUGAUAUUACAGAGGCUUAUGAAAUUGACCUUGAUGCCAUUUUUUUUAAUCAAAAGAAUGCAAAACAUACCACAAAAAAAUUUAUUUUUUCAAACUCAAUUCAAAUUUUCAUUACAUUUAAAUUAUAUAAAAGCUACGUCAAGAAAUAGAAGAGGUAAAACAUAGAGGCAUAUCAUUUUCUUAAUGUUUUUUAUAUAUAUAUUCUUUUUAAAGAAUGGGUAUUGGAUAUUUUGAUAUAAAUAAUAUGGAGAAAUUUUGAAGGGCUUAAAAAAAAUUACCCUCAUUUUCUCUCACUUUAUUUAAUUUUGAAAAUUUUAUCUAUUUUUAUUUAAUUUUUAAUUUUAUAAUGUUCUAAAAUUUUAAAAAUAAUUUUAUUUUUUUACCAUGUUAUAUAUUAUCAAGAUCAAAUUGAUUGAAAGUAUAAAAAUUAAGGAUUAAAUUUGUUAUUAUUUCAAUUUAAAAAGUACGAUAGGUAAGAAAUUGUCCAGAAUCCAAAAUUGAAUACUGACAACUUCAACAACGCAAAUAAUUUAGUAAUGGGGUGCCAAUAACUAUACCUAAUGCAACUCCUUUACUUGUAUAUUUUAUUUCAAGUUGCAACUUAUAAUUAUGCAUUCUUAUAACUAUUAUUAUUAUUAUUAAAUAUUAUUCAUUGCCAACUUCAAUGAUUUUGUUUUGAUCUCCAACGUCUAUCACCAUAUUUCAAGCUAAUUUUCUUUCAUUUGCUUAAUCCAUCACAUGCUUUUCUUUGCUUGAUUCAUGACUAUUGUUUUCGAAAUUGUUUUCUUUUUGCUCACCCGAUUGUUAAGUGGCACUUGUUUCACUUGAUAUAAUAAUAAUAAUUCUAGUCAUCAGUUUUUAUAUUUUCUGUCAAUUUGACUCUGAUUGUGUAUAAACAAUUAUUGAAAGAAACUCAAAAUAUUUAUAAAAUAGAAAAUGUAGAUAAGAUUUCUAGAAAAAUAAAAUCUUGAAGUUGUUGAAUAACUAAAUUGUAUGAAAAAUAAAGAAAAUUAUGAUUUAAUAAAAUCCAAUAACAAAUUAAAAACAAAACAAAACAAAACAAAACAAAGUUACAUUUUGCACCUUAUACUUGUUCAUAAUAGCUAAUAUUCACAUAAUUUUUCAAUUCAGUCCAUUUUAGUGAUGAAUUCACUAAAUUCUAGUUAUAGCUAAACAUAUAGAUGAAAUCAAGUACAAUUUACACAUAAUAUAAAACCAGAUAGUAAGUUUCAUAUUUAAUGUCACACCCUAAUACAACUCAUUGACUUGUAUAUUUAAUUUCAAGUUGUAUAUUGGCAUGACGGAUGGAUGGGCUCUUAUAGUCCUAUCUGGUGUGUAUUGGCGGGACAGAGAUGGUGUGUAGUGGAUGGGGGUAGGAUUUAUUUCUAUUUCUGUAUUUGCAUCUGCAUUUGUAUCUGCAUCUGAUUCUAUAUAUGAGAUUGCAUCUGUAUCUAUUUCUGUAAUUGUUAUUGUAUUUGAGUCUAUUCUGCCUGUUUGGGUUGAGUUACACACUAAGCCUAUAAGCUCACCUAAGUUCUUUGACUUCUCAAGUAAUCGGCAUACUGAGGACCAAACGACGUACAGAAGCUCAGAUUGGGUUCUAAGUUAUUUAAGUAUGAUGGUUCAUUUUUUUAAAUUAUUCUGGACUUUCUAGAUUUUUUGGGGGGUUGUAAAUUUGUUUCUGCAUUUUGCUUUACGUUUUGGUUUAUUUAGUUGAAUUUAGUAAUUAUUACUUAAAACUACAAAGUUUUGUGUUUUGCAAAUUAAGUCACGAUUUUUGAAAUUUAAUACUCUAAAAUUUCCGCUGCAAAAUAAAGUAACCAUUUAAGUGUUUUUCUAUAAUAAAAUAAAUAGUUUUAAUGAGUGUUUUCUUAAAAACUGAAAAGUGAUUUGCUAGAAUUAAUAAUGCCAAAACACACGAUUUCAAAUUCAAUUUCUAGGUUUUUAAAUAAGCUAAUGUAAUUCCUCCAAAUUUGGCCAUAACAUUUAGGUCGGGUUUGGGAUGUUACAAUUUUAGUCCCUAAUUUUUAUAUUUUUAUCAGAUUGACCCUGAUUUUAUAUAAAAUUAUAAAAAAACUCAAAAUCAUUUAUAAAAUAGAAAAUGUAUAUAAAAUUCUAGAAAAAUAAAAUCUUGAAUAUGUUGUUGAAGAACUAAAUUGUAUGAGAAAUAAAGAAAAGUAUCAUUCAAUAGAAUCCAAUAACAAACUAGGCACAUAACAAAAUAAAAAAGUUAGAUCAUUACAUACUUCCUCAACGUUUCUCGAAACCAAAUUAGUAAUGUUAUCUAGAUGAGUUUCAUGCUCUUGAAGAACAUUUAGAACCGGUAUUACAGAGGCUUAUGAAAUCGACCCGGAUGUCAUUUUUUUUAGUCAAAAGAUUAAAAAAUAUACCACAAUUUUUUUUCAAACUCAAUUCAAAAUUUAAUUAUAUUUAAAUUAUUUUUCAUAACCCAAAUUGUAAAAACAAAUUAUGUUUCUUCUUCCAUGGUCGAGUUGGGCUUGGACAAGGUUUUUAUGUCUUGAGCCAUUACAACUUGAAUUCAAUUUAAAAAAAUAUAUUUUUAAAUUUUAAAUUUAAUUUAAAAUAUAAAAUGUUUUUUAAUAUUUUAUUAUUUUCUGAACUCUCAAAUGGACUUUUCUGGGUUGACUGAGCUGGACUAAAAAUGGAUUAGGCUUGAAAAAGUUUUAGAUUAUUUUUAAGAGUAUAUCAAGGAGUCUAAGAAUUACAAUUUUUUUAAAAGGUCUUAAUAACACUAGAAAUCUUAUCACAUGAUUAUACGUGUGGAAAUCACGUAUUUAGAACACAUAUUUGUGUUUAAAAAGAACAUACAAUAUAUAAUGAAGAGUAUAAUUCGGAACUAAUUAAUAAUAACACAUGAAAUAUGUAUGAUAUAAAAAUAAAAAUUAGAUUAAAUUGAGAGUAAAACAAAAUCUAAACACAAAAACACAUCAUAUUAAGAAUACUAAAUGAAUACAAAUGUUUAUCAUUAUUUUGUCUUCAAUCCCGAGUUGGUGAUGCUAAAUCAAUAACAUUAUUUACAUACACAAGUAUAUAAAAAUUUAGAACACAAAUGUUUAUAUGUUAUAAAAGCAUGUAUGACAUGUACAUUUCUGACAUUUGUUAAUUCUGCAUGUGUAUUAGGAUGAGAUUUGUGUUUUCGGAGGAAGUGUGGGAGUUUAAUUCAUUUGCCAUAUUUGGUCGCUCAACCACACAUAUUUCUGCAUUUGGCAAUGAAUCACGUAAUGAUUUGGCAAUUAGGCUACGAAUAUUUUGAAAAGUUUCAUAUCGACACUAAGCGGUGUAUAGGGUUUGAUGGGUAUUUAAUACCCUAUAUGGUGUGUAGGGAUGGUCGAAGAUGGUGUGUAACGGAUCGGAGUAGGAUUGUAAUCUACAUCUGAUAUGUUCUGAUUAUGAUUUUAUAUAUGAUAUAUGUUUGAUUGACUUCCAAAAGCAUGUUUGAAAAUUAUAUCUGAUAUUUUUACUCUUAUAAGGUACACAUUAAGCUUGUAAGCUCGCUCUCAGUUUCUCUUAUUCUUAGGCAAUCCUUAGACUUAGGUGGGUCGGUGCGACUAGAGCUCGAUUAAUUAUCUUCUUGUUAUAUUUGUUAUUUUAAUUUGGUUUAUUCUAUUUUGGUUUUUAACUGUUUUUAAGUUUAGGUUUAUUUUCUUUUUAUUUAUUUAUUUAAACAUUCACUAUAGCAAAACAGGCUUUUAGCGGCCUUUUUUUAGGCCUAUAAAGUGCCGCUAAAACUAUUUGCGGCACUUGUGUCACUAUAGACAACGCCACUAAAUUUUGUGGCGUUUAUGUGAAAAAAAUGCCUCUAUAAAACAUGACCUUUAGCGGCGCUUUUAUCACAAACGCCGCUAAAGGUCAUGCUCUUUAGCGAUGCUUUACCCACAAACGCCGCUAAAGAACAUGAUUUUUAGCGGCGCUUUUAUCACAAACGCCGCUAAAAAACAUGACCUUUAGUGGCGCUUUACCUGCAAACGCCGCUAAAGAACAUGACCUUUAGUCAUUGCCUUCUUCAAGAAUGUGCUUAAUAUCUUAACUGUAGUGUAUGGCACUAAUGGCAUAGGCAUUAUAAUGAACACAAAGAUUGGGAACAAGGCACUGUUCUCCUCCGAAGCACCCAUAUUGACCUUCUUACUUCAAAAAUAAAAUUUAAGGAGAUCUUUUUGCUUUAUAUAACUCUGUGACAACAAUUUGAGAAACAAUCAACCAAGGAAAAUACAGAUAAAAUCUUCAAUUUGAGAAACAAUCAACCAAUUCUACUUUGGCAAAAAAACAAAAUUGAAUUAUUAUACUAUAAAUUAACUAAUUAAAGUUUGGCACCAAAAUUACAUUUACAUUAAAACUCAUCAAAAAUCAAAAUAAAAUCAUUAUUGAAAUUAUUUCUCAAAUAAUUAACCUAAAACUGGAACCUAUUAAAAUUAAAAUAUGAGGCAGAUUCCCUAAGAAGUUAGAACAAAAGCAAAUAUACCAAAUUAAAAAAAAAAAACCCUAAUAAGAACCUGAAUGAGAUUCACAGCGAGGUCAGAGAUGAAGAAAAGAAGGCCCAAUGGGACAAUAACAGUUGCCGCUGCAAUCGCCAUGGACAAAAUAGCCAAAGAAGCGACCAAGAUUCGCAGAAAAUGGAGGGUUAGCAAUGAAAUUUUCUUGAAGAACAGUUUCGACAACAGACGAAUUUGAGAAGACAACAAAUCCAAAGACACAAGGUCUCCCCGUGACCUUAUCUCUCAUAACAACAGUCUGCAAGAUAAAAUAAAGGGGAAAAAAUAAAGGUAGGGGUAGGGGAGAAAUGGUUUGGGAAAAAUAAAAUGGGCAAAAAAGAAAGAGAUUUCUAGUGGGAUUUCUGGGCGUGGGGGAAAUCAAUUUUGGGAAAAAGAAGGGGAAAAAAAGAAGUGAUUUCAUUUGAAAUUUUGGGAUAAAAAAAUAUAAUUACAAAACGACGCCGUUUUGCAAAAAACAUAUUUGUGGCGUUUGGAAAAGAAAGCCACCAUUGCUCGACUUUUAGCGGCGUUUGGACAAAAAAUGCCACUAUUGUUUACCUUUUGCGACGUUUUUUUCAUAAACGCCGCUAACACUCGACUUUUUUACAAUUUUUAUAUUGAAUUAUUGUAUCUUUCAUAUAAAUUUUAAAUAAAUAAUUUUUUAAAUUUUAAGUAAUAUUUAAAAGAAUUAGAUAAAAUUAUAAUUUUUAGUUUUUGUAUUUCAUUUUUAUUUGUUAUAAUUUUGUCCUAUCCAAAAUAGAUAGUUACCUAUCCAUAUCAAUCUGUUACUUUUUUUUAUCAAUUUUUUUAAAUCUAAUAUUUAAAUAUAUCAAUUGGUUUAGAUUAAAUAUUUUAAAAUAUAAAAGCAUUAAUUGAUUGUAUAAAAUUUCAUCAUUUAACAAAUCUGAAGUAAACAUUAAAUCCUAAAUCAUUUAAUAUAUAUAAAGUUUAUCUAUUAUCUCUUAAAUAAUUUAAACUAUAAUCACAAUUUUAAUAAAUUAAAAUUAAAAUUAUUUAUUUUACAACUAUAUAAGAAAUUAUUUAAUAUAUAAAUUAAAAAUAUUAAUUAAUCUAAACCCUAAAUCCCUAACCCCUAUCCCUUAAACCCUAAAUCAUAAAACAUAAACCCUAAACCCUAAACAUCUAACCCUUAAACCUUAACCCCUAACCCCUAAACCUUAAAUCCCAACCCUUAAACCAUAAACCAUAAACCAUAAUCCCUAAACCCGUAAUCCAUAAACCUUAAAAUAGUAACUCAUAAACCUUAAACCCUAAACCAUAUACCCUAAAUCAUAAACCCUAAACUAUAAUGAUAAUUAAUUCAAUAUUUUAAAAUUAAUACUAUCUCUUUUACGAUAUAUAAGAAAUUAUUUAAUAUAUAAAUUAAAAAACAAUUAGUCAUGUACUCAAAAAACUUUAAAAUUAUUUUAAAUAAUAGUAUUUUAAUUUUUUUCAUUUUUAACAAAUAUUUUUCUAUGUUUUUACUUUCAAAUUUUUUCUAUGUGUCAUUAUUUUUUUCUGAAGAAUUUAAAUAUUCAAUUAAAAAUAAAUUUUAUUUUAAUUAAUAUAAAUAAACUAGUUAAAUAAUAAAUAGAUAGAUAAAAUGUUUUUUGCGGCGUUUUUCAAAAAGCGCCGCUAACUAUAGCUCAACAUAAAACGACGGCGUUGUGCUUAAUUUUUUGCGGCACUUUUUGAAAAAUGCCGCUAAUAGAUUGAGAAUUAGUGGCUUUUUUCAAAAAGCAUCGUUAAUUCCACUAAAGCUCAACAUAAAACGGUGGCGCUGUGCUUAAUUUUUUGCGGCGCUUCUUGGAAAACGCCGUUAAUGGCGACCUAUAGCGGCGUUUUUCAAAAAGCGCCACUAAUGCCACUAAAGCUCAAAAUAAAACGACGACGUUGUGCUUAAUUUUUUGCGGCAAUUUUUGGAAAACACCGCUAUAGAUCGCCAUUAGCGGCGUUUUUCAAAAAGCGCCGCUAAUGCUCGAUCUAUAGCGGCGUUUUUAUUCAAACGCCGCUAAAAACCUAUUUUGCUAUAGUGAUUUUUGGUUGGUUUAGAUUCGAUCUACAAAAUGUUAAAUUAUAUAGCAACAAACCAUGUUUUCAAAAUCGGACUCAACUAAGAAUUUUCACAGCAAACGUAAGUGUUUUACGAGUAAAUAAUCGACAAAUUUAUCGAAAUGGUUAAGAAGGAUAUUUUCCGCAAAUAAAAUCAAAUUUUAAUUAAUAAGAGCUAGUAUUGUUUUAUAAGUUGAACAGAUUCGACCAAAACGUAUAAAGCAGGUUUGUGGUGUUACAAUUUUUAUCCUCAAUUUAUUUAUUUAUAUAUAUAUAUUUAUCAAUUUGACCCUGAUUUUAUAUAAAAAAAAUUUAAAAUCAUUUAUAAAAUAGAAAAAUGUAUAUAAAAUUCUAGAAAAAUAAAAUCUUGAAUAUGUUGUUGAAGAACUAAAAUAUAUGAGAAAUAAAGAAAGGUAUCAUUUAAUAGAAUCCAAUAACAAAUUAGAAACAAAACGACAUAAAAAAGCUCAGUCUCAUGCUCUUGAAGAACAUCUAGGACUGAUAUUAUAGAGACUUAUAAAAUCAACCUGGAUGUCAUUUUUUUGUCAAAAGAUUACAAAAUAUACCACAAAUUUUUUUUUCAAACUCAGUUCAAAUUUUAAUUACAUUUAAAUUAUUUUUCAAAAUCCAAUUUGUAAAAACAAAAUGUGUUUCUUCUUCUAUAGUUGAGUUGGACUUGGACAAGGCUUUUAUGUCACGAGCUGUUCCAACUCGAAUUCAAUUUAAAUAGUAAAAAUAUUUUAAACUUUUAAAUUUAAUUAAGAAUAUAAAAAUAUUUUUAAUAUUUUAUUAUUUUAUGAACUCUCAAAUGGACUUUUCUGGGUUGACUGAGCUAGGCUAAAAAUGGAUUAGGCUUGAAAAAAUUUUAGAUUAUUUUUAAGAGUAUAUCAAGAAGUCUAAUAAUUACAAUUUUUUAAAAAGGUUUUAAUAACACUAGAAAUCUUAUCAUGCAUAUACGAGUGAAAAUCAAGUAUUUAGAACACAUAUUUGUUGGUAAAAAGAACAUACAAUAAAUAAUGAAGAGUAUGAUUCGGAUCUAAUUAAUAAUAACACAUGAAAUAUGUAUGAUAUUAAAACAAAAUUAGAUUAAAGAAAAGCUCAAAAAUAGAAUUUGGGUCAUUUUGACAAAACAAGCAAAAGUUAGUGACAAAAUUUAUCAUUAAACCUAAUUAUUAUUAUUAUUAUUAUUAUUAUUAUUAUUUAAUGCCAAUUAUAAUGGCUGACAGCAAAGAAAAAAUUGAGAAAAAGACGGAUUUUUCACUCAUAUCCACAACAUUCGUCUUUUUAUACAUGUGAUUAUGCUUUCCCGUUAAUUAUUAAUUAUUUUCUCUUUCUUCUUCUUCUUCGCAUGCUUUCCCAUUAAUUCCCAUCACAAUUUUGCUUAUUUCUAUUUUCACCUUCUUCUUCACUCUUUUUAAUUUCUUUUCAUCUCCAAGGUCUAUCACUAAUUUUCAAGCAUCCAGUCAAGGUCAUUUUCUGUCAUUUGCUUCAUUCAUGACUAUACAAUGAUUGUUUUUUAUUAUCAGCUACUGUUAUAGCAGCUAGCUUUGUAAGAUAGUCAAGGUAAUAAGAUCUGAAGCAAUGAUUCCUCUACUGAUUAUCAAUUUUAAGACGUACAGGAUGAUCAGCAGACAUAGUCUACUAUAGAUACAAAUUAAUACGAAAAGAGCUACCCAGAAGCAAUAUAAUGUUGAAAUCUCAUGCUGUUGGAACAUUUUACCUCUUAAUAUUCUGUAAUGCUCUUGCACACUUGAAUCUAGCAUGUUAUAUAGUUUUAGAGGUUGAUUCUGGAUAUACAAUGGUGACCAGAAUUUCAUCAUGUUUCUGCCUGCUACCCAUCCAUAGCUCCAUCUAAUAGACGCCAUUGCUUGAAACUUGCAUUCAUGCUUACACUGACAUAUCAAAAAGCCAAUACAUUCACAGAUUUUCAUUCUCUGCUACUGUUAUAUAUGAUUGCAUUGCAGGGACAUAGCAAUGGAGUACGUAGAGCCUGUUGUCGGCAUUGCAAAUUGUCUCGGAACUCCUGUUUGUAAAUAUUUGCAAUAUCACAGAAAGCUGAACGAUUAUGUGAGAAACUUCAAGAGGAUCAGAGAUGAAUUGAAUUGCAAAAUGGAAGAUAUAGAGCUGCAAUUGAAAGCAGAGCUUCUUCGUCCUCUGGGGAAGAUACCGAAGAAGGGAGUUGAAAAUUGGUUGAAGGAUGUGAAAGAGAUGAUUAGGGAAGCACAAGUUGUUGAAAACAAAGUCAGUAAUGGGAGAUAUCUUUUUCGUGCUUGCAACGGGAAGCUGAUUGAUGAAAAGUCUCGAGAAAUGCAAGAAUAUCUCGAUAAAGCUCCUAAAGCCUCUGAAGGUCUUGCCAUGGAUGGUCCAAGUGCUGGGUUGCCACUGGCCACAUCAGAACUAGUUGGAGAGGAAGCUGUCAGAAAUGAGAUUUGGGCAUGUUUGAUGCAGGAGGAGGUGAGCAAGAUUGGGGUUUGGGGGAUGGGCGGUGUGGGUAAAUCGACCAUCAUGAAGCACAUCCACAAUGAUCUAUUGAAAGAACAACGAUUUGAAAGGGUGGUCUGGGUUACUAUAUCAAAGGAGUUCAAUAUUGUGAAGUUACAAAAUGAUAUUGCAAGUGCAUUGAAUGGAAAGAUGCCCGAAGAAGCAAACAAGGUCAGACGAGCAGCAAUCUUGUCCGAACUUGUCAGAAAUGCUGAAGAACGCAGGAAAGCAUGUUCUAAUCCUAGAUGAUGUGUGGGAUAAAGUUUCUCUAGAGGAAGUUGGGAUCCCCGAGCCGAGUGACAGCAAUGGCUGCAAGUUGGUGUUGACAACCCGUUCGGAGCAUGUCGGUAAGUAUAUGGGUUGCACGGUGAUAAAAGUGAAGCCCCUUUCUGCACAACAGGCACUGACACUAUUCUUGAGUAAAGUUGGGCCUAACAUAGUGCAAAAUCAAACUUUAAUGCCAAUUUUGAGGCUCGUUGUCGAAGAAUGUGCGGGUCUGCCUCUUACAAUUGUCGUCGUAGCUAGUACAUUGAAAGGAGAAGAGGACCUUCUUAUUUGGAAAAACGCAUUCAAGGAAUUGAAAGAGAGAAUAGAAAAAGUGGAAGGAGUGGAAGCUAAAGUGAUAGAGCGUUUGAAAUUUAGCUUCGAUCACUUACAGGACGAGAAAGUGAAAUAUUGUUUCUUACAUUGCGCAUUAUUUCCUGAAGAUUUUGAAAUUUGGAAGGAUGUGUUAAUUGAGUGCUGGAUUGAAGAGGGAUUCAUAGAUGAUAUGGGUACAAGACAAGAAAUGAAAGGCAAGGGCCAUGUUAUUUUGAAGAAGUUGGAAGACAAUUGCUUGCUCGAAAAUGGCUCGAGUGGAAAAAUGAAAAUGCAUGAUGCAGUGAGAGACAUGGCAUUGUCGAUCACAAGAAUGAAUCCUCGAUAUAUGAUACAAGCAGGUUUGCAAUUAGAGGAGUUACCAAAAAAGGAGCAAUGGAGUCCGGAUAUUGAGAAAGUGUCACUUAUGUAUAACUCCAUAUCAGAAGUUUCCAUAGAUGUGCUGCCUACAAAAUGCCAACUGCUCACAACCUUGUUAUUGCAGAACAACCCUAUAAAGAAGAUCUCAAUUUCUUUCUUCACAAACAUGCCUUGUCUGAGUGUUCUCAAUUUGUCUUUUACAAAGAUCGAGAGUUUACCAAAUUCCAUCUCUGAAUUAAAGAACCUCACAACAUUGUUGCUUCGUGGUUGUUAUCAAUUAAGAGAUCUGCCAUGUCUUUCGAUGCUUCAAGAAUUGAAGAAGUUAGAUCUUUGUUGGACAAAAAUUGAGGAAGUCCCUGAAGGCAUGGAUAUGCUGAUAAAGCUAAGAUAUCUUGAUCUUGAAGUGUUCACUCUGAAAGAGAUACCCGCUGGACUUUUACCAAAACUCGUUCACCUUCAGCACUUGAGUUUUGCUGGGAACAAUGAAAAAACAAGUCUAAAAGCAAAGGAGAUGGAACCAUUGAAGAAGUUGGAGUGCUUAACCGGACAUUUCGAAGACAUCAAUGAAUUCAAUAAGUUCAUCUCCUCAAUGCAACAAAGUAAGAAAAAUCUCAUCAAGUACUAUUUACAAGUGGGCUCAUCUUAUAUGCAUGAUACAAGGGAUAAAACAGUAACAAUUGGAGGAGUCCAGAAUUGGGAAGGUGAUUUAAUUAUGCACCCAAUUGAAAUUCAAGAGUUGAAUAUUGUAAAGUGCCACUAUUUGAGAUGCUUAGUCGAUGAUAACUCUUCCUUCAAAAAUGCAAUUGACUUGAGGAUUUAUGAUUGUAAAGGGAUAGAGUGUGUUGUUUCCUUGUCCUCUUUUGCCUCUUCUUCCAUUCAUCCAUUUCAGAGCCUCGAGAUGUUGGAUCUUCAACAUCUGCCAAAGUUGAGUGCCCUUAUUAUGAAUGAUGCAGGAAUUGGUUCAGCAACUACAUCAACAUUGGCUCCGUCUACCACCUUUUCCCAUCUUAAGGAAAUUACGAUAAACAGCUGCUCAAGUAUGAAGAUGUUGCUUCCACAUUGGUUGCUUCCAAACCUCCAAAACUUGGAAAAAAUACACGUGGAGGCUUGUAGUCAGCUAGUAGAAAUAUUGGGAGCAGCAACAUCAGAAGUUAAAGAAAAAGGGAGUGAUGCAUUAAUCAAAUUCCAUCUUCCCAAAUUGAGAGAGUUGGAAUUGUGGAGAUUACCAAAUGUGAAGAGCAUAUGCAGCAAAAGUGGAGUGAUGGUUUGUGAUUCUCUCCAACUUAUCCAAGUGUUUGGAGAUUGUGAUAAACUGAAGAGGAUUCCUCCAUUUGUUCCCCUUGUUGGCAAUGGGCAGCCAUUUGCAUAUGCUCCACCUUCUCUUAUCAUCAGGUCAAGCACAGAAUGGUGGGAAUGGUUAGAGUGGGAUGACGAUCCAAACUUUAAAAAUGUUCUUCAACCCCUUUGGAAGGAUGAAAGGUAUGAACCAUUUAUAGUUUAGUUUAUUUUUUAUUUUUAUAAAUCUAAUUUCUCCAUAUUAAUAAAAUUUGAUGUAUAUUUUGUGAUGUUGAAGAGAAAGAUAAAGGCGUGGGUGGGAAAGAAGUCUUGAGUGGGUACAACUCGAAUUCAAUUUAAAUAAUAUAAAAUAUUUUUUUAAAAUUAAAUUUAAUAAGUAUUUUUAAAAUAUUUUUGCACAGUAAAGUAGAAUUUUGGGAUCAACCAAGUUAUCCCGAAAACGGGCCUGGGCUUGAAAAAGUAUUAAAACUUAAAUAGUAUUAAAAAAUAUUUUACACGAAAUGAUAAUGUGCGUUAAUUAAAAUAUAUUUUAUUUUUAUUAAUAUUUAAAUAAAAUAUAAACAUAUAUUAAUCAAAAUGAUUUAAGGUGAGGCAAAACUAUGAUCUUGGUUUAGGAAAGUAUUGUAAAAAGACAUUAUAUUCUUUAAUUUUCAAUACAUACAAUGUAGAGAAAUUUUGGAGGGUUUAAAAACAAUUAUCCCUCAUUUUCUCUCACUUUAUUUANNNNNNNNNNNNNNNNNNNNNNNNNNNNNNNNNNNNNNNNNNNNNNNNNNNNNNNNNNNNNNNNNNNNNNNNNNNNNNNNNNNNNNNNNNNNNNNNNNNNUUUUCUAAAAUUUUAAAAAUAAUUUCAAAUUUUUACCAUUUUAUAUAUUAUGAAGAUUAAAUUGACUGAAAGUAGAAAAUUUGAGGGCUAAAAUUGUUAUUAUACUAAUUAAAAAACUGUCACUUAAUAGUCUAGUGAUAAAAAAAAAUACAAUUUUGAAGACAUUAAUAUCGAAUUUACGUUACCUUUGUGGAACUUAAAAACGAAAGUUGCCCCAAAGACCAUAAAAAUUGACUCAUAAUAUUGUUUGUUUUAUUUGAUUGUUGUUUCCAUAACUGUUACUGUGCGGAGAUAAAAAUAAAUUUAUGAGAAUUUAAAAAAGGUUCCAAGGUGUGUAUCAAUGUCACUAUUUUAAAGUUUUAUUUGUCCCCACCUUUUUAUUGUUUCUGUGCAAAAGAGUUAUCUGCAAAUUGACCUCGAGGAUAUAAUGAAUCCUAAUGAUUGUCGACAUUUUGCACUGACAGAAACAAUUCACUGAGCAUUGAAUGGACCAUAGCAAGAAUACCCAAUUCUAUAAAGAACUUCUGCAAUAAUUUUUUAUAAAACAAUAUAGGAAUAUUAGAAGAUGGAGAAUAGAAUUCAAUAACAAAUUAAAAAUAGAACAAAACUAAAAAAAAAAAAAAAGAUUAGAUCAUUACACGUUUCCUCAAUAUUUCUUGAAAUCAAAUCAUUACUAUUAUCAAGUUGAGUUUCAUGCUCUUAAACAACAUCUAUAACUGGUAUUAUAGAGUGUUAUAAAAUUGACCCUAAUCCCAUUUUUUUAGUUAGAAGAAUACAAAAUAUACCACAAAAUUUUUUCAAACUCAGCUCAAAAUUUCUUUACCGAUAAAUUAUUUUUCAAAACCCAAAUUGUAAAAAUAUAUUAUAUUCAGAAUUUUAUCUUUUCUUAUAAUGUGAAAGUUAUGUCAAGAAACAAAAGAGGUAAAAAAACGGAGUUCAAAUAAUUUUACUUAAUUUUUUUCUUUUCUAUGUUUUUUUAAAAGAAUGGGUAUUGAAUAUUUUGAUACAGAUAAUAUGGAGAAAUUUUGGAGGGUUUAAAAAUAAUUACCCCUCAUUUUCUCUCACUGUAUUUAUUUUUGAAUUUUUUAUCUACUUUUAAUUUUAUAUUGUUUUAAAAUUUUUAAUAUUAUCAAGAUCAAACUGUUUGAGAGUAUAAAAAUUGAGGACCAAAAUUGUAAUUGUGAACACAACAAAAAAUUUCUAUAAUUUAGUGACUAAUGUAAAAUUUUUUUUUGGUACAAUGAUCAUUCCAACUCCAUCUAUUUCUAAAGAAGGCAAACACUCGACCAAUAAACCACAACUUGUCCAGAUAUGUAGCUUACCCAAGAAUUUAUAUAUAUUUAUUUUAACUUGAAUAGAUUUAUUUAUAUAUAUAAAAAAUUGAAUAGAUUCAUUCACAUCUUACAAAUCCAUAUGUAAAGAAUUGUCCUGAGUUGAAUCCAAAAUUGAAUACCAACAAGAACAACACCAAUAACUAUACCCUGCUUUUCCCAUACUCUCUCAUUAGUUAUUAUUAUCUGUUACAAUUGAGCACCAAGAUCACUGCAAUACUUGUUGGUGUUGUCCAGAAUUAAUGCGAAGGACAUUUCCAUGGAUUUUAGACAAUCAUAUCUAUCUUUGAAAAUUUGAGAGCAGAUCAAAGGUUUUAUAACCAACUGAUAGAUACAACUGUUGAGAAAAUUCAGUAUCAAAAAGCCAACUAAUAAUGGCAGACACCAAAGAGAAAAGCUAAAAGAAAAAAGAUGGGAUUUCUUACUAAUAAUUUUGCCUUUUUUUAUCUUCACUUCUUCUUUUGACUAUUGUACCCACAACGUUCUUUCUUCUUCACUGUUUUUAAUUUCUUUUGAUGUCCAUCACUAAUUUUCAAGCAUCCAAUCAAGUUAAUUUUCUUUCAUUUGCUUAAUCCAUGACAUGCUUUUCAUUGCUUAAUUCAUGAUUAUGCAAUGAUUGUUUUUUAUUAACUGCUUCAGGUAUAGCAGCUUGCUUUGUAAGAUAGUCAAGGGAGUGAACUUCACUGCUUUAUUUUCAGUUCUAAUCUCUCAACACUUUUCAGCCAGUUGGUCAGGUAAUUUUCUGCUUCCCAUUUUUUGAUCCUCAAAUAUGCAAUUCAGCUCAUUUGAAAAUUUGUUUGCUUAUUAUCAACUCAUGACAUGAUUUCCUUUGCUUUUACAUAACAAGAAAGAUGAAUAAUUGUAGUAAGAGCUGAAGCUAUGAUUUCCUCUACUGAUUAUCAACAGUUUUAGAUUUCAAGACUGAAUGAUCAGCAGACAUAAUCUACUUUAGAUACAAACUAAUACCAAAAGAGCUACCCAGAAGCAAUAUAAUUUUGAAAUCUCAAACUGUUGAACAUUUUACCUCUUAAUAUUCUGUUGCACACUUGAAUCUAGCAUUUUCUAUACAUUGAGAAAUUAAUUUUGGAUAUACAAAUUUCAUCAUGUUUCUAUCUGCCACCCAUCCAUAGCUCCAUCUAAUAAAUGCCAUUGCUUGAAACUUGCAUUCAUGUUUCCUUUUCAUGCUUACACUGACAUUCACAGAUUUCCAUUAUCUGCUACUGUUAUAUAUGAUUGCGUUGCAGGAACAUAGCAAUGGAGUACGUAGAGCCUAUUCUUGGCAUUGCAAAGUGUCUUGGACCUCCUGUUUGUAAAUACUUGAAAUAUCACAGUAAGCUGAAUGAUUAUGUGAGAAACUUCAAGAGGAUCAGAGAUGAAUUGAAUUGUAAUAUGGAAGACAUAGAUGUUAAAAUGAGGCAACAUAGCAGCAACAUGCAAGCAACCAAGCAGCACAACAUCAGCAUGCAAGUAACCGAGCAACUCAGCAGCAGCAGGCUAAUGUCCAUGGUGUAAUUCGACUGUAGAGCUUUUGCAUAGUUGACUUUUUGCUAGUUUGGUUGAAAUCAUUUUUUGUUUGAUCAGCUAAGGUUUAAUCAUGUGUUUAGCUGAUUUAGUAGUCAUUUAGGUUGUCAUUAAGUUGAUUUAACAGCUUAGAUACUUGCACAAGCUAGCUUUGUCUUUAACCAAUGUAAUUUGAACUACUUAUGUAUGUGGUUUUGUUACUUAUUCAAGUAAUGAAGUUAAUCUUCAUCAUCCGGUAUUCGUUUUUGCUUCUGUUUUUUAUAUUUCAAACACAAAAACUUUGUUUUUGAUACUUAGUUAUUGAUCUAAAACUCAACAAUAGAGAUGCAAUUGAAAGCAGAGCUUCUUUCUCCUAGGGGGAAGAUACCAAAGCAGGGAGUUGAAAAUUGGUUGAAAGAUGCGAAAGAGAUGAUUGCGGAAGCACAGGAUGUGGAAAAUAAAGUCAGAAAUGGGAGAUAUCUCUGUCGUGCUUGGAACGGAAAGCUGGUUGAUGAAAAGACUCGAGAAAUGAAGGAAUUUCUUGAUAAAGCUCCUAAUGCCUCUGAAGCUCUUGCCAUGGAUGGUCCAAGUGGUGGGUUGCCACUGCCAACAUCAGAACUAGUUGGGGAGGGAGCUGCCAGAAAAGAGAUUUGGGCAUGCUUGAUGCAAGAGGAGGUAAAAAAGAUUGGGGUUUGGGGGAUGGGCGAUGUGGGUAAAACCACUAUCAUGAAGCACAUCCACAAUGAUCUUUUGAAAGAACAAAGAUUCGAAAGAGUAAUCUGGGUUACCAUAUCAAAGGAGUUCAAUGUAAUGAAGGUACAAGAUGAUAUUGCAAGUGCUUUGAAGUUGAAGGAAGAUUUGGCCAUAGAAGGAGUGUUGGUGUUAAGAGGAAACAGCAAGCUGAUUUGAGCUUGCUUGGGCAGCAAGUGUCGAGCCUUGCUGAAGAAACAAUCGAAGAGGAAAGAAAAAUAUGCAAUGGAAAACAGAAAAGAAAGAGAUAAAUUUGAAUGAAAAAUGAGCUGAAACUUUCAUUAACAACAAAAUGAGGUAUUAAACCAUUACAUAUAUUAGUCAACUUGGAAAGUAAAACUUGCAAACAAGUAAACACCUAAUCAGCCACCUAACUCCACUAAUUUACAUUGAAACUUGCAAGAUUAACUUGCUUACAUAGCUUUGUUGAUUUUCAGUCAAUCAACAUCAAAACAUUUACCUACUAAGUUCAAAAUGAACUAGAUUACAAAAGAAUUACAUGAGAACUAAAUGUAGUAAGUAAACUAGAAACUUCUAGCUUCAGUUGCUGCACAGCAAGGCUCGAAUGCCUGCUACGUUUUCUUCUUGCAUGGCCACCUUUGCAUGGGAAGCUGAUUGCAUGGGAACUAACUUUAACACUCCUCCUUAGUUUCUAUGCUGNNNNNNNNNNNNNNNNNNNNNNNNNNNNNNNNNNNNNNNNNNNNNNNNNNNNNNNNNNNNNNNNNNNNNNNNNNNNNNNNNNNNNNNNNNNNNNNNNNNNUAACACCUAGCUUUCCUUUUAAUUUUAUAAACCUUGACACAUUGAGUGCCUUGGUAAAGAUGUCUGCAAUUUGCUCCUCCGAAUUGCAAUGAACCAGCUCGAUUUCAUGAGCUUGUUCCAUCUCCCUUAUAACAUGUAGCUUGAUAUUGAAGUGCUUGGUUCUACCAUGGAAGAUGGGAUUCUUUGCAAUUGCAACAGCAGAUUUGUUGUCACAGUAAAUCUCUGUUGCUUCUUCUUGGUUUUGGUUUAAAUCAGCCAAGAUUUUUCUAAGCCAUAUGGCUUGAUUCACAGCAGAUGCAGCAGCAACAUAUUCAGCUUCUGCUGUUGAUUGUGCCACCAAACUCUGUUUCUUAGAACUCUAGCAAAAUAUGCCUGAGCCAAGGCUAAAUGCAUAUCCAGAUGUGCUCCUCAUGUCAUCACUCGAUCCAGCCCAAUCACUAUCGACAUAGCCUAUUAACUUCAUGUUUUCAGCUCUUUUGAGCAUCACACCAUGGUUAAUGGUGCCUUUGAUGUACCUAAGUACUCGUUUAGCUGCUUGAAAAUGCAGAUUGUUGCAGCAAUUCAUGUAUCUGGAUAGCACACUAACUGCAAACAUAAUGUCGGGCCUUGUUGCAGUCAAAUACAAUAGACUACCAAUGAGACUCUUGUACAUAGUCUCACAAACUGGUUCACCAGUUUCCUGCCUUGAUAGCUUCAUUCCAACAGCCAUUGGUGUGCUUGUUGGCUUGUAGUUCUUCAUUGAGAACUUGUUUAAGACUUUCAUAGCAAAGGAACUCUGGCUGAGAAAGAUUCCAUUUGCUGUUUGCUUUACUUCCAUCCCUAGGAAGUAAUUCAUUCUGCCUAGAUCAGACAUUUCAAACAUCUUCAUCAUUUUCCUCUUAAAAUCAUGCAGCAUGUUCUUGUCUCCUCCAGUUACCAACAAAUCAUCAACAUAAAGUGACAGGAUAAGCUUAGUUUCAGCUUGAUUUUUCUUCACGUACAAUGUUGGUUCACUAGGGCUUCUCUCGAACUCCAAACUGAGCAAGUAAGAAUCAAUUCGAGCGUACCAGGCUCGAGGAGCCUGCUUCAGGCCAUACAAGCCCUUUUUCAGCCUAUACACCAUGUGUUCCUUGCUAGUGACUACAAAUCCUUGAGGCUGUUCGAUGUAGAUCUCUUCUUCUAGGAAACCAUUGAGAAAUGCAGACUUCACAUCAAGUUGAUGAAUGGUCCACUGAUGUUGAGCAGCCAAGGCAACUAUCAUUCUGACUGUGUCAAGCCUGGCUACUGGUGCAAAAGUCUCCAGGUAGUCCAAACCAUACCUUUGGCUAAAUCCUUUGACAACAAGCCUAGCUUUUAGCUUGUUCAAACUGCCAUCUGCAUUCUGUUUUGCUCGAUAGACCCAUUUUACUCUAAUGAUCUUCUUUCCAGCAGGUUUAUCAACUAGCUCCCAUGUCUGGUUCUUCUCAAUCAUGUUGAUUUCAUCAGCCAUAGCCAGUUUCCAACCUUCAUCUGCUUCAGCCUCUUCAAAACUACUAGGUUCAGCUAUAGCAACCUGUGCCAAUUCAUAAAUUUCAUCCAAAGACCUUGUGCCUCUUACAGGCACAUCAUCAACAUCCAUCUCAAGACCAAACUGCUCGAGUUCAGCUUGAUCAGGCACCAGGUCUUCUGAAGCAACUUCUGGUUCACUCUUUUCCCAAUUCCAGCAAGCUUUUUCAUCAAAGAUGACAUCUCUGCUCACCUGGACUUUGCUUGUCAAGGGAUCAAGAACCCUGUAGCCCUUCUUAACUGAGCUAUAGCCUAUUAGGACACCUGGUUGAGCCCUUUCAGAGAGCUUGUCUCUUCUUGCUGCUGGUAUUUGUGCAUAACAUAGACAACCAAACACUUUUAGGUGUGCCAAGGAAGGCUUGAAUCCAAACCAAGCCUCGAAAGGUGUCUUGGAUGUAAGAGCUUUGGUAGGAAGCCUAUUCUGAAGGUAGACAGCAGUGUUUACUGCCUCAGCCCACAUGGUCUUGGGCAGUUUCUUCUCAAACAGGAGACAUCUGGCCAUAUCCAUCAGACUUCUGUUCUUUCUUUCAGAUACUCCAUUUUGCUGAGGUGUGUAGACAUUUGUAAGCUGGUGUUUGAUGCCAGAAUCAUUGCAAAUGGCUUGGAACUGAGCUGAAGUGUACUCAGUGCCAUUGUCUGACCUUAUUGAUUUCAGCUUGCAACCUGUUUCUGUUUCUACAGCAGUUUUAAACUUCACAAACACUUGAGCUACCUCAGACUUGUGUUUCAAGAGGAAAAUCCAGCAAAACCUUGUAAAAUCAUCAAUGAAGAGGAUGAAAUACCUGUUAUUGCUAAGUGAUUCAGUCCUCAUAGGUCCACAUACAUCAGAGUGCACCAGCUACAAUCUUUCAGUGGCUCUCCAUGCUGAGUUUGUUGGGAAUGGUAGUCUUGUCUGUUUUCCUAUCUGGCACACUUCACACACAUCAUCAUGCUCCUCUGAGUUGGUGAAGUUAUCUGCCAAGCCUUCUUUGGCCAAUCGAGCCAUUGACCUGAAGUUGGCAUGCCCAAGCCUUUGAUGCCAGAGCUUGGAAUCAUCUGUGGAGGCUGUGUAUGCUGACUUUGAGUCAUUUGGCCAAUGAACCUCAAAGCAUUUAUCAGUCAUUGUGACUGUCAUAAGGCUUGAUCCACUGGGAUCAGCAAUGUGGCAAUGUUUGUCUUUAAACACAACUGAAUAACCCUUCUCAAGCAGUUGAGCUAUGCUGAGAAGGUUUCUGUCAAUCUCAGGUACCAAUAGGACAUUCGAGAUGACUUUGUUGCCUGUAGAGGUGCAUAUCAGCACUUUUCCUCUUCCUUCAGCUUUUAUAAACUGACCAUUUCCAACCUUAACCUUGGUUUUACAGCUUCUGUCCAAGGUUUUGAACAAAGAUGCAUCUGGUGACAUGUGGUUGGUGCAGCCACUGUCCAAUAGCCACCCUUUUAAGCAUUUCUUCUCAGCAGCUAAGCAUGACACAGCAAAGACCUGCUCUUCUUGGUCACUACUGUCUUCAGCCACUCGAGCUUCAACCUUUGGCUGCUGAAAUUGGUUCUGCCUUGGCUUGGUUCUGUUUUUGCAAACUCUUUCAACAUGGCCUUUCUUCUUGCAGUGUUGACAUAUUGCAUCUGGCCUAAACCAGCAUCUAUCCUCUGGAUGUCCAGGUUUCUUACAAUGUCUGCAGGGCUGAUCAUUGCUCCUUGCAGCAUCAGGCUUAGGCCUGCUUUUCUAAGUUUUUUUGCCUCUUUGAGCAUUGGUGCUCGAGGUCUCUCUUGUCUUGGCUUGAAAUGCACCUUCCUGGUGGUCUUCAGCUCUGCUAGCUCUCCUUUGUUCCUGAGCAUAAAAGGUGUUGAUAAGCUCAGUCAAAGAGGUGCUAGCAAGGUCUCUUGAGUCCUCUAAGGAGGAUAUCUUUGCCUCAUAUCUCUCAGGCAAAGUGGAGAGGACUUUCUCCACUAUUCUUGCCUCAUCAAAGUGCUCACCUAGGAGCCUUAUGCUGUUAACCACUGCCAUGAUUCUAUCUGCAUACUGCUUCACUGUUUCUUCUUCCCUCAUCUUCAGAUUCUCGAAAUCCCUUCUCAAAUUCAACAGCUGCUGUUGCCUUGUCCUCUCUGUACCUUGAAACUCCUCUUUGAGCUUAUCCCAAGCCUGUUUUGGAGUCUCAUAGGCCAUAAUUCUGGUGAAGAUGACAUCUGACACACAAUUCUGAAUGCAUGACAUAGCUUUAUGCCUUUUGGUCCUCUCAUCAGCAUGUUGCCUAAUCUGAGCUACUGUGGGAUUAGCCCUCAGUGGUGCUGGCUCAGCAUUUGUGUUGACAACUUCCCACAGAUCAAAGGCCUGCAGGUAAGUCUUCAUCUUUACCAACCAUAUGUGGAAGCCUUCUCCAUUGAAGACUGGUGGGGCUGCUGGUGAAAAUCCUGAAGAAGCCAUUCAGAUUCCUUGGUUUAAAGCAACAGGUCCACUAAGACAAAAGCUCUAGAUACCAAUUGUUGGUGUUAAGAGGAAACAGCAAGCUGAUUUGAGCUUGCUUGGGCAGCAAGUGUCGAGCCUUGCUGAAGAAACAAUCGAAGAGGAAAGAAAAAUAUGCAAUGGAAAACAGAAAAGAAAGAGAUAAAUUUGAAUGAAAAAUGAGCUGAAACUUUCAUUAACAACAAAAUGAGGUAUUAAACCAUUACAUAUAUUAGUCAACUUGGAAAGUAAAACUUGCAAACAAGUAAACACCUAAUCAGCCACCUAACUCCACUAAUUUACAUUGAAACUUGCAAGAUUAACUUGCUUACAUAGCUUUGUUGAUUUUCAGUCAAUCAACAUCAAAACAUUUACCUACUAAGUUCAAAAUGAACUAGAUUACAAAAGAAUUACAUGAGAACUAAAUGUAGUAAGUAAACUAGAAACUUCUAGCUUCAGUUGCUGCACAGCAAGGCUCGAAUGCCUGCUACGUUUUCUUCUUGCAUGGCCACCUUUGCAUGGGAAGCUGAUUGCAUGGGAACUAACUUUAACAAGGAGACAAGCUCAGACGAGCUGCAAUCUUGUCAGAAAUGCUGAAGAAAGUAGGAAAGCAUGUUCUAAACCUAGAUGAUGUGUGGGAUGAAGCCUCUCUAGAAGAAUUUGGGAUCCCUGACCCGAGUGAUAGCAAUGGCUGCAAGUUGGUGUUGACAACCCGUUCGGAGCAUGUCUGUAAGUAUAAGGGUUGCACGGUGAUAAAAGUGAAGCCCCUUUCAGCACAACAGGCAUUGACACUGUUCUUGAGUAAAGUUGGGCCUAACAUAGUGCAAAAUCAAACUUCAAUGCCAAUUUUGAGGCUCGUUGUCGAAGAAUGUGCGGGUCUGCCUCUCACAAUUAUCGUCGUGGCUAGUACAUUGAAAGGAGAAGAGGACCCUCUUAUUUGGAAAAAUGCACUCAGGGAAUUGAAAGAGAGAAUAGAAAAAGUGGAAGGAGUGGAAACUAAAGUGAUAGAGCGUUUGAAAUUUAGCUUCGAUCACUUAAAGGACGAGAAAGUGAAAUAUUGUUUCUUACAUUGCGCAUUAUUUCCUGAAGAUUUUGAAAUUUGGAAGGAUGUGUUAAUUGAGUGCUGGAUUGAAGAGGGAUUCAUAGAUGAUAUGGUACAAGACAAGAAAUGAAAGGCUAGGGCCAUGUUAUUUUGAAGAAGUUGGAAGAUAAUUGCUUGUUGGAAAAUGUCUCGAGUUGGAAAAUGAAGAUGCAUGAUGCAGUGAGAGAGAUGGCAUUGUCGAUCACAAGAAUGAAUCCUCGAUAUAUGAUACAAGCAGGUUUGCAAUUAGAAGAGUUACCAGAAAAGGAGCAAUGGAGUCCGGAUAUUGAGAAAGUGUCACUUAUGUAUAACUCCAUAUCAAAAGUUUCCAUAGAUGUGCUGCCUACAAAAUACCAACUGUCACAACCUUGUUAUUGCGGGACAACCCUAUAAAGAAGAUCUCAAUUUCUUACUUCACAAACAUGCCUUGUCCUAGUGUUCUCAAUUUGUCUUUUACAAAGGUUGAGAGUUUACCAAAUUCCAACUAAAGAACCUCACAACAUUGUUGCUUUAAAUAUUAUUUAAAAACUAAUGUAUCAUCCAUAACGAAUCAUACAUCAUUAACACAUAUUAGGGCAUGGGAAAGCUUUUAAAAAAAUGAACUCAAAUUAUACUGCUCUACANNNNNNNNNNNNNNNNNNNNNNNNNNNNNNNNNNNNNNNNNNNNNNNNNNNNNNNNNNNNNNNNNNNNNNNNNNNNNNNNNNNNNNNNNNNNNNNNNNNNNNNNNNNNNNNNNNNNNNNNNNNNNNNNNNNNNNNNNNNNNNNNNNNNNNNNNNNNNNNNNNNNNNNNNNNNNNNNNNNNNNNNNNNNNNNNNNNNNNNNNNNNNNNNNNNNNNNNNNNNNNNNNNNNNNNNNNNNNNNNNNNNNNNNNNNNNNNNNNNNNNNNNNNNNNNNNNNNNNNNNNNNNNNNNNNNNNNNNNNNNNNNNNNNNNNNNNNNNNNNNNNNNNNNNNNNNNNNNNNNNNNNNNNNNNNNNNNNNNNNNNNNNNNNNNNNNNNNNNNNNNNNNNNNNNNNNNNNNNNNNNNNNNNNNNNNNNNNNNNNNNNNNNNNNNNNNNNNNNNNNNNNNNNNNNNNNNNNNNNNNNNNNNNNNNNNNNNNNNNNNNNNNNNNNNNNNNNNNNNNNNNNNNNNNNNNNNNNNNNNNNNNNNNNNNNNNNNNNNNNNNNNNNNNNNNNNNNNNNNNNNNNNNNNNNNNNNNNNNNNNNNNNNNNNNNNNNNNNNNNNNNNNNNNNNNNNNNNNNNNNNNNNNNNNNNNNNNNNNNNNNNNNNNNNNNNNNNNNNNNNNNNNNNNNNNNNNNNNNNNNNNNNNNNNNNNNNNNNNNNNNNNNNNNNNNNNNNNNNNNNNNNNNNNNNNNAGCAUUCGCGGAGGUUUUUGAAAAACGCCGCUAAAGCCCCGAAGACUAAAAGUACUAAUAAUUACCGUCUGUCUAUUAUUUAAACGACAAAUUGGAGUGAUUGAUUAAAGCUAAAAUUAACUAAAUUAAUUAACUAAAGAACACAACAAAGAACAUAUUAGAAAAAUAAAUCCAAAUCACACAAUUUCUUCACUUUGUAUCUUAAUACGGAGAAAUCCCUAAAUUAUGCUAAUAUCUCUCUUCAAGACUAAGAGCAACUGAUUCUAGAUUGAUUAAUUGAAAUUUCUUUCUAAUUAAAACCCCUAUUAUCACAUUAACUCAAUCUAUAGAUCCUUCUAUUAGAUUUGACUCUAAUCCGGUAGAUNNNNNNNNNNNNNNNNNNNNNNNNNNNNNNNNNNNNNNNNNNNNNNNNNNNNNNNNNNNNNNNNNNNNNNNNNNNNNNNNNNNNNNNNNNNNNNNNNNNNAUACUAUAUAUAUAUAUAUAUAUAUAUAUAUAUAUAUAUAUAUAUAUAUAUAUAUUUAUUUAUUUAUACCUAAUACAUGCCAUUUACUAGUAUAUUAGACAUUCUUAUACCCUGCUUUCCCAUACAUUCCCAUUAUUAUGAUGAUGAUGACGAUGUUACAAUUAAGCACCAAGAUGACUGCAAAACUUGUUAGUAUUGUCCAGGAUGCAUGGAAAGGACAUUUCCAUGGAUUUUAGACCUCAUAUCUAUCUUUCAAAUUUUGAGAGCAGAUUCAAGGUUUUAUCAAGUAGAAAUGUCGGUAUCAAAUACCCAAAAUGCCAACUAAUAAUGGCAGACAGCAAAGCAAAAAGCUAAAAGAAAAUGUGGGAUUUCUUACUAAUAAUCCCGCCUUUGUGGAACCCACCACAGAAGUGAAGGCCUCAUUAUUUUGCCUGCUUUUAUCUUCACUUUCUUCCCUUUUUUGCUAUUCUAUCCACAACAUUCUUUCUUCUUCACUGUUUUUAUCAAGCAUCCAGUCAAGGUAAUUUUCUUUCAUUUGCUUAAUCCAUGACAUGCUUUUCAUUGCUUAGUUCAUGACUAUGCAAUGAUUGUUUUUUAUUAUCUCUGCUUCAGUUAUAGCAGUUUGCUUUGUAAGAUAGUCAAGGGAGUGAACUUCACUGCUUCAUUUUCAGUUCUAACCUCUCAACACCUUUCAGCCAGUAGGUCAGGCAAUUUCUGCUUCCCAUUCUUUGAUCCUUAAAUAUGCAAUUCAGCUCAUUUGAAAAUUGGUUUGCUUAUUAUCAANNNNNNNNNNNNNNNNNNNNNNNNNNNNNNNNNNNNNNNNNNNNNNNNNNNNNNNNNNNNNNNNNNNNNNNNNNNNNNNNNNNNNNNNNNNNNNNNNNNNCCUCUAAUUUAAGCACAUAAAACAUGGAUCAAUAGUCUAGAAAUAUUAAACCAUGAAUUAAGAACACAUAAUUGAGAACAAGAUUUAAGUAUUUAUUGCAUAAAAAUAGAAAUCAAAUAAUAGAAUUCAUCCUAAGGUUCAUCUCCCUAGGUAUUUGGAAAAAAUUAGUUCAUAUAGUAAAUAAAAGCAUCUCAAAGAUAGUAUAACUAUAAGAAAUAAAGAAACUCAUAACAAACUUCAAAGAAAUCAAAAGGAGAACUUCAGUUUUGAUGGAAAUAUGCUUCAAAGUCGGCUUCAAUGGUAUUUUUCGAGUUGUUUUCUUCAAUAUUAUAUGACGACUCACUCCCCUCUUCUUAUCUUUUUCAUAUAUGUCUUAGAAUGCUCGAAAAAUUUAAAAAUUACGAUUUUCUGUGUGUUUAGAGUGCAAUUUGUGCUUUCCACACGGUUUGGCACAUUGUUGUGUGGCAACUCGUAUGGCUCACUUGGCUGUGGAAUGGCUCAGCCCGUGUGGCUCAUGAAACUUAAAAAUUAAAAAUUAAAAAUAAAAAAGUUAGAUCAUUACAUGCUUCAUCAAUGGUUCUCGAAACCAAAUUAGUAAUAUUAUUGAGUUUCAUGUCCUUAAAGAACAUCUAAAAUUGAUAUUGCAGAGGCUUAUGAAAUUGACCUUGAUGCCAUUUUUUUUUUAGCCUAAAGCUAUUAUGUUUCAAACUCAAUUCAAUUUUUCAUUACAUUUAAAUUAUAUUUUGAAACUCAAAUUGUAAAAAGAAAUCAUAUUCAGAAUUUUAUCUUUUCUUGUAAGGUAAAAAUUAUGUCAAGAAACAGAAGAGGUAAAAAACAGAAAACAAAUAAAUCAGCUUAAUGUUUGUUUUCUAUAUUUGUUUUUAAAGAACGAGUAUUGGAUAUUUCGAUAUACAUAAUAUAGAGAAUUUCUGUAGGGUUUAAAAAUAAUUAUCCCUCAUUUUCUCUCACUUUAUUUAUUUUUGAAAUUUUUAUUAAUUUUUAUUUUAUUUUUAAUUUUAUAAUGUUCUAAAAUUUUAAAAAUAAUUUAUUUUUUUACCAUUUUAUAUAUUAUCAAAAUUAAAUUGAGUAAAAAUAUAAACCUUAAAAAAGACUAAAAUAACAAUUAUAUUAAUUAAAAGAAUGGUAACAAUGGAGUAUGUAAGAAAUUGUCCAAGAGUUAAAUCCAAAAUGUAAAUUCAACAACACAAGUUAUUUACUACAACACCAAUAACUAUANNNNNNNNNNNNNNNNNNNNNNNNNNNNNNNNNNNNNNNNNNNNNNNNNNNNNNNNNNNNNNNNNNNNNNNNNNNNNNNNNNNNNNNNNNNNNNNNNNNNGCUCCUAAUGCCUCUGAAGGUCUUGCCAUGGAUGGUCCAAGUGCUGGGUUGCUACUGCCAACAUCAGAACUAGUUGGAGAAGAAGCUGUCAGAAAUGAGAUUUGGGAAUGUUUGAUGCAGGAGGAGGUAAGCAAGAUUGGGGUUCGGGGGAUGGGCAUAAAAAAUUAUUAAAAUAGAUCAUUGCUAAUUCUCUCUUUUCUUAAUCGGUAAGUUUCUCUCUUCAAAUCCUUUUAUUUCUUUAUUGAAUCCAUCGCAUAUCAUUUGCAAACCGAUUUCUGUACAGUUUGUUUGUUCAAUUUUUCUUUUUCCAGUUUUUUUCUUGAUUUAGAUGGAAGAUUCUUUUGUCGCAUUUGAAGAGUUUCUAAAAAUUUUAGGGUUUUCCUAAAUCUAACUUUCUUGACACCACGUGCGCGUAUAAAUUUCUUUCGUGGAGAUUAUUUAUCAUGUUUGUGUGUUUGGUCUCUUGAGGUUGAGCUGUUUUUAUUUUCAAAAAUAAAUAUUUAUUUUCUUUUGCAUUUAUUUCUAAUAUCACCAUAAAUUGUCUAGGGUUGUGGAUUUUGGGGAUUUUGGGUUUUGGGUGAUCUAAUUUGGGGAUUUUGAGUAAGGGUUUUGAUUUUGGGGAUUUUGAUUUUAGGAAUUUUUAUUUAGGGUUUUUAAUUUUGAAGAUUUUGGGGAUUUCUCACACCGCCCUCCUCAUCAGCUUCAAAGCCAACAAAUCUACAUCUAAGCUCAUGCAAAAAGUCACCAGAACCCAUGCUUGAAACCUCAGGUCACUUCCGCCAUGCGGAUUGCAUCAAACUGAUCGAUGACUCUAUCAAAGAGCUCCAAAAAUCUAUAUGUAAAUUUUUUUCAUAUCAGAUGCUCCAACUUUGUGCCCAUGAGUCAUGAGUGAUCUUCAAACCUAGGUUAAUGCUGCCCUAACGGAUGAAGAUACUUGCAUGGAUGGAUUCUCAAGCAGGGCCAUGAAUGGGUAUGCAAAGAUGAUGGUGAGGAAACGAAUUAUUAAGAUCACACGUUUGACGAGCAAUGUUUUGGCUCUCAUUAAUAACUAUGCUUCAUCUCAGAUCCUUCAUUGAUUUUCUUGAGAAAACUUUGAUGGCAAGGAAAGUAUUGUGUUUCAUGGAUUUAUGUUCAAUAUAGGAUUUUAUGUUUUGGCUCUCAUUAAUAACUAUGGUUCAUCUCAACUCUAUGUUUGUGGUUCUUGAUUUUUGCAAUUGUAUCAAUUUGAAUAUGAAAUUUGUGUUCGUGUAUGUUUAGGGUUUUUAUUAUUUUUUUAAUAAUUUUAAAAUCAUUUGCUGACGUGGUAUAUAAAAGAAAAUAAUGUUAUGUUAGUAUUUAAAUUCAUUUGGACUGUCAUGUCAGAGGUUAAUGUUGACCAUUAGACAACUAACGGCCACAUCAGCCUCUAUGUUAAAAAUAAACCAAUUUGUUAGAAAUUUAAAUUUUGCACUAUAAAAUUAAUUUUUAAAAUUAACUAUUCAAUUUGUAAUUGAUUUUAUUAAAUUAAAAUAUUCACUAAUGUUUGAAAAUGUUCUCCAUGUUAAUUAUACACUUGAUUGUUUUUUUUUUAAAUUAUUUAAGAAUUCAGUUAAAUGGUAAUCAAUUUAUAUUAAAAUAUCAGUUUUAUUGGUUGUAUUAUUUCAUUAGUGUUCUUAUAAUAUUAUUUCAUUUUUAUUUAUAGACACCAACUUCAAAAUCAAAAGAGGAUUAAUUCACUAGAAGAUAUGGCUCAUACUGUAAACAAUAAAUAAGAUAUUAUAAAUUGAUAUCAUUAAAAUUUAAAUAAUAUACAAAGAGUAGCAAAAUAAAUUGAAAACAUAUUAUAUGAUCUAAAUGAACUAUAAUAAAAGGAUUAUAUAUUUCCUAUCAAUCCUACUAUAUUGUCUUUUAUAAAUAAUUUCCUAUCAAGCAAGUUGACAGCUAAAGGGUGCAAAUUUGACUUUGCUAAAUUCUCUAGCAUCAAAGAGGCAAGAUAUAUUGCAAACAAGACAUAAACCAAUAUCAACAUGGUGAUUCCAAAAUUCAAAACACACUAAACCCCUACUUUUGUAUGAUAGAGAAAAUAUGAUGUACAAAUUUAUAGUCAUGGAAUGUAUUAGGUGCAUUGAAGAUAAUUCAGUGUUAGAAUCAAAGAAAUUUAUCGUUAUUUUUGUGAAUUGUAAAAUUGUGCAUCAACUGGGAAAAAUGUUUGUCUUCCAUUACAAGAAUUUCUUUAAAGUUAAUAGUUUGAGAGAUAAUUUUAAGGAGGAAUUGGAAGGCAUUGCUAUAAAGAGAAUCUGAAGAAAGUAAUUUCGUUUUGAGUUUCAAGUGAAAGGAAUGAAAGAAAGGUUGCUUAAAUAAAUACAGGAUUGGAUAUUGAGUUGUUUUGAAUAGUUGGAGCGAAGGACACAUGGACCAUAUGAAAUUCAAGUCUACCAAAGUAAUGCAAAUCAGAUUCCUCUUUGGAAAUGACAACUUUUCAAAACAUUGUCAAUCUACCUUGAAAGGUGGCAUCUGUGAAAGAAUCAAUCAUGAAAUAUUAAAAUUAUACUAAAACGACUACAAAGAUUUAUUUCCCCUAUAAAUAAAUGUUUUCUUUUCUUCCUUAAAAAUUAACAUGAUUUUAUCUUAAUAUACAUAUAUAUAUAUAUAUAUAUAUAUAUAUAUAUUUACGUCUCAAAAUAGCCUUCUAAAAUAUUUAUUUUAAAAAAUAAUUUAUAUAAUACAUAUAACAAUUAAUUAUAAACUUAUUUUGAUAUGAUGUCAAAAUUAAAUAUUAUAAUGGUCCUUUAUCACAUUCAACACUAACUUUUAUUUUAUAAUUUUUAAAAAAAGUUAAACUAAUAACAUAAAAAAUUUAAACUAAAGUUUUUAAAAGAAUUUAGGUUAAACUACACCAUUAGUCACUCAAAAAAGGUCCAAUUUUCAUUUUGGUCACUUAACUAAAAUAAGAUACAAUUUGGUCACUAAUGUUUCUAGAAAAAUAUUUUGGUCACCUGACUGUUAAGUUGCGCUUACUUUGGCUGGUAUGAUAACAAUUUUUGUCACAUCCCAGAAACCAAGUUAGUAGAAAUUGGGUUAGUGAAACCAAGAGUGGUCACGUUCUGUUUUUGAGUUAAGAUUGUGAAAAUUAUGUUAAGUAAAUUUAUUUGGUUUAGUGGUUAAGUGCUUUGGAUGUGUCUAAGGUCUUGCGUUCAAUUUUUUUCCCUUAAAUUUUCAUUAUUUUUGUCCUAACUUCCAUCUCUGAACAUCUAGCUUAUAUAUUAUUUUUUCUCAAUUGAUGAUAAGAAUGAGUUUACUAGUUUAGUGGUAAGGCUUUAGUUUACUUAGAGGUCUUGUGUUUGAAUCUUAUGUAUGUAAAGUUGAAUUAUUUUUGUUUUUAAACUCUGAGAAAUUUUUUUUAUAAGGAUAACUAAUCAAAUUGAGUGGGGAAAAUUUCCCCAAAAUUCUCCUCAUUCUGUUGCUCACUUCUUCCCACAUUGUUCACUUUUUCUUGUCCCUUUUCUUUUUACAUUUGAUUUCUUCCUCUUUUUUUUUUUUUUGCUUUAGUAGUUUUGCUACCUUCCUUUCUCAUCUUUGCUCUACUAUUUUUCUUUUGUGUUAUUCUAUUGGUACGCUGUUGAAUCUCUGUUAUUCCUUCGGGUAAGUGUUGGUUACUUGUUUUAUAUAAAUGUGGUGUUGGGUUAAUCUUUCAAGUGAUUGAUGGUUUCAAUUUUGAUCUUUGCAAUGUGUUGUUAGGAGAAGAUCGACAGACUCUUGAAUUGUCUCUAGCGAUUUAAGUGCGGGAAAGGGCUGUUGUUUUUGCAAGGGUAAGUGAUUAAAGUUUUCAAUUGGAGGUUGAUUCGGUUGCUUAGGCUAACUGUUUAGCAUUUGCGAUUGAAUUAGUGACUUGGAUUUAGCAUAUUACUAAUAAUUCUUACGUUAUAAAAUGUCAGUUUAGGUACUGAAAUCCUCGUAGUGGUGUUAGCAUCGAAAAUCAACUAGGUGUGUAACGAAAAUAUCAAAAAUAACAAACGACACGAUGUUGAAAAACCCACUAUCGACGUCACACAACCAUGUGCCAGGUUAUGUGGGUCAUACGGGCUGGGUUAUUUGGGCCGUGUGGGCUACAUGGGUGUGUGUUAGGCUAUGUGCUAGGCCAUGUAGGCCACACGGGUUGGGCAGUUACGUCAUGUGGGCCCAUUUUUUGUAAAAUUCUGUCAAGGUUGUAUUUGAAGUGCGAUUUGAAAUUAGUCACUUUGUAGGUUCCGAAAUGUGUUAUGUAUGCAUUCUGGAUACGAAAUUUGAUAUUUUGUUUCUAUUAAUGUGGUUUUUCAAGCAUAUUAUUCAAUAUUGACAUUGUACAUGUAACAUUCAAGAGCAUGUCUGUGGUAUAGUUUAUGCUUCUGAUCUGUAAUUUGAGAAUCUAUUUAAGCAUGAUCCAUUUAUGUGCAUCUGAGUAUGUAAAAUGUUUUGACAUGUGCAUUGGGGUGGAAUGAUGAUGUGGUGGAGGAAGUGUUUUGGCAGUUUAACUGCAUGCUGAUAUUUAUAAGCCAUCGUUGUUGGGCAACUCGGGAUAACUUAAUUUGUGGUUUAACCACAUAUCUAAUAUGGGUGGCUUAACUAGACUUAUUGAUUUUGGCAGAAUACCGUAUUAUUUUUGGCAGCAUGAUUGCCUAUUCUAAAAAGUGAUAUAUGCUCACUUAUUGGUGUGACGGAUGGAUGGGCUCCUUAUAACACCCCUUACCCGAGACCAUUGUUGGAAUCGAGCACGAAGCGUUACCUAACUUAACUUACUAAUUCAGAGCAUAAAAAUUUUCUUUUAAAAUUAAUUCAAUCACAUUUAAUCAAUAUGUUCCUAAAAAGGAUCCUCGAGACCCUAAAACAUGCAAUGAAAUCGAUUCGGGUCCAAACCAGGAACAUUUAAAAUUUUUCGAUUACUUAAACAAGUCAAAAUGAUUUAUUUCACUAUCCACAAUAAAAUGUCCACCUGCAUAAUAGUCACUAAAUUUUUUAUAACUCGAGUUACGAAACUCGAAUUUAGAUCCGUCAAUUUUCCCUGAAACUAGACUCAUAUAUCUUCUUUACUUACUCUCUUACUCGUUUACUUACUUGCCUGCUUAAACAAUUCAUGUUUAUAACUUACUCAUUCCUUGCUGAAAUUUCUUUUCUCAACUGAUAACUGAGAUACUCUUAAUCUUAUUAACUCACCUGAACUUGUCUAUUAGGCUUUUACCUGAACUUUCAUGUAACAUCGUCUAUUUACUAGCCCGUUGAAUCACUUGGAAUACUAAGGAUACUCGGGUCUCCUGUCUGAAUAUUAUAGCCAAAGCUAUGUCCCAGACAUAGUCUUCCAUGAGAUGUUUCUUGUAUUGCCAAUGCCAUAUCCCAGAUAUGGUCUUACAUGAGAGUUCUCAUAUAGGUGCCAUUGACAUCUCCCAGACAUGGUCUUAUGGGGGACCUCUCAUCUUAGUGCCAAUGCAAUGUCCCAUCAAGGUCUUAAAUGGGACCUCUCAUCUUGGUGCCAACGCCAUGUCCCAGACAUGGUCUUACAUGGGAUCUCAUUCCCCAAAUGUCAUGACAUUUGUAUCCAUUACAUUCCCAAUGUUUCAACGGGGCUUUUAUCACUAAUUCUCUGUCAUCUAAUACUUGAGUCAACAUUAGAUAUUUUCAUGAAAUAAAUACAUAAUUGCUGAAAAAUAACAGCAUUAAUAAUUAUUAUUAAAAUAUUGCAUUUAUUUACCGUAAACUUACAUCGGUACAAAAUAUGAUCAAAUCUAGCACUUUAGUCCUCAACAUUUUUCUUUCCCCGAUCUAACUCCAAAUUUAGUUCUUCUUGAUCUAUAAUAGCAAAUUUAGCUUAUUUAAUACUCACAUUCAUCAAAACAGUCCUUGACUUGAACUUUAACAAAAUUAAGUUUUUCCUUAAACUUUUGCAUAUUUACACUUUUGUCCCAAAGCUCGGAAAUUAAACUUCAUCCCUUAUUCUUAUGUUUUAUGACAUGCUGAACAUUUUUCCCUUCUAUGGAAAUAUCAAAUUCUCAAUCUAACACUUACUUAUGAACAUUAGGUAUUUUUACCGAUUAUGUCAAUUUACUCGUUUUUACUUAAAAUCGGCUAGCAAAAGUUGUUUAACAUAGUUCCAAGCUUCAUACUCUACCAUAAAACAUCAACAUAAACAAAUUUCACCUAUGGUUAUUUUUCCAAAUAUGAACCCUAGGUUAAAUUAUUGCUAGAAUAAGCUAAAUCAAGUUACCGGAACUCUAAAAACGUAAAGAACAUUAAAAACGGGGCUAGAACGAACUUACAAGCGAGCUUGGAAGCUUGAAAAAAACCCUAUUCAUGGUUUCCCCUUGUGAAAUUCGGCCAUGGGGUUGAAGAUGGACAAAAAAUUGGCUUUUAAUUUUGUUUUUAAUUCAUUUUAAUAACAAAAUGACCAAAAUGCCCUUAAUGAAAAACUUUGGAAACAUGUCUAACCAUGUCCAUUUUUGUCCACCAACUUAACCAAUGGUCUAAUUACCAUAUAAGGACCUCCAAUUGAAAAUUUCAUAACAAUUGGACACCUCUAACAUGUAGAACUCAACUUUUGCACUUUUUACAAUUUAGUCUUUUUGAAUAAAUUGGGUGCCCAAAUGUCAAACUUUUCAAACGAAAUUUUCACAAAAUCAUUUCGUGAAAUCGUAGACCAUAAAAAUAUAAUAAAAAUAAAUUUUCUCAUGUUAAAUUUGUGGUCCCGAAAUCACUAUUUCGACUAGGCCCAAAAUCGGGAUGUUACACUCUUAUAGUCCUAUUUGGUGUGUAUUAGUGGGACAGAAAUGGUGUGUAGUGGAUGGAGGUAGGAUCUAUUUCUAUGUCUGUAUUUGCAUCUGUAUUUGUAUAUGCAUCUGAUUUUGUAUAUGAGAUUGCAUCUCUAUCUAAAACUGAAAUUAUUUAUGUAAUUGAAUUGUAUCUAUUUCUGUAACUAUUACUGUAUUUGAGUCUAUUCUGCCUGUUUGGGUUGAGUUACACACUAAGCCUAUAAGCUCACCCAAGUUCUUUGUGUAACACCCCUAGCCCGUAUCCGUCACCGAAUUAGGGUUAUGAGGCAUUACUGUACGAAUCACAAUUCAGAACAGAGUUUUGCUACAUUUAUUGCUUCUUAAUUUAAACUCAUCAGAACACUUAUUCCAUUCGAUUUUAAACUUAAAAUUUCUAUACUAAUAUCAUAAUUAUAUUUAAGAUUAUUCGAUUAUAUAUAUACAUGUGUCAUUACGCAACAUAUACCAACAUACAUGAUAACAAAUUUUUCAUAAGCUAAUCCUCAAACAUAACCUUUUUAUAGUCUAAGCAUAUUCACAUAUUAAAAUCGAUCAUCAUCCAUACAAAAAUACAACUUUGAUUAACCAUUAUGGCCGAAUAUACUAAUGAUUAGCAUCAACCAUGAUGUGCAUUUAAGUUCAAACAAUAUGAACCAUAUCACAUAAUUAAGUAUCACUCAUUUAAGUAGCAUUGCACACAUUUAAAAUAACAUGAUUUAAAAUUGAACAUAUUUCUCCAUCAAUUAUAAAACCAUGCGCAUAUGACCUUGUUAUCUUAAGUAAAUUUGGGCACAAAUAACAAUUAAGAUUACACAUCAUUCGCAUGCCAAUAUAUAUGCAUUAGAUCGUGCCAAAAAUUUCAUUCAUACCACAAGCUAAGUUAUUCCACAAUUAGACAAUCAUUAUAACCUAUAAUACAUAAUAUAUUUAUUUAAAUGUUAUAAAUCAAAUAUCAUGCUUAUCAUUUUAGCAUCAUAUCCUUAGCCUUAUAAACAUAUUCAUUUUAAUUAUCAACUAAAACAAUCAUAUGACAUAUUCAUAUUUAUCUUUUACCAACCAUACCUAAUUAACCAAUCAUUCAAGCAUGAUAUAUAUGCAUACAUUACCAAUACAAACCGAAUCAAAAUAACCUAUACACAUUCGAACUAUAAUCAUCCUUUUACCCCACUACUAAGCCGAAUUAUAAAUAUACAUCAAACAUUACAAACAUUUAUAUAUUCGGUAUUAAUCUUGCUAAUUUAAUCUAUAAGCAUAUACUAAGUGCACACACAUAUAUGACAUGCAUAAUACUUAAUUCAUAUAUUAAAAUUUUAUAUAUAUCAUUUCUCAUUUUCCAACUCAAAUUCAUGUACUCAUUUAUAGCAUAAAAUACACUUCAAAAACAGACCUAAAUCAUGACUGAAAAUAUAUAUAUUACUUUUGGUACAAGCUUAAUCCAUGACUUAGUUCAAUCGAUCAUUAACAAAACAUAUUAAACAAGUCACACAUAAUCAUACCAUGACCGAAUCUAAAUAACUUAAGAAUCAAAGAAUCUAUUAUAAUCAUAGGCAUAGAAACUAAGCUUAAUCAAAAGAAAUAAGCCAUUUUUGCAUGGCUUAAUAUUAUAACCCAAAAAUCUAGCAUUUCAGCUAUGCUAUACAUGCCAUAAGAUCGAAUUUAAUCUUAACAAAAUACCAAAAGGAGUCGAUAGUGUGAUAGCCUUCUUCGGUGAUCCCUGAGCUCGUAACAAACUUCCAAAAUCUAUAAAACGAAGAGUAAACAUGCACACAGUAAGCUUCCACAGCUUAGUAAGUCAUAAACGAACAUUAAUCAUAUGAACAUUAACACUAAAUCAAAUAGCCAAGUCAAUCCAAACCUUAGUUAAAUAUACAUAUAUCACACUCACAAGUUUAUAUGUUACCCAAAAUAAAUUGGCAGUUAUCAUCAUAUAACUAAAUGCACAAAUACUCAUAAACAUAUAUAAUUAUCACUUUUAAAUAUUGCAACGAUAUCAUUAUGCCAAAUCACUUAUAAUAUUACAAAUACACCAAUAGACCGAAUCACUUAUAUGCUCAAUUAUGCUAACACAUAAUUCAUAUCUUACAUAGCUAUAAAUCAUCAAUUCAAAUAUACAACUUACCUUAAUUUCAUAACAUAGUAUGAAUACAUACUUGAACCUUUUAAUUUGAUUUCACAUUCUAUCUUUACUUCACAUUGCCCCAUGAACCAUUUGGAACAAAAAGGAUACGCGGAUAUUCAGAAGGCUCGCACAAUGCCAACGUCCUAGACAUGGUCUUACAUGUAAUCACAUACCGAUGCAACUGUCCCAGACGUCGUCUUACAUGUAAACACAAGUCGAUGCCAACGUCCCAGACGUGGUCUUACACGAAAACACAUAUCGAAAAUCCUAUGUCAUGACAUAAGUAUCCUAUCUAUUCCUAGGGUUCGUACGGGACUUCCAGACAUUGAUUAUCGAUCAAAUCAAACUCAAAAUAAAUCCCUCUUCCAAGAUCAUAUUCGGCCAAUCAUUUAAUAAACCAAAUAAUUAAUUUAUCACAUAUUAUUUACAUAUUCAUUAAUUUAACAACAUUUAAAAGCUUAUUGACUUACCUCGGAUGUUGUCGUACGAUAUAAUUGACUAUUCGAUUACUUUCGAUUACCCCCGAUCUAAUUUCAUUUUCUUUCGUUCUUGAUCUAAAUAAAUUCAAAUUUAACUAAUUUAAUUACACAUUCAUUCAAUUUAAUCCAAAAACACAUAAAUGAGAAAAUUACCAUUUUGCCCCUGACAUUUUACACUUUUUUGUAAUUUAGUCCCUAUUGCAUAAAACACAAAAUACACAAAAUUUGCAUAUACCAUAGCUAGGCCGAAUCUUCUUAUAGUCCCUCUAAGUCCACACAUUUUAUUCAUUUCACAUUUUAAUCUCUAAAAAUAUUGUUUUUGCAAUUUAGCCCUAAUUACUCAAUUUCAUCAAAAAUUCCAAUACAAAACAUAUUAAUCUAAAACAUAUCUUUCAUUAUUCAUCAUCAAAUAUCACAUAACACAAAUGUUCAUCAAUGGCACAACUCAAAAUAUUCAUCAAAAUAAAAAAAAUCAAACAUGGACCGGAAAGUAUUCGAAGCAACGAUCUUAAAAACGUAAAAAUUAUCAAAAACCAAACAGAGAACUAACCUUAAUCAAGCUUCAAAAUGGCCGAAUAUUGCUUGGCUUCUUUUCUUUUUCUUUUGCAUGAAUUCGGCUAAGGAAGAUGAUAAUAACCUUAAUUUUUUUUAUGUUUUUAUCUAACAUAUAUUAUAAUAUAUUUUUAAUUUACUAAUAUAACCUUAUAUAAAUAAAUAUAACUUAUAUAUAUUUUAAGGUUAACAUUGUCCUUAGCUGUCCACUAAUACUAGCUAUGGCAUAAUUUCAACAUAAGUGCGUCAUAUUAUAAAGACAAGUUCAAUUAGGCAAUCACACAUUUAACUAUCAAAUUUUUAUUUUACGCGAUUAAGCCAUUUUCUUUAAUCAAUCAUUCAAACAAUAAAAUUUAAACACGAAAAUUUCACACAAUCAAAUUCACACAUUAUAAACGCACAAAAUAAUAUUAAAAUAUUUUUUGACUCAGAUUUGUGGUUCCAAAACUACUAUUCCGAUUAGGGUCAAAAUCGGGCUGUUACACUUUGACUUCUCAGGUAAUCAGCAUACUUAGGACCAAACGACGUGCAGAAGCUCAUAUUGGAUUCUCAGUUAUUUAAUUAUGAUGGUUCAUGUUUUUAAAUUAUUCUGGACUUUCUAGAUUUUUUGGACGGUUGUAAAUCUGUUUCUGUAUUUUGCUUUACAUUUUGGUUUGCUUAGUUAAAUUUAGUAAUUAUUACUUAAAACUACAAAGUUUUGUGUUUUGCAAAUUAAGUCACGAUUUUCGAAAUUUAAUACUCUGAAAUUUCCGCUGCAAAAUAAAGUAAUCAUUUAAGUGUUUUUCUAUAAUAAAUUAAAUAGUUUCAAUGAGUGUUUUCUUAAAAACUGCAAAGUGAUUUGUCAGAAUUAAUAUUGUCAAAACAUACGAUUUCAAAUUCAAUUUCUAGGUUUUUUAAAUAAGCUAAUGUAAUUCCUCCAAAUUUGGCCAUAACAUCUAGGUCUUGUUUGGGAUGUUACAAUUUUAGUCCUUAAUUUUUAUAUUUUUAUCAAAUUGACCCUUAUUUUAUAUAAAAAAUUAUAAAAAAAACUCAAAAUCAUUUAUAAAAUAGAAAAUGUAUAUAAAAUUCUAGAAAAAUAAAAUCUUGAAUAUGUUGUUGAAGAACUAAAUUGUAUGAGAAAUAAAGAAAAGUAUCAUUCAAUAGAAUCCAAUAACAAACUUGGCACAUAACAAAAUAAAAAGUUAGAUCAUUACAUACUUCCUCAAUGUGUCUCGAAACCAAAUUAGUAGAAUUAUCUAGUUGAGUUUCAUGCUCUUGAAGAACAUUUAGAACCAGUAUUACAGAGGCUUAUGAAAUCAACCCGGAAGUCAUUUUUUUAGUCAAAAGAUUAAAAAAUAUCCCACAAAUUUUUUUUCAAACUCAAUUCAAGAUUUAAUUAUAUUUAAAUUAUUUUCCAUAACCCAAAUUGUAAAAACAAAUUAUGUUUCUUCUUCCAUGGUCGAGUUGGGCUUGGACAAGGUUUUUAUGUCUUGAGCCGUUACAACUUGACUUCAAUUUAAAUAAUAAAAGUUAUUUUUAAAAUUCAAAUUUAAUUAAUAAUAUAAAAAUGUUUUUUUAAUAUUUUAUUAUUUUCUAAACUCGCAAAUGGACUUUUUGGAUUGACCAAGCAAAGCUAGAAAUGGGUUAGGCUAGAAAAAAUAUUAGAUUAUUUAUAAGAGUAUAUCAAGGAGUCUAAUAAUUACAAUUUUUUUGGAAGGUCUUAAUAACACUAGAAAUCUUAUCACAUGCGUAUGCAUGUAGAAAUCACGUAUGUAUAACACAGACUGUGUUUAAAAAUAACAUACAAUGAAUACUGAAAAGUAUAAUUUGGAACUAAUUAAUAAUAACACGUGAAAUAUGUAUGAUAUUAAAAUAAAAUUAGAUUAAAUUGAGAGUAAAACAAAAUCUAAACACAAAAACACAUCAUAUUAAUAAUACUAAAUAAAUACAAAUGUUUAUCAUUGUUUUGUCUUCAAUCCCGAGUUGGUGAUGCUAAAUCAAUAACAUUAUUUACAUACACAAAUAUAUAAAAACUUAGAACACAAAUGUUUAUCUGUUAUAAAGCAUGUAUGACAUGGACAUUUCUGACAUUUGUUAAUUUUGCAAGUGCAUUAGGAUGAGAUUUGUGUUUACGGAGGAUGUGUGGGAGUUUAAUUCAUUUGCCAUAUUUAGUGGCUCAACCGCACGUAUUUUUGCAUUUGGCGAUGAAUCACCUAAUGAUUUGGCAGUUAGACUGCGAAUAUUUUGAAAUGUUUCAUACUGGCACUAAGCGGUGUGUAGGGUCUGAUAGGUAUUUAAUACCCUAUAUGGUGUGUAGAAAUGGUCGAAGAUGGUGUGUAACGGAUCGGUUUAGGAUUGUAAUCUACACCUGAUAUGUUCUGAUUCUGUUUCUGUAUACGAUAUAUGUCUAAUUGACUUCCGAAAGCAUGUUUGAAAAUUAUAUCUUAUAUUUUUACUCUUAUAAGUUACACAUUGAGUUUGUAAGCUCACUCUCAAUUUCUCUUAUUCUUAGGUAAUCCUUAGACUUAGAUGGGUCGAUGCAACUGGAGUUCGAUUAAUUAUCUACUUGUUAUAUUUGUUAUUUUAAUAUGGUUUAUUCUGUUUUUGUUUUGGACUAUUUUUAAGUUUAGGUUUAGUUUCGUUUUAUUUAUUUAAACAUUUUUAAUUGGUUUAAAUUUGAUCUACAAAAUGUUAAAUUAUAUAGCAACAAAUCGUGUUUUCAAAAUCGGACUCAACUAAGAAUUUUCGCUGCAAACGUAAGUGUUUUAUGAAUAAAUAAUCGACAAAUUUAUCGAAAUGGUUAAGAACGAUAUUUUCCUCAAAUAAAAUCAAAUUUUACUUAAUAAGAGCUAGCAUUGUUUUAUAAGUUGAACAGAUUCUGGGUUUUUAAAUAAAUUGUAGUAAUAUCUCCAGAUCUGGCUAUAACGUCUAGGCCAGGUUUGGGGUGUUACAGAGCCUAUAAGCUCACCCAAUGUUUCUAACUUCUCAAUUAAUCAACAUAUUUAGGACCAGACGACGUGCAAGAGAUCAGAUUGAGUUCUCAAUUAUUUAAGUAUGAUGGUUCAUGUUUUUAAAUUAUUCUGGACAUUCUGAUUUUUUGGGGGGGGUUUGUAAAUCUUUUUUCAGAUUUUGCUUUGCUUAGUUGGAUUUAGUAAUUAUUACUUAAAACUGCAAGAUUUUGUGUUUUACAAAUUAAGUCAUGGUUUUCAAAUUUUAGUACUCUAAAAUUUCCACUACAAAAUAAAGUAAUCACUUAAAUGUUUUUCUAUAACAAAAUAAAUAGUUUUAAUGAUUGUUUUCUUAAAAACUGAAAAGUGAUUUUCUAGAAUUAAUAUUAUCAAAACACACAAUUUCAAAUUUAUUUUCUGGGUUUUUAAACAAGUUAAUCUAAUUUCUCCAGAUUUGACCAUAACGUAUAAACCAAGUUUGUGGCGUUACAAUUUUUGUCCUCAAUUUAUAUAUAUAUUUAUCAAUCUAACCCUGAUUUUAUAUAAAAAAAUUAAAAUCAUUUAUAAAAUAGAAAAAUGUGUAUAAAAUUCUAGAAAAAUAAAAUCUUGAAUAUGUUGUUGAAGAACUAAAAUGUAUGAGAAAUAAAGAAAAUAUCAUUCAAUAGAAUCCAAUAACAAUAAAGAAACAAAACGAAAUAAAAAAGUUCAGUUUCAUGCUCUUGAAGAACGUCUAGGACUAAUAUUAUAGAGACUUAUAAAAUCGACCCGGCUGUCAUUUUUUUGGUCAAAAGAUUACAAAAUAUACCACAAAUUUUUUUUCAAACUCAGUUCAAAUUUUAAUUACAUUUAAAUUAUUUUUCAAAACCGAAAUUGUAAGAACAAAAUGUGUUUCUUCUUCCAUGGUUGGUUGAGUUGAGCUUAGACAAGGUUUUUAUGUCACGAGCUGUUCGAACUCCAAUUCAAUUUAAAUAAUAAAAAUCUUUUUAAAUAUUAAAUUUAAUUAAGAGUAUAAAAAUAUUUUUGAACAUUUUAUUAUUUUUUGAACUCUCAAAUGGACUUUUCAAAGUAGACGGAUUUCUUAUUCGUCUUUUUAUACAUGUAAUUAUUAAUUAUUUUCUCUUUCUUCUUCUCCUUCACACACUUUCCCAUUAAUUCCUAUCACAAUUUUGCUUAUUUCUAUUUUCACCUUUUUCUUCACUCUUUUUAUUUUCUUUUCAUCUCCAAGGUCUAUCACUAAUUUUCAAGCAUCCAGUCAAGGUAAUUUCCUUUCAUUUGCUUCAUUCAUGACUAUACAAUGAUUGUUUUUUUAUUAUCAGCUACUGUUAUAGCAGCUUGCUUUGUAAGAUGGUCAAGAUAAUAAGAUCUGCGGCAAUGGUUUCCUCUAGUGAUUAUCAACAGUUUUAGAUUUUAAGACAGGAUGAUCAGCAGACAUAAUCUACUAUAGAUACAGAUUAAUACGAAAAGAGCUAUGCUUUGUAAGAUAGUCAAGGUAAUAAGAUCUGAAGCAAUGAUUUCCUCUACUGAUUAUCAAUUUUAAGACAGGAUGAUCAGCAGACAUAGUAUACUAUAGAUACAAAUUAACUCGAAAAGAGCUACCCAGAAGCAAUAUAAUGUUGAAAUCUCAUGCUGAUGAACAUUUUACCUCUUCAUAUUCUGUAAUGAACUCUUGCACACUUGAAUCUAGCAUGUUGUAUAGUUUGAGGGGUUGAUUCUGGAUAUACAAUGGUGACCAGGAUUUCAUCAUGUUUCUGUCUGCCACCCAUCCAUAGCUCCAUCUAAUAGACGCCAUUGCUUGAAACUUGCAUUCAUAAUUUCCUUUUCACGCUUACACCGACAUAUCAAUACUUCAUAAAAUAUCCAACUCAUUCACAGAUUUUCAUUCUCUGCUACUGUUAUAUAUGAUUGCAUUACAGGGACAUAGCAAUGGAGUACGUAGAGCCUGUUGUAGGCAUUGCAAAUUGUCUCGGAACUCCUGUUUGUAAAUAUUUGCAAUAUCACAGAAAGCUGAACGAUUAUGUGAGAAACUUCAAGAGGAUCAGAGAUGAAUUGAAUUGCAAAAUGGAAGAUAUAGAGCUGCAAUUGAAAGCAGAGCUUCUUCGUCCUUUGGGGAAGAUACCAAAGAAGGGAGUUGAAAAUUGGUUGAAAGAUGUGAAAGAGAUGAUUGCGGAAGCACAGGAUGUGGAAAAUAAAGUCAGGAACGGAAGAUAUCUCUGUCGUGCUUGCAACGGGAAGCUGGUUGAUGAAAAGACUCUAGAAAUGAAGGGAUUUCUUGAUAAAGCUCCUAAUGCCUCUGAAGGUCUUGCCAUGGAUGGUCCAAGAGCUGGGUUGCCACUGCCAACAUCAGAACUAGUUGGAGAGGAAGCUCUCAGAAAUUUGAUUUGGGGAUGUUUGAUGCAGGAGGAGGUGAGCAAGAUUGGGGUUUGGGGGAUGGGCGGUGUGGGUAAAACCACUAUCAUGAAGCACAUCCACAAUGAUCUUUUGAAACAACAAAGAUUCGAAAGGGUAAUCUGGGUUACCAUAUCAAAGGAGUUCAAUGUAAUGAAGGUACAAGAUAAUAUUGCAAGUGCGUUGGAGUCGAAGGAAUAUUUAGACAAAGAAGAGGACAAGCUCAGACGAGCUGCAAUCUUGUCAGAAAUGCUGAAGAACGCAGGAAAGCAUGUUCUAAUCCUAGAUGAUGUGUGGGAUAAAGUCUCUCUAGAGGAAGUUGGGAUCCCCGAGCCAAGUGGCAGCAAUGGCUGCAAGUUGGUGUUGACAAGCCGUUCGGAGCAUGUCUGUAAGUAUAUGGGUUGUAAGGUGAUAAAAGUGAAGCCCCUUUCAGAAGAAGAGGCAUUGAUACUAUUCUUGAAUAAAGUUGGACCUAACAUAGUUCAAAGUCCAACUAUAAUGCCUACUUUGAAGCUUGUUGUCCUCGAAUGUGCGGGUCUACCUCUUACAAUUGUCGUGGUAGCCGGUACCAUGAAAGGAGAAGAUAACCCUCUUAUUUGGAAAAAUGCACUCGGGGAAUUAAAAGAGAGAAUAGGGAAAGUUGAAGGAGUGGAAGCUGAGGUAAUCGAGCGCUUGAAAUUUAGCUUCGACCACUUAAAGGACGAGAAUGUGAAAUAUUGUUUCUUACAUUGCGCAUUAUAUCCCGAAGAUUUUGAAAUUGAAAAGGAUGAACUAAUUGAGUGUUGGAUUGAAGAGGGAUUCAUAGAUGAUAUGCGUACAAGACAAGAAAUGAAAGGCAAGGGCCAUGUUAUUUUGAAGAAGUUAGAAGAUAAUUGCUUGUUGGAAAAUGUCUCGAGUGGAAAAAUAAAAAUGCAUGAUGCAGUGAGAGACUUGGCAUUGUCGAUCACAAGAAUGAGUCCUCGAUAUAUGAUACAAGCAGGUUUGCAAUUAGAAGAGUUACCAGAAAAGGAGCAAUGGAGUCCGGAUAUUGAGAAAGUGUCACUUAUGUAUAACUCCAUAUCAGAAAUUUCCAUAGAUGUGCUGCCCACAAAAUGUCAACUGCUCACAACUUUGUUAUCGCAGCGUAACCCUAUAAAGAAGAUCUCAUAUUCUUUCUUCAUAAACAUGCCUUGUCUUAGUGUUCUCAAUUUGUCCUCUACGAAGAUCAAAAGUUUACCAAAUUCCAUCUCUGAACUAAAGAACCUCACAACAUUGUUGCUUCGUGGCUGUUAUGAAUUAAGAGAUCUGCCAUGUCUUUCGAUGCUUCAAGAAUUGAAGAAGUUGGAUCUUUCUGCGACUAAAAUUGAGGAAGUCCCUGAAGGAAUGGAUAUGCUAAUAAAGCUAAGAUAUCUUGAUCUUGAAGUGCUCACUCUGAAAGAGAUACCCGCUGGACUUUUACCAAAACUCGUUCACCUUCAGCACUUGGGUUUUCAUGUGAACAAUGAAAAAACAAGUCUAAAAGCAGAGGAGAUGGAACCAUUGAAGAAGUUGGGGUGCUUAACCGGAUGUUUCGAAGACAUCAAUGAAUUGAAUAAGUUCAUCUCCUCAAUGCAACAAAGUAAGAAAAAUCUCAUCAAGUACUCUUUACAGGUGGGCUUAGCUAAGUUCCUUCAUAGAAGAGAUAAAAGAGUAACAAUUGCAGGAAUCCAGAAUUGGGAAGGUGAGUUAAUUAUGCACCCAAUUGAAAUUCAAGAGUUGAAUAUUGUUAAGUGCGACUAUUUGAGAAGCUUAGUCGAUGACAAUUCUUCCUUCAAAAAUGCGAUUGACUUGAGGGUUUGUAGGAUUUGGGGGUGUGAAGGGAUAGAGUGUGUUGUUUCCCUGUCCUCUUUUGCCUCUUCUUCCGCUCAUCCAUUUCAGAGCCUGGAGAUGUUGGAUCUUAAACAUCUGCCAAAGUUGAGUGCCCUUAUUAUGAAAGAUGCAGGAAUUGGUUCAGCAACAACAUCAACAUUGGCUCCGUCUGCCUGCUUUUCCCAUCUUAAGAAAUUUUAUGUAGUGAGAUGCUCAAGUAUGAAGACGUUGCUUCCACAUUGGUUGCUUCCAAACAUCCAAAACCUGGAAGAAAUUUGGGUGUCAGAAUGUGAUGAGAUAGUAGAAAUAUUGGGAGCAGCAACAUCAGAAGUUGAAGAAGAAGGGAGUGAUGCAUUAAUCAAAUUCCAUCUUCCCAAAUUGAUAAAGUUGGAAUUGUGGAGAUUACCAAAUUUGAAGAGCAUUUGCAGCAAAAGUAGAGUGAUGGUUUGUGACUCUCUCCAACUUAUCCGGGUUUUAGGAUAUUGUACUAAACUGAAGAGAAUUCCUCCAUUUGUUCCCCUUGUUGGCAAUGGGCAGCCAUUUGCAUAUGCUCCACCUUCUCUUACCAUCAGGUCAUGGAAAGAAUGGUGGGAAUUGUUGGAGUGGGAUGACCAUCCAAACUUUAAAAAUGUUCUUCAACCCCUUUGGAAGGAAGAAAGGUAUGAACCAUUUAUAGUUUAGUUUAUUUAUUUUUAUUUUUAUAAAUCUAAUUUCUCCAUAUUAAUAAAAUUUCAGGGGUAUUUGGAGACGUCGAAGAAGAGAAAGAUGAAAGGGUUGGUGGGAAAAAAGGAGGGGGGAGGAUAGUGCAAAAGAGAGGAGAAAAGGAAUGAUGGAAGGAAGAGGUAAAAACCAAAUAAAUUAGCUUCAUAUUUUUUCUAUGUUUGUUUUGAAAGAAUGAGUAUUGAAUAUGGAUAAAAUAGAGAAAUUUGGUAGGGUUUAAAAAUAUAAUAUAUAAUUUAAAUAUCAAUUAUUCAAAAUAAUGGUAUUUUAGAUAGCAAAGGUAUUGAAAAUUUAAAGUGAUUAAUUACCUUUUUAUCAUUAUAAAUAAAUACCAUAAUUUCUUGUUAAAUAAAAUAAAAAAAUAUCAUUACUUCUUCUUUCAACAAUCAUUCUAUUCUAAAAAUAAAAAUUACCUUUUUUAUCAAUAUAAAUAAAUACCAUAAUUUCUUUUUAUUCUGGAAAAAAAUUUGAAAAUUUAUGUUGUUUUCUUGAAAAUUUAUCAAUUUAUAUUGUUUUUUACAAAUAGAAAGGAAAACGCGUCUUAUAGUUCUGAUCGUCCAUAGAAAACAUGAGACGCGUUUUAUUCUCUUUCCUAAAAAGCGCUUUGUAGGAGCAACUAAGGACAAUGAACCACGACGUUCAUGUCUUUUGUCAAUUGUGCAUAAUUUUGAUUGGUACAAUAACACAUUUAGCCCUUGAUGUUUACAUACUUUUUUAGUUUGGUCUUGAUUCUAAAAAAAAGCAACAAAUUCAGUCUCAUCAUUUACACAUUUACAAAAAUAUAACGGGCUAAAUUUGUUAUCAUAUCAAUCAAAUUUAUGUAAAAUUGAUGAAAAAUAUUAAUAUUGUGAUUAAUUGCUCACUUUCGAAAUUAGUAGGGAUUAAAUUGCUUCGAUUUGUUUAGAGGGACCAAGUUGCCGAAUAUCAUAAUUGAAAGGGAUUAGAGAGGUUAUUUUACCUAGUUUAAUAAUUAAAUGGCAUGUUAAAUAUUAUGUGACAUAAUUUAAAAUAAAAAUUUGAAAAAAAAAAAGGAAGAUUGUAAAAAUAGUUGUUUUAAAAAUCAUGGUUUUGAAGUUUUUACAAAUUUUUUAUUCAUUUUUUUAAAUUUCAGUUUUAUUUAAUUUUAGUUUCUUUAAAAUUUUCAUUUUAAAAUUAGUAGUAAAAUUUAACGUGUCAUUUAAUGAUUUUAAUAGUAAAAUGACAUGAUUAAUAUAACAUCAAUAGUUUAUAAAUGUAAUUAGAUAAGUUUGAAGUUCGAAAAUAGAUUUAAAAUAAUGGUCAUAAUUUAGGGGUGGUUGAUGUAAUUAACUCAUUUCUAAUGGUACUUAUAAUUAAGUCUGUCUGCCACCAAUCCAUAGCUCCAUCUAAUAAACGCCAUUGCUUGAAACUUGCAUUCAUGUUUCACUUUCAAUCAUUUUCGUGUCCACCUUCAACCAUCAGCCAUCACUCACCAUUGCUUAAGCUAUUUUGCAUUUUAGACCAUAAAUUACUGAGUUGAAAACUCUAGUGUCCUUCUGCAGCCUUUUUUGGUCCAGGCUGGGCUCAAAAAUUUGGGUCGACCUUGAAUAAAACAUUUAAUCCCAUAUUUCAUAUUAGGCCAAGCUUGAGCAAAAAUAACAGUUAGCAAUAUCUUGUCUAAGCCUGAGCCAAAUCCGGCCCAUGAGAUAAAGCAUUCAGAUUGAACUACCGGUAACAUUAUGAGUUUUUGGUCCAUCCUUCAUGGGGAUGCAAAGAACAAAAUUAACUAACUUUUGCCACUAUAGAAUGUUUGUUCAACUAAAUAAAAUAAAGAUUGCCCUAUAACUCUAGUUCCAUUCAAGUUAAAACUUCUUCAGGCAAGAUAAUAGUAACAUAAUGCUAAAAGAACCAGCACAACCACCCCAGCAGGAGCUGCCCAUAUCCAGUAGUUCAUCGACUCGGUUCUUUUGGUUCGAUUCCUGUACCUACUAGUAUUCUCCUUUGGUACUUUACCCUUCAUUGAAACGGUAGCAGAAACAGGUGCAUCAGUAUUAACAUCGACCUUCUCGGGUUCUGAAUCUUGUGCCACAGCUUCAAUCAGUUCCUCGGGAUUCACAGCAUUUGUCGAUCCUGCCACCUUCUUCUUAGCUCUCUUUUCACGCUCCUGAAAAAAAGAUCGAAAGAGUUUCAGUUUCAACCCACAAACUAAUAACCGAUAAAGCGAAACCAGAUAAGGAAGCAAAUGAUUUCCUUGAGCUUCUUUUCAGCUUCCAUUUGAGCUCUUCUAGCUGCUUUGGCUGCUGCUUUUUCAGCCAACUUCUUUUUUCUUUCCAUGGCUUGCUUUGCUUUCGCUAUUUCCUCUUCUCUCCAGUUCUUUCAGUUUUGCUGCAUCGACUUCCUUGUUCUUUUGCAAUUUUCCGGAUACCAAAAUUUCCUCUGCUACAACACUAAUAUCUGACAAAGGAUUCGACUCCAUUGCUAUAGUCUCGGCAUCUUUUGGGGCCUUUUUGGCUAGUUUAGUAUCUGGUUGGGGACCUGAUUUGGCCUCUUCCUUUGGUUGUCUUACACUAGGUCUCAGAAUUGUUUCGGUUUCAGAAUCCACUGGUUUCUCGGUGCAACCAGUGGUUUCUCAUCAGGAUUCCUUAUCCGACCAUCCCGACUCAAUAGCCGAUUGUCCAGGGAUGGCAGAAUUCUUUUCUCAUAAUCAUCCCUGAAGAAUUUAUUGCCAUUCCAGAGAGCCAUAAACUUCUCAACCUAAAAGGAAUAUAAAAGAUAAGUGAGCGGCUAAAUAUAAAGCAAAUGAGAUACAUUGGAAGUAACAUUAACAAGCAGUCUCAACAAACCUCCACAAUUGAUAACUCCUCAAGAGCCUUUAUAUCUUUCUGUGCAGCAAGCAGUUUGGCGUUGUGUACAAUGGUACGGCUCUGGUAAAAGUGAGAAUUCUGAAAUUUUGAGAAAGAAAGCAAUUAAAACGAAUCAUUAGUAACAUCAUGCACAGGAAUAUUGGAAGUAGACAUAAUAUGUAUCAUUUAAUAUCUUAAGUGAUACUAGUUAUUCAUGCAUAAAUGAAAAUGUUCCGACAUGGUCAAGUAUUAUACGAAACAGAUAUCUGAAGCAAAGAAAAGGCGAUACCCCCUGAUCACUUUGUUUCCUCAGCUCCUGAAUGUUUUCAAAAGCUUUGUCCCUCUUCAGGGUCACAGCUUUCAGCUCAUUUUGUAAAGACUAGAUUUUAGUCUCAGUUUCAUCCAAUUUAUCUUUAAUUUGCUUUUUUUUUUUUUGGACCAGACUGCAUGCUGCUCCUUCCUUACUCCAUUCAAAUCAACACCCAUAAGCUACAAUAAACAAAUAUAGCAUUUUUUUUUAGUGUAACACAAUGGUGCUCGAUAUUCACAGAAAAAAAGAGGAGCAAACCCCGAUGGAUAAAGCAGAAAAUAGAAUUAUGUUACUUUAACUUGAUCUUGAAUGUCUUCUUUCUGGCCUAAUGAAUCUUGAAUCUUUGAUCUCAUUGCAGCAUUAGCAAUAACUUUCUCGCGGGUUCCCUCCAGGUGUUUGAUUUCUUCAAGGAUUCGCUUCUCCUCGCUCAACGAGAUGCUUUCAUGCUGAAUGCGAUAUGGCAAGCUAUGGAUCUGCAAUUCAUAAAUUCCAUUGAAGUGACUAAAGGAGAAAAAGAAAAGCAUUAACUGCGGCAGAAAACAAUGAAUAAAUCUAAAUGCAGUCAAAGUUUAUAGAAGUAUCAUACAAUAAAAUCGAGCUCUUCCUCAGAUGCACAUAAACUAAGUCGAUUAUCAACAUCUUUAUUAUUGCGAAGCUUGCCUAAAGCCUGCUGCAGUGGUUCUAUUUCCCUUUUUUUCUCAUCUAAAAUCGUCUUAAAUUGCUCAAAAUCAACAUUCAGCGCUCUCACUUGCGAAAGCCUCUCUGAUCGUUCUGCCUGCAUUAGCAUAAAGAUAAUCACAAUUUAGCCAACUGACAGCGCCAUUAUUUUUUACUUCUUUCACAUUUUUUCUCAAAUUCUGAAGGCAAACACAACAAUAAUGAAUCAUUAUACCAAUAGCAUAUCUGUAAGUCUCAUUACAUUUCAAGGACAUAAAUUUCAAACAUUCAAAUAAAUGCUUCCGGGUUUAAUUCCCCUACAUUCAUCAUAUUACAAUAAGCACACCGUAAUGACAUAAUGAUAGGGCUAAUAAUUAUCUUAAAAGUAUGACAAUUAAUGGCUACCAUGCUAUACAUCUAAUUGAAAUUAAUAACUUUUCACUCACCCUUUUUGCUUUUAAUUCAUCGGUAAGCUUAAACCUGGCUUUAUUCCACUUUUGUAUCUCUUUAUCAGCCUGAUCAAGUUUGGCUUUUAUAGCCGGAUCUUCGUAGAAGCGAUACCUAAUAAAAUGAAAAGAGCGGAUCUGCUUAGGUGCAGGCCACUCGUCGACCGCAUCCUUCAGAAAGUCGGGAUCGGAUGCACCAUUCUCUUCUUCCUUAUCUGGUUCCUCACUAUGUGAAUCAACUUGAAUGGGGUUAUUAUAAACUGGAUCCUUAUCCAGUUUCCCAUUUUCAUGAAGAAAUGAUUUGUCUACUUCAGUCACUUUAUCAAUAGACAAUUGUGCCAGGUCUGAAUCAACAUCCUUUACACCCAUUAAACACAAAUUUGAGCUACCUGAAAACAUGCAAAAACAAAGAUUAUGAUACCAUAUAACAACAAAUAUAAAUAUAAAAUAUUAUUUCAUUCAUAAAAUAAAAAUUUUAAAACCAGACACCUGAUAGACAUGUAUAAAACAAUAUAUAUUAAAUAAAUAAAUUUUAAAGAACAAUUAAUGUAGCCAAUACAAUUUGAAAGUCAUUCCUUUAGCUAAUUUUCUCAUUAAUCAGAUCAAAAGAGUGAACAAACAGUAGAAUUGCAAAAAUAUAUGUAUAUAUUCUAAAUAAAUGAUAAACUAUAUUGGAGAAAAACAAUAAUCAGAUAAAAUCUAGAUCAAAAACUAAAUUAUAAGUACAUUAGCUCAUGCUAUAACAAAAGAUCAAGCCUUUAUCCGUCAAGAAAAUUAACAUGCAAAAUCAUAUGACACUAAUGGAAAAGAAGGGAAAAAAAACCCAGAAAUUUACAAACAUGAGAUAAAAUGAAAAACAAAAAAAAAACCCUAGAAAUAAAAACACGAGAAAUAAUUAUGUAGUUUGUAAGGCCAGAAAGCUUACAUUUUUAAAAUGAAAAUGUCAAAAUAGGAUGUUUUUGUUGUCGAGAGAGGCAUAGAUACAAAGGUUCUGAGGUUCUGGAUAAAAAAAAAAACUUCAACUUUUUUUAUUUUACAUUGGCGUAAUGCCCAAAUUUUAUGAAUUCUAGUUGUUAAACAGGUAUGAUGGUUAAGUGCCUUGAAUGUUUGCUUUAGGUCUUGGAUUCAAUGCUUUUUUUUUUGUUAAAUUUUCCCUAUUUAUUAUGGUAUUAUGUUCAACUUGAGCUUUAGGGCUUCUCUUAUUUUCAAUGAUGAAUCUACUGAUUCAGUGGUAAGAUUUUAGCUUAUCACCAAUUAAAUUUUAUAAAAUUUGGUAAGUGGAAUUUAGAUUAACAUAAAUAUUUUUAUUUAUUUAUUUUAAUUUAAUUUUACUAAAUCUCUAUUUUCACUCAUUGUUUCAACCGUUCACACUCUCACCCCACUUCGUACGCUAAUUUCUUUAUUUCCCUAUUCUGCAGUUUUAUCUUCUUUUCUCUUCCUUCUUUCUUCUCUUUGAUUGUUCCUGAAUACUACCGUUUAUUUUGUGAGUUCUAUCACUUGGAUCGUAUUCUGUUUGAAGUGUAAGUUUCAUUUGGUUACUUUUGUUCUUUUCCCAUUAAUAGUUUAGUUUUAUUUCGUUUCUUGAACAAGUUGAGUUUGCGUUGGUGUUUUAUGUUCAUUAUCAUGAUUAGUAUUUUUGUGGUUCUCGAUUAGGCAAAAGGUGUGAGAAUCCUAACCCUCCAGCAAAGUAGUCACAAUUUCCGACGUUGUUUUGGAGAAUUAAGUAUUCAAAUUCUAUUUUAGGGGCUGAAAUUUUGAUUCAACGAUGUUAUUUUGGAUAAGUAUUGUUAGUUAAUCUGUGUGGUUUGAUGAAUUUAUAGGAUUCGUGAGUUCCAAUUGAGCGGUUGAUCAAAUCAUCAAUAGGUGUAUGAAAUUAACCUGAAAACUCAAUCGAAACUCGAGAAAAUUAAGGGCCACACGACUUUGUGGGUAUUUUGGCCAAUUUUAAGCCCCAAUUAGGGGCCAAUUAAAGGACUCAAAUAUUGGGUCCAUAGCCAUCAUAUAAGCCCAAAAAAAUGUAAGUUUUAGUACGUAUAUAUACAUGGCUAAGCUUAGGAGGUAUGUUAAGUAGGUUGUAUAUAAAUCAUAUGCUAUGUUUUGUUCCUUAUAAAAAUAUGUGUAUGCAUGUCAUACGACUUAUGAUAUAUGUAUUUAUGAUAUUAUAAUUAUGAUUAUGCCUAUGUUUUGGGAUGGGUUAUGAUAUGAUGGAGGAAGUGUUAUAUGAUAGUUUUUAUCGCAAUUAUUGCUGCUAGACUAUAAAAUUUCUAUCUAACAGCUCAGUUGCAUAUUUAUGAGUGACAUACCGCCACAUAUUGGUGUGAUUGGAUGGACGGACUCUUGUAGUCCUAAUUGGUGAUAUUGCUUGGACGGAGAUGGUAUGUAGCAAUUGGGGGUAUGAUAUGAUAUGAUAUGGGAUAUGAUACAAUAAGAUAAGAUAUGAAACAUGCUAUAACAUGAUAUAAAAACCGAUAUGAUAUAAGAUAUGCUUUGAUAUGUUAUGAUACAUUCUGAUUUAUAUAUAUACUACAAUGUGUGGGUCAAAUCACACACUGGAUGUUAAGCUCACACGUUUGUUUAUUUUGUUUCAGGUGAUCUUCAGACCUAGGAGUGGACAAUGACUCUAGAGCUCGUAUUUCACUCUUUCGAUUUAAGUAUGCAUUGGACUCUCUUUUGUUUAUAUGGACCUUUUGAACUUUUGGAUAUUUUAAAUUUAUUUGGGACGCUAAAAAUUAUUUUGGCAUUUAUUUUUCAAAAGUUUUAACUUUUACCGAUACUUAAAUCAAGAUAACUAAAAAUAAACCAUAGUUAUAAGGUAAAUUUGCAAUAAUGCAUUCUGCUGCAAGUUUUAAGGUCAAUUUGCUAUAAUGUUGUCCACUGCAAGUUUAAUUGAAAUUUGCUAAGAUGUUUUAUCUCACAAACAGAGUAAGUAAAUUGAAUACAUUUUGGUAAAAUUAACAAAUAUGGCUUUCUUCAAUGUACUCACGGGUUUUCAAAAAUGGUACAUCUUCAACGGGUUAAUCAAACUUUUUUUCUUUUGACUUAAAUAGUUUUUACCAAAAUAAAGUAAUAUUGUUUUCACACGUAAUGUAAUCUCCACAAUCUGACUGUAACAUCUAGGCCAUGUUUGGGAUGUUAGAAUUAGAGUUUUAAAAAAACAAUUACUUUUUCUCUUAGAAGUUAAUGUCAUUGUAGGGUUUGAUGAGUUAUCUUCAACUUUAAUAGUUAAGCUUCCAAAGUCUAUGAUCCUAUUUAAAUAUAUAAAAAAAUUCUUUAUAUUUAAAAGAUGUUCUUAUAAGGAAACAAAGAUGUUAUAUAUGAUUGUUGCAUGCAAUUAUAUUAUUUUAUGAUUCAGGUUAUAUAUGAUUGUUGUCAUGACAUAUAAGCAUUUAAUUAAUAUUUUAAAGUUUUAAAAAUAAUAAUAAAUAAUUUUAAAUUUUAAAAAAUAAGUUAUAUAUUUUUAAAACCUUAAAAAUUAUUUAAAAACUAAUGUAUCAUCCAUAACAAAUCAUACAUCAUUAACACAUAUUGGGGCAUGGGAAGCUUUUAAAAAAUUGAACUCAAAGAGUGCUGGUUCAUCAAGGCAUGGCAAGUAAGUGAUAGUUGAAGCAAUUUGUGUCAUGAUUACCUGUAUUUCUUUCAUAAUUUCUUUAUCACUCUGUUCCCCUGACACACUGCAAAAUCUCUUACAUUUCAAAUUAACUGAUGUGAAGUAAAACAUUAAAGCAGAAGAGGAUCAACUAUUACCCUCACUAUCUAUUUCAAUUCUAAAAUUCCACCUCUCCUCUCCAACACCUCAUUGGUAGCCUUACUCAUCAUAACCAACACAACCCUAAACUUGAGUUGUCAUAUUCAAAUAUUUAUUUGCACCCUAAGCAAUAGUUUUAGAACAAUUAAAUUUGCAUAAAAUAACAAGUUUUUUACUUGACGUUAAGACUGAGUUAUUAUUCAUUGACACUGCUUUAGAACACUUAUGGUAAUAGUUUUAGUCUUUCAACUUCAUCAAUUAAUCUUUUAAAGUUAUGUGUUGCGAUUGCAGUCAAAGACCAGCUAAAAUUUUAAUUACGGUAAGUGUAUUUAUUAAUUAAAGGUAUAGUUACGGUGAACAAAGAUAUCGUUCCCACAAAGACUAAAAGUAUUAGUAAUUAUUGUCUUUCUAUUAUUUAACUGACAAAUUGGAGUGAUUGAUUAAAGCUAAAAUUAACUAAAGAACACAACAAAGAGCAUAUCAGAACAAUAAAGUAUUAACAACCAAUAAGUGAGACAAUACCUAGGAAAGAAUCCACCUAAACUUCAUCUGUCAUGAUCGAUCUAAAUUACACAAUUUCUUUGUAUCUUAAUACGGGGAAAUCCCUAAAUUAUGCUAAAAAUUUUAGCUUUUCUCUCCCAAAAGCAUUAUUGGUGCUUAAUUACUUUUUCACCCCUCCAAUAACAUAGUAUUUUCCUUUUUUUUUCUUGGUGCUUAAUUACAAAUGUGUUAAAAUCAUUAAUUAAAAAUAAAAAUAUUUUUUAAAAUACUAAUUACAAAUAUUUAAUGGUUAUAUUUAAAUAUUUAAAAUAUAAUUUAUAUAUUCUAAUUAAAUUUUAUAAAUAAUUAAUAUUUAUUGCUUAAAAAUAUUUAAAAUUUAUAUUUCAUAUAUUAAAAUAUUAACAAGUUAUAAUAUUUUUUAUAUUAUUACUAAAAUAUAAUAAUAUUAAUUAAUUUAAAUAUUAUUUAAAUGCAUAUUUGUUACUUGAUAAUAAAUGUCUAAAAUGGAUAUUUUAUUUAUCAAAAACACGUUUAGACAGUAAUGCUAAACACUCAAAUUUUAAACCAAACUUUUCAAAAGCACUUCUCAAAAACACUUUUCAAAAACACUUUUCUACAGCACUUUUCAAAAGCAAUGAAGAACUGGCCCUUAAACUGAUGAAGUUAAAUAUCAUUUAAAGAAAUGGCGCCGUUUAGAGAAAUUUUAAGACAGUUGCAACGUUUUGCAUACAAACGCCGCUAUUAAUGCCACAUUUGCGGCUUUUUAAGAAAAAACGCCACUAAAAAUUAAAGUACUAAAGAGAAACGACAUCGUUUUAUUAAACUUUAAUGCAUAGUUCUGACGUUUUCUGAAAAACGCCACUAAAAAUUAAUUACCUGAAGCGAAACGUUGAUGUUUUGAGAAACAUUAAUACAUCAUUGCGGCGUUUUCCAGAAAAAAGCCACUAAAAGAUUACAUUCAUGUUUUGAAACGGCGCCGUUUUGAAAAUUUUAAUUCAUAUUUACAGCGUUUUCAUGAAAAACGCCACAACGAAAAUUUAAUCCCUAAACUGAAACGACGCCGUAUCGAAAAAUUUUAAUACAUAUUUGCGGCGUUUUUUAUCCAAAAGCCGGUAAUGUCUACCUUUUGCGGCGUUUUUUCUGAAAACGCCACUAAGAAAUUAAAUUCUUCUAUUAAUUUGGUAGGGUUUAAAAAUAUAAUAUAAUUUAAAUAUUAAUUAUUCAAAAUAAUGGUAUUUUAGAUAGCCAAGGUAUUGAAAUUUUAAAGUGAUAAAUUACCUUUUUAUCAUUAUAAAUAAAUACCAUAAUUUCUUUUUAUGCUGAAUUUUUUUUUGAAAAUUUAUCAAUUUAUAUUUUUUGUACAAAUAGAAAGGAAAACGCGUCUUAUAGGACAUGUUUUCUCUGAUCUUCCAGAGAAAACAUGAGACGCGUUUUAUUCUCUUUCCUAAAAAGCGCUUUGUAGGAGUAACUAAGGACAAUUAAUCACGACAUUUAUGUCUUUGGCAAUUGUGCAUAAUUUUGAUUGGUACAAUAACACAUUUAGUCCUUGAUGUUUGUAUAUUUUGUUAGUUUGGUCUUGAUUCAAAAAAAAAUUAACAAAUUCAGUCUCAACAUUUACACAUUUACAAAAAUAUGACGGGCUCAAUUUGUUAUCAUAUCAAUCAAAUUUAUGUAAAAUUGAUGAAAAACAUUAAUAUUGUAAUUAAUGGCUCACUUUCGAAAUUGGUAGGGAUUAAAUUGAUUCGAUUUGUUUAGAGGGACCAAGUUGCCGAAUAUCAAAAUUGAAAGGGACUAGAGAGGUCGUUUUACCUAGUUUAAUAAUUAAAUGAUAUGUUAAAUCUUAUGUGACAUAAUUUAAAAUGAAAAUUAAAAAAAAUUGUAAAAAUAGUUGUUUUAAAAAUCAUGGUUUUGAAGUUUUUACAAAAAUUUUAUUGUUCGUUUUUUUUUAAAUUUCAGUUUUAUUUAAUUUUAGUUUCUGUAAAAUUUUCAUUUUAAAAUUAGCUAUAUAAAAUUUAACGUGUCAUUUAAUUAUAAUAUCAAUAGUUUAGAAAUGUAAUUAGAUCAGUUUGAAGUUUGAAAAUAGAUUUAAAAUAAUGGUCAUAAUUUAGGGGUGGUUGAUGCAAUUAACUCAUUUCUAAUGGUCAUAAUUUAGGACAAAGUGAGAGUGGAAAGCAGAGUUAAAAUAUGACCCAAAGACUAACCUUUUUCUAAGUCGUCUCCUAUCAUAAUUGCAUAAUAAAUGGAUGGGGCCAUUACCAAACGAUGAAGCAAAAGAAAUGGCCUUCAUGUCCACCUUCAACCAUCAGCCAUCACUCACCAUUGCUUAAGCUAUUUUGCAGUUUAGACCAUAAAUUACUGAGUUGAAAACUGUAGUGUCGUUCUGCAGCCUUUAUUGGUCCAGGCAGGGCAGGCUGGGCUCAAAAAUUUGGGUCGACCUUGAAUAAAACAUUUAAACCCAUAUUUCAUAUUAGGCCGAGCUUGAGCAAAAAUAACAAUUAGCAAUACCUUGUCUAAGCCUGGGCCAAAUCCGGCCUAUCAGAUAAAGCAUUCAGACUGAACUACCGGUAACAUUAUGAGUUUCUGGUCCAUCCUUCAUGGGGAUGCAAAGAACAAAAUUAACUAACUUUUGCCACUAUAGAAUGUUUGUUCAACUAAAUAAAAUAAAGAUUGUCCUAUAACUCUAGUUCCAUUCAAGUUAAAACUUCUUCAGGCAAGAUAAUAGUAACAUAAUGCUAAAAGAACCAGCACAACCACCACAGCAGGAGCUGCCCGUAUCCAAUAGUUCAUCGACUUCUUACGUUUCAGGAUGGCUUUUGGGAGGGACUCAGUUCUUUUGGUUCGAUUCCUGUACCUACUAGUAUUCUCCUUUGGUACUUUACCCUUCAUUGAAACGGUAGCAGGAACAGGUGCAUCAGUAUUAACAUCGACCUUCUCGGGUUCUGAAUCUUGUGCCUCAAUCAGUUCCUCGGGAUUUACAGCAUUUGUUGAUCCUGCCACCUUCUUCUUAGCUCUCUUUUCACGCUCCUGAAAAAAAGGAUUGAAAGAGUUUCAGUUUCAACCCACAAACUAAUAACCGAUAAAGUGAAACCAGAUAAGGAAGCAAAUGAUUCCUUGAGCUUCUUUUCAGCUUCCAUUUGAGCUCUUUUAGCUGCUUUGGCUGCUUCUUUUUCAGCCAACUUCUUUUUUCUUUCCAUGGCUUGCUUUGCUUUCGCUAUUUCCUCUUCUCUCUUCAAUUCUUUCAGUUUUGCUACAUCGACUUCCUUGUUCUUUUGCAAUUUUCCGGAUACCAAAAUUUCCUCUGCUACAACACUAAUGUCUGACAAAGGAUUCGACUCCAGUGCUAUAGUCUCGGGCUCUCGGCAUCUUUUGGGGCCUUUUUGGCUAGUUUAGUAUCUGUUUGGGGACCUGAUUUGGCCUCUUCCUUUGGUUGUCUUACACUAGGUCUCAGAAUUGUUUCGGUUUCAGAAUCCACUGGUUUCUCGGGUGCAACCAGUGGUUUCUCAUCAGGAUUCCUUAUCCGACCAUCCCGACUCAAUAGCCGACUGUCCAGGGAUGGCAGAAUUCUUUUCUCAAAAUCAUCCCUGAAGGCUUUAUUGCCAUUCCAGAGAGCCAUAAACUUCUCAACCUAAAAGGAAUAUAAAAGAUAAGUGAGCGGUUAAUUAUAAAGCAAAUGAGAUACAUUGGAAGUAACAUGAACAAGCAGUCUCAACAAACCUCCACAAUUGAUAACUCCUCAAGAGCCUUUAUAUCUUUCUGUGCAGCAAGUAGUUUGGCGUUGUGUACAGUGGUACGGCUCUGGUAAAAGUGAGAAUUCUGAAAUUUUGAGAAAGAAAGUGAUUAAAACGAUUCAUUAGUAACAUCAUGCACAGGAAUAUUGGAAGUAGAAAUAAUAUAUAUCAUUUAAUAUCUUAAGUGACACUAGUUAUUCAUGCAUAAAUGAAAAUGUUCCGACAUGGUCAAGUAUAUAUAUGAAACAAAUAUCUUAAGAGUUGAAGCAAAUAAAAGGCGAUACCCCCUGAUCACUUUGUUUCCUCAGCUCCUGAAUGUUUUCAAAAGCUUUGUCCCUCUUCAGGGUCACAGCUUUCAGCUCAUUUUGCAAAGACUCGAUUUUAGUCUCAGUUUCAUCCAAUUUAUCUUUAAUUUGGUUUUUUUUUGGACCAGACUGCAUGCUGCUCCUUCCUUACUCCAUUCAAAUCAACACCCAUAAGCACAAUGGUGCUCUAUAUUCACAGAUAAGAAGAGAAACAAACUCCGAUGGAUAAAGGCAGAAAAUAGAAUUAUCUUACUUUAACUUGAUCAUCAAUGUCUUCUUUCUGGCCUAAUGAAUCUUGAAUCUUUGAUCUCAUUGCAACAUUAGCAAUAACUUUCUCACGGGUUCCCUCAAAGUGUUUGAUUUCUUUAAGGAUUCGCUUCUCAUCACUCAACGAGAUGCUUUCAUGCUGAAUGCGAUAUUGCAAGCUAUGGAUCUGCAAUUCAUAAAUUCCAUUGAAGUGACUAAAGGAGAAAAAGAAAAGCAUUAACUGCGGCAGAAAACAAUGAAUAAAUCUAAAUGCAGUCAAAGUUUAUAGAAGUAUCAUACAAUAAAAUCGAGCUCUUCCUCAGAUGCACAGAAACUAAGUCGAUUAUCAACAUCUUUAUUAUUGCGAAGCUUGCCUAAAAUUAAGGGUCACACGACUAUAUGGGUAUUUUGGCCAAUUUUAAGCCUCAAUUAGGGGCCGAUUAAAGGACUCAAAUAUUGGGUCCAUAGCCAUCAUAUAAGCCCAAAAAAAUGUAAGUUUUAGUACGUAUAUAUACAUGGCUAAGCUUAGGAGGUAUGUUAAGUAGGUUGUAUAUAAAUCAUAUGCUAUGUUAUGUUCCUUAUAGAAAUAUGUGUAUGCAUGUCAUACGACUUAUGAUAUAUGUAUUUAUGAUAUUAUAAUUAUGAUUAUGCCUAUGUUUUGGGAUGGGUUAUGAUAUGAUGGAGGAAGUAUUAUAUGGUAGUUUUUACUACAACUAUGGCGAUUAGACCAUAAAAUGUCUAUCUGACAACUUAGUUGCAUAUUUAUGAGUGGCAUAUCGUCACAUAUUGGUGUGAUUGGAUGGAUGGACUCUUAUAGUCCUAGUUGGUGAUAUUGCUUGGACAGAGAUGGCAUGUAACAGUUGGAGGUAUGAUAUCAUAUGAUAUGAGAUAUGAUAGGAUAAUAUAAGAUAUAAAACAUGUUAUAGCAUGAUAUGAAAAUCGAUAUGAUAUAAGAUAUGCUCCGAUAUGCUAUGAUACAUUCUGAUUUUUAUAUAUACUACGAUGUGUGGUUCAAAUCACAUACUGGAUGUUAAGCUCACACCUUUGUUAAUUCUGUUUUAGGUGAUCUUCAAAGUUAGGAUUGGACGAUGACUAUAGAGCUCGUAUGUCACUCUUUCGGUUUAAGUAUGCACUGGACUCUCUUUUGUUUAUAUGGACUUUUUGGACUUUUGGACAUUUUAAAUUUGUUUGGGAUGCUAAAAAUUAUUUUGGCAUUUAUUUUUCAAAAGUUUUAACUUUUACCGAUACUUAAAUCAAGGCAAUUAAAAAUAAACCACAAUUAUAAGGUCAAUUUGCUAUAAUGCUUUCCGCUACAAGUUUUAAGGUCAAUUUGCUAUAAUGCUGUCCGCUGCAAGUUUUAUUGAAAUUUUCUAAGAUAGUUUAUCUCACAAACAAAGUAAGUAAAUUAAAUACAUUUUGGUAAAAUUAACAAAUAUGGCUUUCUUCAAUGUACUCAUGGGUUUUCAAAAAUGGUACAUCUUCAACGGGUUAAUCAAACUUGUUUUCUUUUGAGUUAAAUAGUUUUUUCCAAAAUGAAGUAAUAUUGUUUUAAAAAAUAAUUACUUUUUCUUUUACAAGUUAAUGUCAUUGUAGGGUUUGAUGGGUUAUCUUCAACUUUAACAGUUAAGCUUCCAAAGUCAAUGAUCCUAUUUAAAUAUAUAAAAAAUCUUUAUAUUUAAAAGAUGUUCUUAUAAGAAAACAAAGAUGUUAUAUAUGAUUGUUGCAUGCAAUUAUAUUAUUUUAUGAUUCGGGUUAUAUCUGAUUGUUGUCAUGACAUAUAAGCAUUUAGUUAAUAUUUUAAAAUUUUAAAAAAUAAUAAUAAAUAUUUUUAAUAAUUUUAAAUUUUUAAAAAUAAGUUAUAUAUAUUUAAAACCUUAAAAAUUAUUUAAAAACUAAUGUAUCAUCCAUAACAAAUCAUACAUCAUUAACACAUAUUGGGGCAUUAGAAAGCUUUUAAAAAAUUGAACUCAAGUAGUGCUCUACAUGGUUCAUCAAGGCAUGGCAAGUAAGUGAUAGUUGAAGCAAUUUGUAUCAUGAUUGCCUGUAUUUCUCUCAUAAUUUCUUUGUCACUCUGUACCCAUGAUGUAACACCCCUAUACCAUGUUCGACUUAAGGACCCUGAUAUAGGAAUAUUACAUUUGGUGCCAAAUUAAUUCUUGGCUAAUUACUAAUAUAAUUGAACACAAAACUAAUACUUAGAACAUACCUAAUAUAUUUCAUGAAUUUCAUCAAUAAUCAUUUCAUAAAAUCAUUAUUUCAUAUAUUUCAUUUAUACAUCUCAAUUCAAUAACUUAUCCUAUUUCAUAAAAUUUAUCCUUAUCUAUUUCUUGAACCAUAAUUCUUACCCUUUCACAUAUGUCAUAUCAUUCAGAUUUAGUUUUAUCAGUAACUUUAUUUUAUGUGCCCCUAUUAACUUGACUCGGACUUGGCGGGUACACGGAUUCCAACCAAACACAUCAGUAAACAGUAAUCAGUAACGGUAGCAGUAACAGUAACAAUAUUCAACACACAAAGUGCUGAAUCUGUAACAGUAACAGUAACAGUAUUCGACACACAAAGUGCCGAAUCGAUAACAGUAACAGUAACAGUAACAGUAUUCGACACAUAAAGUGUCGAAUCAGUAAUCAGUAACAGUAACAGUAGUCGGCACAUAAGUACCUAAUCAGUAAGCCGGCAAAUACCCUGUACUCUUCCAUAUCCUAUUGCAUGCCAACUAUAUCUGACUAGCCCGACUACUUAAUAGGGCAUUUAAUUUACUUUUCAGUACUAUUUCCAUCUUAGUUCAGUAUCAAUUAUAAUUCCUUAUUUCAAUAAGUUUCACAGUAUUGCAGUAAUUCAUUACUUCAGGAUUUUCACAGUUCAAUGCAGUACACAUAACAGUAUUCAGUAUUCUAUAAUUCAGUUCAGUAUUAGUCUCACAUAUAAAUUUCCACUUUCUCAAUUUCAAUUCCAAUAAAAUCCAUAUCACUCACCAAUUUCAAUAUUCCAGUUCAAUUCAAUAAUUCAAUUCAAACCAUUUCACUUUCUAUUCAAUAAUCACAUUUCAAUUCAAAUUCACUUUCCACUUUCUAAUCUACCAAUACAUAUUCCAGAUAUUCACAUGUAAUCAUACUUCGAUUCAAUUCAAACCACUUUUCAGUCGAUACUCAAUUCACGUAUUCACACUUAUUCAUACUUUAAUUCACUUUUAUUCAAUUCUGUACAAUUAGAUAAUUCAUUUUUAGUGAAGAGUGGUCGGAACUGUCAGACAGCGAAACAGGGGAAAUUUUAAAGAAUAAAAUGUACUAUUUGGCUAAACAAAAAAUUUUGGAAUUUUUAUGGUAAGAAGAUAUGUGAGUCUAGUUUCAGAAAAAAUUAACAGAUCUUAAUUUGGACUUCUGUAGCUCCGGAUAAAAAUAAUUUAGUGACCCUGACUCGGAUAAACAGUUUUGAAUAUACAUGUGAGUGAAUAGUGAAAUUAUAGUUAAUAUUGUUUAAGUGUGUUAUACACAUUAAGGAUGUGGAAUGGAGAGGAGGAGGAGGAAAAUUGGAAAAUAUAUGAAUGAUUUGUGUAUAAUUGGUCAUGUGUUUGAUUAUAAUUGAUAAACGAUGAAAUAGAAAUGAUGCUUAUAUUUGUGCAUCAUUGGUCAUGGUUUAAGCUCAUGUGUGAAAAUAAAGUUUCAUAGUAUGUGUGUAUGGUAUAUUCGGUAUAUGAUUUGGCAAGAAAUAAUGUCAUGAAUGGUUUAUCAUGUGGUUAGUUCCAAAAAGAGUUAUGUUUAAAUACACUAGCUUGUAACUAUGGUUGAAUGAUAUGUUUAUAUCUUGUGUGAUGCGCAUAGGAAACAAGUGUGGAAAGAUAAUGAAAUAGUAAGUUCAUAUGGCUGAAAUUUAAUGGUUAAAUGUUAAUUUCAUGAAUUAUAUGAUGCAUGAUGAGAUAUAUUUAUUGUUGAAAUAUGAGAAUCUUUGAAAUGUAUAUGGACUGAAAAGUAAUUAGUGAUUUGAAAUUUGAUUGGAAAAUGAAUAAAUAAAUAUAUAUAUAUAUGUAUAUAAAUAAAGUGUGGAAACAUUCACUUUCUAUUCAAUUCUUUCAAUAAAAUCAGCAUAUGAACAAUUUAAAACUCUAAUGCCAAGAUAAAUCAUCAUAUACUUCCAGCAUGUAUUCAUAGCAACUUUCAACUUCUUACAUAGAAUCAAAAACCAAUGAAUUUAACAAGUGGGCCUAGUUGUAAAAGUCACAAAAACAUAAAAAUUUCAAGAAAUAAUCAAGAAUUGAACUUACUUGCAGUAAAAAUAUGAAGAACCAGCUUGAAGAAACCCUUCUAUGGUGUUUUAGCUGAUGAGAAUGCAGAAAAAUGAAGAGAAAUCUAGAUAAUUCCACUUUGGUCCUAACUUUAUUAAGCAAAUUUUGCCCUUAAUUCUCCUUACUUUCUUGCUAAUUUCAUUCCUUUACCGUCCAGCCCAAAUAGAACUUGGGUCCAUUUUCCUUUUAAGUCAUCUUCCUUUUAUCAUUUAAGCUAUUUAAUCAUUUCCUAAAAUUUUGCAUUUGUUACAAUUUAGUCCUUUUUAUUCAAUUAAUUAUCAGAACUUUAAAAUUUCUUGACGAAACUUUAAUACUAACUUUUUAACACUCCAUAAAUAUUUAUAAAAAUAUUUAUGGCUCGGUUUAAAAUCUCCGAGGUCUCAAUACCUCGUUUUUUAUUCUAAUUAUUUUAAUAUUUAUUUCUAGUGCACUAUUCACUAUUUCAAAAUUUUUCCUAACUUCACAUUUAACUUAUAUUCACUAAAUUAAUAAUAUUUUCUACUCAUUUGUCGAAUUUAGUGAUCUCGAAUCACCGUUUCGACACCUUUGAAAAUUCAGGCCAUUACAUUUUUCCUCGUCGGAUUUGUGGUCUCGAAACCACUAUUUCGACUAGACCCAAAAUCAGGUUGUUACACGUGACACCCUGCAAAAUCUCCUACAUUUCAAAUUAAUUGAUGUCAGGUAAAACAUUAAAGCAUAAGAGGAUAAACUAUUACCCUCACUAUCUGUUUCAACGCUAUAAUUCCACCUCUCCUCUCCAACACCUCAUUGGUAGCCUUACUCAUCAUAACCAACACAGCCCUUUCUUUUAUCUCGCCACAUAAAAUAAAUUCAAAAUAAUUUUUAAAUUUUAAAAUAUUUAUAAAAUUUCAAAAUUUAUAUUUAAAAAAUUAUAAAUAUUUAAAAAUUCUAAAAAUAUAUAAAUAAAGUUGAAAUUUUAAAAUAUUCUAAAAUAAUAAUUUUAGCACUUAAGUAAGUUAAUUAAUGAUUCAAAUUUAUCAAUAUUUAUUUAAGUUUUUAAAUAUAUAUGGUUUUAAAUCUAGAUGAAAGAUUUUAAUUUGACAUGUUUAAUUUUUUAAGUUAACUCAAACAAUUUCACUUUAUUUGAAUUUCAUUUCAUUCGAUUUGAUUUGAAAAAAUUUCAUAUCAAGUUAAGAUGAUAAAAUAAAACCUGUAAACUCGAUUAACUCAAAAUGUUUUCACUGAAUUGUGAGGUAAUUGAUCAUUUUCUUAGUAAAAACUGUAAUAUAUAUGCUGAACAAAGUAAGGGUGCCUGAACUUGAGUUGUCAUAUUUAAAUAUUUAUUUGCUCAACAUUUACUUGAUUGUAUACAUUAUAUUUGCACCCUAAGCAAUAGUUUUAGAACAAUUAAAUUUGCAUAAAAUAACAACUUUUUUAUUUGACGUUAAGACUGAGUUGUUAUUCAUUGACACCGUUUUAGAACACUUAUAGUAAUAGUUUUAGUCUUUCAACUUCAUCAAUUAAUCUAUUAAAGUUAUGUGUUGCAAUUGCAGUUGUAAACCAAUUAAAAUUUUAAUUACGGUAAGUGCAUUUAUUAAUUAAUGGUAUAGUUACGCUGAGCAAAGAUAUCAUUUCCACGAAGAUUAAAAGUAUUAGUAAUUACCGUCUUUUUAUUAUUUAACCGACAAAUUGGAGUAAUUGAUUAAAGCUAAAAUUAACUAAAUUAAUUAAUUAAAGAACACAACAAAGGACAUAUCAGAAAAAUAAACUAUUAAUGACCAAUAAGCGAGAUAAUACCUAGGAAAGAAUCCACCUAAACUUCAUCUGUCAUUAUCAAUCUAAAUCACACAAUUUCUUCACUUUGUAUCUUAAUACGGAGAAAUCCCUAAAUUAUGCUAAUAUCUCUCUUCAAGACUAAGAGCAACUGAUUCUAGAUUAAUUAAUUGGAAUUUCUUUCUAAUUAAAACCCCUAUUAUCACAUUAACUCGAUCUAUAGAUCCUUCUAUUAGAUUUGACUCUAAUCCGGUAGAUUUAUGUCAUCUUAUUUUUAGGAUUACAUGUAACUCCACUUACCUAUGUUAGAUAUACUCUUAAACAAUGUCUAUUCCUCCUAUGAUUUAAGCACAUAAAACAUGGACCAAUAGUCUAGAAAUAUUAAACCAUGAAUUAAGCACACAUAAUUGAGAACAAGAUUUAAGUAUUUGUUGCAUAAAAAUAGAAAUCAAAUAAUAGAAUUCAUCCUAAGGUUCAGCUCCCUAGGUAUUUGGAAAAAAAUAGUUCAUAUAGUAAAUAAAAACAUCUCAAAGAUAGAAUAACUAUAAGGAAUAAAGAAACUCAUAAUAAACUUCAAAGAAAUCAAAAGGAGAAUUUCAAUUUUGAUGGAAAUAUGCUUCAAAGUCGGCUUCAAUGGUAUUUUUCGAGUUGUUUUCUUCAAUAUUAUAUGACGACUCACUCCCCUCUUCUUAUCUUUUUCAUAUAUGUCUUAGAAUGCUCGAAAAACUUACAAAUUAUGCUCGAAAAACUUACAAAUUACGAUUUUUUGCGUCUUUAGAGUGCAAUUGUUCUUUCCACACGGUUUGACACAUUGUUGUGUAGCAACUCAUAUGGUUCACUCGGCCGUAUGGAAUGGCCUAGCCCGUGUGGCUCCUGAAACUUGUUCUAAUUUUCUAAUUUUCGCUCUUUUUUCUUCUAAAUGCUCUCCUAAGUAUAGAGACGUGAAUUUAAAGGAUUGGAAGCAUAAAAUUCACCAUUAACAUCGAAUAAUCACCCAAAAACACAUUAAGAAUGAGAUUAAAACAUGUUACUUUUAGAACAUAUAAUGUAUAUAUAUGCAUGUCUUCUUAGAUCAUUUGCUAUUAAAAAAAAAAUUAGAACAAAUCUUCGGUGAGGAAAAUUUUGAACACACGAAUGAAACUCGCAUAGAAAAUGAAAAAAUGUGACAAGGCUUUAAGACGUGUAUCAAACCACUAUCUUUAAAGUUAUAUCCGCUGUCACCUAUAUUCAGCGUUCAAAAGAAUUUCAAGCAAAUUAACCUUGAGAAUACAAUGAAGCCGAUGACUAUUUGUGUUUUGUACUAAUGUAAAUAAUUUACUAAACACUGAGCAAUGUAUAACAAGAAAGUCAAUUUUUACAAAGAAUUUUUGCAGUAGCUCUUUAUAAAAAAAAUCUAAUAAUCUGGAAAAUGAGGAAGAAUAGGAUGAAUAUUAAAACUUGUUGGUGUGAUUUCCAAAUGAAAUACAAUUCCUAUUUAUAGGAAUUUUUAUGUCUUUCAUAGAGACAUUUUGGUCAAUCACUUUAAUAGCUUUUGGGGUGAUAAAAAUUCUAAUUUCACUUUGCACCUAAAAUGAUUUUUUUGGUAAUUUUCUUACCGAGUUGGGACUCAAUUGAUGGUUGACGCCAACUCAGUAAAAAGCUUUAACACAAUAUAGAUAAAAAAAGUUUUAAACUAAAAUUUUUAAAAGAAUUUAGGGUAAACUACAACAAUCAUUCAACUAUAGGUAAGUUUUUGUUUUAAUCACUUAACUAAAAAAAUUACAAUUUGAUCACUAAUGCUUUCGAAAUUGUUUUUCUUUUUUGUCACCCAAUUGUUAACUCAUACUUGUUUUAGUUGAUAUAAUAACAAUUUUAGUCCUCAAUUUUUAUAUUUUCUAUCAAUUUUACUCUGAUUUUGUAUAAAAUCAUAAUAAAACUCACAAUUAUUUAUAAAUAAAAAAAUGUAUAUAAAAAUUCUAGAAAAGUAAAAUCUUGAAUGUAUUGUUUCAUAACUAAAUUGGAUGAGAAAUAAAGAAAAUCAUCAUUCAAUAACAUCUGAUAACAAAUUAAAAUAAAAACAAAACAAAACAAAAAAGUUAGAUUAUUAUAUGUUUCCUUAAUAUUUCUCGAAACCAAAUUAGUAGUAUUAUCAAGUUGAGUUUCAUGCCCUUGAAGAACAUCUAGAACUGAUAUUACAAACACUUAUGAAAUUGACAUUGAUGCCAUAUUUUUAAUUAAAAGAGUACAAAAUAUACCAUGAUUUUUCUUUUUCAAAUUCAAUUCAAAAUUUCAUUACAUUUUUUUUUCAAAACUCAAAUUGUAAAAUGAAAAUAUAUUCAGAAAUUUAUCUUUUCUUAUAAUGUAAAAGCUAUAUCAAGUAAUUGAUGAGAUAAAAAAGCAUAGAACAAAUAAAUUUGCUUAAUAGUUUUUUCUAUGUUUGUUUUUAAAAUAAUGAGUAUUGAAUAUUUCAAUAUAGAUAAUAUAGAGAAAUUUUGUAAGGUUUAAAAAUAAUUAUCCCUAAUUUUCUCACUUUAUUUAUUUUUAAAAUUUUUAUUUUACUUUUAUUUAUUUUUUAAUUUUAUAAUGUUCUAAAAUUUUAAAAAUAAUUUCAACUUUUAAAUAACAUCCGAUAACAAAUUAAAAUCAAAUCAAAACAAAACAAAAAACGUUAAAUUAUUAUAUGUUUCCUGAAUAUUUCUCGAAACCAAAUUAGUAGUAUUAUCAAGUUGAGUUUCAUGCCCUUGAAAAACAUCUAGAACUGAUAUUACAAAUACUUAUGAAAUUGACCUUGAUGCCAUAUUUUUAGUCAAAAGAAUACAAAAUAUACCAUAAUUUUUCUUUUCCAAACUCAAUUCCAAAUUUCAUUACAUUAGAAAUUAUAUUCAGAAUUUUAUCUUUUCUUAUAAUAUUUGCUUAAUAUUUUUUCUAUGUUUGUUUUUAAAGAAUGAGUAUUGAAUAUAGAUAAUGUAGAGAAAUUUUGUAGGGUUUAAAAAUAAUUAUCCUGAAUUUUCUCACUUUAUUUUUUUUAAUUUUAUAAUGUUUUAAAAUUUUAAAAAUAAUUUUUAACUUUUUACCAUUUUAUAUAUUAUCAAAAUCAAAUUUACUAAAAGUAUACAAAUUAAGGACUAAAACUGUCAUUAAAUCAAUUAAAAGUUCCAUGCCAACAAUGUCCAUGUCAAUUAAACCAAGACUUAAUCCACAAUAACUACAUAUAUUUUUUGUUAUACCUAUUAAUACAAGUCAUUUACUAGUAUAUUAGACAUUCUUAUACCCUGCUUUCCCAUACUUUCCUAUUAUUUUCAUCAUGAUGAUGAUGAUUGUUGACACCAUUUUUUUGAUAAAACAGGGUCGACUUGGGUUUUGUAAAAUGAAAACAAAAAUGAGAGUCGCCACCAAUCUUUUUUGAUGAGGUGUGAUCGGGUCACCGAACUUUUAAUAAACGAUUUAAUUUUUAUUAAAACAAUGAUUUUGGUCCACGUAAUUCAGAAAAAUGGGUUCGGGGGUCGGUUACGCACGAGGAAGGAUUAGCACCCUCGAUAUGCCCAAAAUUGGUACCUAAUUGAUUACUUAGUGUCCUAGUGUCGAAAAUUGAAAACUUUGAAGAGUUUUAAAAAUACGAUCCUUAAAAGAAACUCUGAUAACAUGAAUUGAAAUAUAAGAUUCUCUUGUUCCGAAGGAAUAUCACAUCCAGCACGUUAGGACACGAUACUUUAAACCAUCGAAACCAAGAUCACCUUAUAGUUUAAUGAAACCAUACUUCGAAGUUUUAAGAGGAUAUUUGGCUAUUUAGUCGAACGAGAAAUUGAAACCCAGCACGUUAGGGCACGUUUUCUCGAGUUUCCAAACACAAAAUAUCGCCUUAUUUAGAAAAUCUUAAAAGGAUAUUUGGCUAUUUGGUCGAACGAGAAAUCGAAACCCAGCGCGUUAGGGCACAUUUUCUCGAUUUUCCAAACAUGAAAUAUUGCCUUAUUUAGAAAAACCUUCCUUUUAAUGUUUGGUGUUAAUAUGCAUGACAAAACAAUAAUGAAUACGACAAGAUAAGCAUAGUAAUGGAGUACGUAGAACCUGUUGUUGGCAUUGCAAAUUGUCUCGGCACUCCUGUUUGUAAAUAUUUGCGAUAUCGCAGAAAGCUGAACGAUUAUGUGAGAAACUUCAAGAGGACCAGAGAUGAAUUGAAUUGCAAAAUGGAAGAUAUAGAGCUGCAAUUGAAAGCAGAGCUUCUUCGUCCUCUGGGGAAGAUACCGAAGAAGGGAGUUGAAAAUUGGUUGAAAGCUGUGAAAGAGAUGAUUAGGGUAGCACAAGUUGUUGAAAACAACGUCAGUAACGGGAGAUAUUUCUGUCGUGCUUGCAACGGGAAGCUGGUUGAUGAAAAGACUCGAGAAAUGAAGGAAUUUCUUGAUAACGCUCCUAAUGCCUCUGAAGGUCUUGCCAUGGAUGGUCCAAGUGCUGGGUUGCCACUGUCAACAUCAGAACUAGUUGGAGAAGAAGCUGUCAGAAAUGAGAUUUGGGCAUGUUUGAUGCAGGAGGAGGUGAGCAAGAUUGGAUUUUGGGGGAUGGGCGGUGUAGGUAAAACCAUUAUCAUGAAGCACAUCCACAAUGAUCUUUUGGAACAACAAAGAUUCGAAAGGGUAAUCUGGGUUACCAUAUCAAAGGAGUUCAAUGUAAUGAAGGUACAAGAUAAUAUUGCAAGUGAGUUGGAGGCGAAGGAAUUUUUAGACAAAGAAGAGGACAAGCUCAGACGAGCAGCAAUCUUGUCAGAAAAGCUGAAGAAGGCAGGAAAGCAUGUUCUAAUCCUAGAUGAUGUGUGGGAUAAAGUUUCUCUAGAGGAAGUUGGGAUCCUCGAGCCGAGUGGCAGCAAUGGCUGCAAGUUGGUGUUAACAACCCGUUCGGAGCAUGUCUGUAUAUUGGUUGUAAGGUGAUAAAAGUGAAGCCCCUUUUAGAAGAAGAGGCAUUGAUACUAUUCUUGAAUAAAGUUGGACCUAACAUAGUUCCAAAAUACUUCUAGCAGCGCUUGUAAGCCUUAAAAAAUAUCGCUAAAAGUCUGUUUUGCAGUAGUGCAGUGACCAAAACUAAAAUACUCAUAGUUUAGUAACUAAUAGUUAAUAGUGUAACUUUUUUUAAUAAAAUAAAAAAUUUACCUUAAUUUUGUAUUAAAAAACUUAAAAUUAUUUAUAAAAUAGAAAAUGUAUAUUAUUCAACAUAGGGAUUCUUUUCCAAAUCAUACAGAAAAUAAUUAAUUACGGAAAUAGUAUGAAAAAUAAAUUAAUUACAAAAAUAAGACAUUUGUUACGAUGUUCUGCUGGUGUCACCUGGCAUAUUGGCAACAUCAGACUAAAAUGUGAGAACAAAAAAUAUUCAAAGACUUGAUAUGUAAAUUUCUCAUUUUGAUUGACCGUUGAAAAUAAGCUCUAAGGUUGUUGUGUGGCAGUGUGGCGGCACAAAAUCUUAAAUAGGGUUAAUUUUUUUGUAAACUCUCAUUGUUUAUUAUUUUGUUUUUAUUCCUCUUUAACACCAAAACUAAAAAGUUUUCUUACCCAUUGGUCCAGUUUAAAUUAUGUCUGGCAUAACAGUUAACAUUAUUGAUAGUAAUUUCCCUUUUUAAACAUUUUCCUUCUAAAAGACUUCAUUUCUUUUAAAAUAUAUAUGUAGUUCCCAAAAUAACCUUAUAUUCAUAUUUAUAAUUAAAACAUUUAAGUUAUAAACUUAUUUUGAUAUGAUAUAGAAUCAAAUAUUAUUUUUUUGAAUUUCUGAAAAUUUAAAUAUCAAAAUAUGUUUUAAAUCUUUAUAUUCUUCUUAUAUUUUAAAUUUAAUCUCUAUUUAUUUUUAAGAAUUUAGUCUCUUUAUUUUUUGGAUUUAAAAAUUUAGGUCUAGUUAUUAAAAACAUUAAAAUUAUUUUGUUAAAUUCGCUGGUAGGACAAGUUAAAAUUAAAAAAAAAAAUUCUUAUUUGGUAGCCAUGUAAUAAAAAAUAAUGACAAUCCAAAUAACUUGAAUUUAACAGAGAAUUUUAACAAUGUUGUCAAUUCUUAAAAAUUUACAUCAAUAGUUUAAUUAGAUACGAUGUUUAGACUAAUUAAUGACAUUAAAAAAAUUGAAGUACCAAAUUAUGUCAAACAUUAAGACAUAGAGAUUAAAUUUCCAAUUUGGGCAUAUUAUAAGGACUAAAAUUGAAAACUAACUAUUGUUAUAUAAUUUCAAAAAGAAAAAUCAAUAAUUUAGUCGAAAUGAAGUAUUUAAAUUGACCAAAAAGUUGAGGUAUCACAUUAUGUUAAAAAUUAAAAUUAAAAUAUUAAAAUUUAAUUUUAAGCUGAAUAUAAGAAUCAAAACUAAAAUUUGAUAUAUAAUUUCGAAAAAGAAAUAAUAAAUUGUGUAUUUGGAUAUGUAUAUGUCAAUAAAUCCGAAUGAAACAUUUAAUGAUAUUAUAAAAAUUAAAGUACAAAAUUAUGUUAUAAAUUAGUAAUCUUAAAGUAAAUCUCUUAAAAUAUCAUACUUUACUCACUUUUAUUUCCCUCAGUAAAGAAGGUUAGAUGCAUAAAUUGUUUGACCAUUAAUUUUGUUCUUUUUUCCUUUUUGAAACAAAACAUAGUUUUCAAAUUUGUAAGCUUCAAGUAAAUAUCUUAAAAUGAUUUACUUCCCUCACUUAAAAGGUUAGAUGCAUGAAUUGUUUGACCAUUUUUAUUUUUAUUUUGUCCCUCAUUUAAAAUAUAUUAAAUUCUUUAUCACUCAAAUAACAGUAAGAGUAAACUAGAGGUGAUCAUGGGUUGGGCUACUCGGCCCGGCCCGACAGCCCGCCCGAAAAAUGGGAGGAUUCGGGUAAAAAUAUAGGCUCGAAAUAUGGAUUUGGGCAAAAUAAUAAGGCCGUUUUUACAGAAUAUUGGGAAUUUACCUCCAAUCUUCAUGCAUAAUUUCCUGUUCUUUCGCCAUCCUAAUAUCAAUCUUAUGGUUCUUCACCGAGCCCAUAUUGAUCUUCCUUCAACAAGACGCCGAAAUCUCGAAAAUGGCGGCGUUUUACAUCAAAUAUCUCAUCCCAGGCUUAUUUGCUUACGGAUUGGUACAAAACAUACUGAGAUUCCUUCAGUCGCAAAGUAUUUUAAUGCCUCUGGUGUGGUUUUCGGUUCUGCUAUUGGCACUUCAUUUAGGCAUCGUUUACACAUUGGUUAAUUGGACGGAUCUGGGUUUCAAAGGAGCUCCAUUGGCAGCUUCGAUUUCGCUGUGGAUUUCACUUGUUUUGUUAUCGUCUUAUGUGGUUUUGGCCCAGAGAUUUGAGGAAACAUGGCCGGGAUUGUCGUCGGAAACGUUUCGUUUGGUCUUCGCGAACCUGAAAUUUGGCAUCCCUUCUGCGGCAAUGGUUUGGUGAGUUCAUUUUUUCCAAAUUAAGUUAUAAAAUUUUGAAGAGUCAAACAAAAUUUGUCAUUGUAUUAUUUUAUAAUUUUGCAUUUUUUAAAGGACUAAACUUCUAAAUUUAUUAUUUUUGGGUUAAAGACUUAAGUCUAAUUAUUUUGAGUUGGGUUAAAUCUCAAAAUUAUACAUUGACUUUGAUUUAACGUGUAAUUGUAUAUAUGACCUUUAAUUUAGUACAAUUAUACGAGUGAAACUUUAAUUUUGGUUCAAAUAUAUAUUUGAAACUUUAAUUUUAAUUUAAUCAUACACAUUUAAAGAAAUAAACUUAUUUAUUUUUAUAUUGAAUAAAUAUAAUUAUUUAUGCAUGCGAUAUAUAAACAUAAAAUGAUGUUAUAUUAAUAAUGGUAUUAAUAAUUUACAAGAAUUGGAUCAAAUCAGAAUUUUAAAAUUUCAUGUAUACAAUUGCACAUUAAACCAUAGUUUGUGUAUAAUUUUGGUACAUAUCCUUUUUGAGUUUGAUUCAAAAGUAAGCAUUUGAUUAUUUUAAUCGGUAUAAUAUUUUUUUUUCUAAUUUAACCGACUUAAUUGGUCUUAAUAUAAAAUAACCGAACCGAUCGAUUAAGAUAUUGUUAACCGAUUUAAUGAAACUGACUAAGAUGUCAUUAAUUAGGUUUGGGUCGAUUUUCGGGUUGGGUUAGGUUAGAUAAUUGGAUUUUAAGUUUGGGUAAUUUAAAUUAUAUCAAAUAUUACAAAUAUAUUUAAAAUAAUUUAAAAAUAAUACAUAGAUAAAUAUAAGUCAGUUAAGUUGAUCAAUUCAAUAAAUUUAGUAAUCGGUACUCCACUGUCCAAAUCGACAAAACUGAAUUAAUUAAAAUUAAUUAAAUCAUCAAUUAAGUCGAUUAAAUCAAUCAUAACUGAAUAAUACUCUUUUCUAAUUUGAGUUAUUUGGAUUUUGUGGUCAAAUUUUAAGUCGGAACAAUUAGAAGUAAGUUCUUUUGAAUUCAAAUUAGUCUAAAUUAGAGCCAUUUUCAUUUCGGAUUUGAAUUUAACUUUUAAAAAUAAUAAUGCGAACUAAAUUAAAAUUUAGAUAAUUUUUUAAAAUUGUUUUGAGCAAUUUGGAAUAUUGGGCAUUCGAGCUUCUGGUACUCUUAGCAGGAUUGAUGCCUAAUUCAAAAGUAACUACUUCCUUGAUUGCCAUGUGGUAAGAUUGCCUUCAGGGGUGAAUCCAAAAAAUUUUGUUGAGGGGAUCGAAAUGAAAUUUUGAUUUUUAAUAGUCUAUAUCUUUAUAAUUUUUAAAGGAUUAAAUUAAUUUUUAUAAUUUUAGGGGAUUAAAGAAUAAUUUUAUCUUUAUUAAUUUAAAAUUUUAUUUUAGGGAGCCAAGCCGCCCAUGGAUUCUCAUCAGCUUCCACUUUUAUAAUUUUCACUGGAUCCAUUUAAAGAUUUUAAAAUUAAUGGGAUUUGAGUAAAAUAUUUUGUUUCAGUGUGAAUACAAAAUCAAUUGCUUACAUGAUUACUCACGGACUUAGUGCUGCAGCAAGGUGAGUUCAAUUUUAUUAUUAUCUUAAUUAGUUUACGGAUUUUAUGCUAAUUUUAUUGAAACAGCACUAGGGUUUCGAAUGAAUUGGGGGCUGAGAAUCCGAGGAAGGCAAAGACCGCCAUGGCUGUGUCACUCAAGCUUUCAAUCCUUCUGGCUUGCAUUAGCAUUUGGGCAUAACAGCUUCCUCAGAUUGAAUACAAGAAGGUGUCUUGUAUUGGUUGAUAGAAGCUCCCUUUGAUACAUAAAAGUCCAUAACCGCAUCAAAUGUUCCAUGCUUUACCACUCUUAACUCUAAUGCUGCAAUUUUAUUAGCCUCUCUAAGGCACUUAUAUGUGAAAUCCAAUGAUUCUUCUUCUAUGGAGCAGCAUUGUUCCAUUAUCUUGGCAUCAAGUUUUAGGCAUCUAUUCCUUUCUUUGAACUUGAGUUCCCAAAACAAUACAUACCGGCCUGGUAUCGAUGAAGUCUCCGCAUAGCUACUGAAUGUCAUCAGUACGAAACCAAGUGGUUCACGAUGGCGUUUUGCGUUCCUGAUGGCCUUCAAGAGGUCUGCCUCGCUUGGUUUGUCCAUAUCAAUACUCAAAACAGUAUUCCGUCGUUCGACAAAUUGGAACUGCAGAGAGUUGUUAUGGAAACCGGUUAACUUGAGAACGUCUCCAACUCGGUAUCGAUACAGGCCUGGAAAGACAAUUAAGACACUUUAUUACCAAAAGAAAUCUAAUAUUUCAAAUCUAAAACAGGAAAUGAGAAAUAUUACCCGUCAAAGUUGUGACGACAACCUCGUAAUAUUGACCAAGUUUCACAUUUGCAAAAUCAACAGGUUCAACAUUUCCAUUUACAUUUGUCAUUUCCGACAACCAUUGGCUUGAAACACCAUCAAGAUUGGAUUCUCGAGCCUUCUCUUCCCAAUCUUUAUCCACAGGGAGAAACUCAAAGUAUGCCAUGUUGAUAGAACAAGAUCCUCAUUCCACAUAUUCAUAUUUGUGUCAAUCAAAUCAACAACCUAAUUAAUACCGUUGACUCGUUGUGACUCCACCAGAAAUGGUCGAUCACUAGAGCGCCAUGACUUGUCACAAACUAAAAUCUCAUUCUUGUUCCCCAUCAACCAACUACAACCUUUGACAAGUAGGCCUUUUGUCGCCCAGAUGCUCCUCCUAAUAAAAGAAGGUUUGCUCCCUAAUGUCGACAGUAGGAAAUCAUCACGCAAAAAAUAUUUUUCCUUGAGAACCCUUGCCAUUCACAAAAAUGAUCCCCAUUUAAAUUUUUCUUAGUAAAAAUGUUAAUAAGAGGAUUAUAAGACAUAUUUGAACUGAAAAAAAUAAAGAUUCAUUAAUUACUAUCUUUGUAUUAAGUAAAUAUUUUCAUUUCAGCAACAUAUCAAGAAUGCAGUAUGAUGCAUGCGUCUUGUAUUAAAAUCUUGAUAAUAUUUUUUUUUAUUGCUACGAUCAUUCUCACACCCAUCAAUCAUGUCGCUUUGGGGUCUCAUGAUUAACUAGUAAGAACAUGGAAUCAGUUCAUGAAUCUUAAUUCUCAAGACUCCACAGGAACCAACGAUCGUUUAACGUUUAGCCAUUGCCUCUAGCUUAAAUAUCGUUUUUUGGGAAACUAUUUCAUAAGAAGUUCUUAAGUAUGUAACUAUUGACUCAACACCCAUCAUGAACAUGCUUUCAUUUGUGAGUCAUCUUGGGACAAUUUCACUAAGAUUCAUGCACAACUACUUAUCCUGAAAAGUAAAUCUCAUCUAGUGAACCCAAAUGAUAAAGUUUAUCUUGGGACAAUUUUUUUUUCUUUCAAUUAUCAUGUUACCAUUUAAGGGCCAUCAAUGGAGGUCGUAGGUCUUGUUAAAUGACCAUCUCCCACUCAAUAUUUUAAAAUAAUAUGAAAGGUUUUUUAUCUCAUAUUUAAAGAAUGAUCAUACAAUAGUCCUAGUGACAUUCUUAGAUUAUGACAAUUUUACAAUAUUCAAGAUUUUUGAAAAAGCGCCGCGAAUUCUUGGGGCUUUAGCAACAUUUUUGAAAAAGCGACGCUAAUUCUCUAUUUUUAGCGGCGUUUUUGAAGAAGCGCUGUGAAUGCUCUAUUUUUAGCGGCGUUUUUAAAAAAGCGUCGCAAUAAACAUUUUAUCUGUCUAUUUAUUAUUUAAUUGGUUUAUUUAUAUUAAUUAAAAUUAAAAUUAUUUUUAAUUGAAUAGUUAAAAUCUUCAGAAAAAAUAAUGACAUGUAGAAAUAAUUUAAAAUAAAAAACAUAGAAAAAUAUUUGUUAAAAAUGGAAAAAUUAAAAUACUAUUAUUUAAAAUAAUUUUAAAGUUUUUUGGGUACAUUACUAAUUUUUUUAAUUUAUAUAUUAAAUAAUUUCUUAUAUAAUCGUAAAAGAGAUAGUAUUUGUCAAAACCUUUUUUUUUGUGAAAAUGGGAUCGACUUGGAUUUUAAAAAUGAAUACGAACAUGGGAGUCACCACCGAUCUUUUAUUGAGUUGUAAUCGGAUCACCUUAAAAAUGAUUUUGGUCUACAAGUUUCAGAAAAAAUGAGUUCAGGAGUCAAUUACGUACGAUGAAGGAUUAGCACCCUCGUAACGCCCAAAAUUGGUACCGAAUUGAUUAUUUAAUGUCUUAAAUUCGAAUGUUGAAAAUUCGAAAAGAUUGAAAAGCGAUUCCCCUUUAAAAAAUCUUUAUUGAAAUUUAUUAUUUUGAAAACUAAAAAAAUCAGUCUUCUUGCUUCAAUGAAGAAAUCGAAACCCCGUAAGUUGGGGCACAACUCCUUGAAGUUUCAAAGACGACACACGAGUUUGCCUUUAUUUAAAAACCUGGUCUCGAGAUAACAGGAUGUUGUAUCCAAUAAGUUAGGACACAACAUUUUGAAUCUUCGAGAUAAGCUUUAAUUUGGAAUCUUUGCUUUAAUUGAAAAAGGAAUACUCGGUUACUUAAAUUCAACGAGGAAGAUUGAGGCCCAGUAAGUUAGGGCACAAUCUUCUCGAGAACCUUGGAUACCGAGUCUUAUUUUAUAAAUCCUUGAAUGAAAAAUGUAAGGUGAUUAAAUGACAAUAUGCAACGCGAAAGGAUAAUUUGUAAAUAAAUUAUACAUUAAUCAAAUGAAUGGUAGAUAAAUACAAGCAAGUAAUACACAUAGCAACAAUAAUCUCAUGUAAAUACCCACAUUGGCUAAUAAGUGGAAACUAAUUAAAAUCAAGCAAUUUUACAUAAACACUAACGAAAUAUACAAAUUUAAGCAUAAUUUAAGAAAUAAAUAUAAUAUAUAUAUUAAAAUAUUAAAAUAAAUUAACAAUAUUGAAAUAAGUUGAAAUGAAUUAAAGAUGUUAAAAUAUUUGAAAGAAAUAAAAUAUCUAUAUAAUAAUUAGAAUGAAACUCAAGGAAAAUUUUAUCAUAGAAUCUAACCUAUGAUUAAGAAGAAAAAUCAAGGUAAAGCUUGUGGUUUUUUUGUCUUUCCGUUCCUUCUCUAUCCACGGUACGGGUUUCAGAAAAAGAGCUUCGCUCGCUCUUGCUAUUAAAGUCGGGUUAGUUUCCUCUUUGAUCUUCUAAUUUUCCUUCUUUGAUUCGUGUUUUUUUUGUGUUAAACUGUCUGCAAUUUUGUUUGUUUUUGGAGAAAUCUGGGAUUAUUGUUGUACUUUCUGAAACUGAUCUAUUAUUGAUGGAAGUCAACCCUUACAGUUGUUAGUGAUAAACACAUAAAUUUGAAUGUUGAUAAAUUAUUGAAUUAUUAAUUUCUGUUAAUUUAUUGCAUAUAAUCAUUGAAUUAUUUAUUUUUACUAAUUAAUUAUAUAUAAAUAAUUAGAUAGUUGAUUUUCGAGCAAUAGUAUUUGAUUGGCUCAUUUUUGGUAUGGCAAUGUAAAGAGAUUAAUAAUUGUACUUUUUUUAAAAAGUUUUUCCCCUGACCAACUAUAAAAUUAAAGUUAAUCAAUUGAAAUAGAUGUAGAUCAGAAGGUAUUUAAGCUGCUGCAAUGAGUAGUAUGUUUAGUUUACUAGAGUUUCUUUGGACUUUGGUUUGAUUCAAUUAUCAAAUUUUUCGCUCAGCAUUUGAUUGGUCAGGACUCGAGUUUUCAAAGUUCCUCAAUCAUUUUCUUCCUUUUUUUCAGAAUCAUAUUUGCUUUUUUGCUUGAAUCUUGACUUUAUAGUCAAUUUGGUGGGUCGGGUUUCUUGAAGCUUUAAGGUUGUAUGGUCGUGGCUAGUGCCAAAUAGAAGGUAAGUGCGCAAUGAGUUGAACUGAUUUACUUAUCUUUGCCAUGUUCACUAUGGUUUGAACAAUUUAAGUUACUCUUAUUUUCAUGCAGAGCAUGUAGGCACUAAAUCUGCAAUUCAAAUUCGAAGCCAUGCUCAAAAGUUUUUCUCUAAGGCUCAUUGCUUUGAGUUCAUUACAAGAUUUCCUUGAUUAAGUAAAUGUAUUAUAUCUUUUAUUACCAAGAUUUACUUGAUUAAGAAAAUGCAUUGUAUGUUUUAUUACCUUGCAUAUGUAUUAUUUAUUUUAGUUUUGAUUCUAAAUUUUUAUUUUUACUUUAAUAUUUACGCUAACUUAGAGUUCUAACUUUUGGAUUUUAAUUGUGUUAUUAAUUUAUUAUUUUAAAUUCUAAAUUUAAAUUCAUUCAUUUUUAUAUUUAGUUUUAAAGUUAAAAUAUUUGUAGUAAAUUUAAUUUAAAUAAUAUUUUUUAUUUAUCCUUAAAACAUAAUAUAAUAUUUAUCAUAGAAAUAAAUAUUAUUUGAUAAAAAUGAUUUUUUUUAAAGAUAUGUUUUUAGCGGCGUUUGUGUGAAAAGCGUCGCUAAAGGUCUAUCCAUGUUCUUUAGCAGUGAUUGUGGUAAAGCGCCACUAAAAGUCAUGAUCUAUAGUGGCACUUAUAAUAAAAACGUCGCUAAAGGUCAUGUUCUUUAGUGGCGUUUGUGGUAAAAUGCCGCUAAAGGUCAUGCUCUUUAGCGGCGUUUUUGUCAAAAGUCCCGCUAAAGGUCAUGUUCUUUAGCAGCAUUUUUUCAUAUAAACGCCACUAAAACUAGCGACGUUACAAGCACGGCUAAAAGUCUGUUUUGCUGUAGUGGUCUCGAUUCCUUCUUAAUGCUACAUCGGUUUGAAGAUCUACGUUAAUAGUCGAUCAACAAUAAUGAAUGUCACUAACCAAGCUAAGAGGGUUCGAUCAAGGGGUGAGAAAUAAUGAUGACAAGAUGAGACUUAGAUGGGGCAGCAAUGCAGAAAUUAUGAAGGCAACAAAAACUUCAAUGUGCAACAACAGGAGAAGGAGAAAUGGACAUCAAUGGAAAAUAAAAAAUGGCAGAAGCUUCUAAACAAAAUAUUGAUAUUAAAAAGGCAAUGAUUCAGCCAAAUAAAUUGGAGAAGGGAUAGGCAAAGGGGCAACACAAAUAGAAAAUAAAACUUGUGUUUUAGGUUGCAAUAAUGGUGGGUUAUGAGAGAAAAUUGGAGAAUAAUGGAGAGGAAAAAUGAAGGGGACGACAAUAGCUUGAGAAAAAUAAAUAAAAUAGGCUAAACAUAAAAUAAAAUGCAAUUUAUACGUAGGUUAAAAAGGGCUUGGAAGGCAACAAGGUUUUAAGGAGCAGAAACGUUGAAAAAAUAAAAAUUUACAAGGGAAAGGAAUUAAACUCAAGUCUUAAGGUCAAUUUCACUAACUCUUUACCACUAGGCCAAUUAAUCAUUCUUUUCAUAAACGCUCAAACAAAACCUUAAAAAUUAGGGCAAGACAACUCUCAGUUCACUAAAUCUAUUUCUUCUGACCCAAUUUUUGGGACAUGACAAAACUAUUAGUAAGUUUAUGUUUAGUUUUAGUUACUUAACUUCAAAAGGUUACAAAAUGGUCAAUAAACUAUUCAAAAGUUUUCAUUUAAGUCAUUGGUUUGUUAAGGUUUUUUUUUUAAGUUUGACUAAUGAGCUCCAAGCGAUGAUUCGACGAUUGAUGUAGUGAAUCUAUACCCAUUAAUGAGUGGAACAUAUCUUAGAUCCAAGUUAACCUGCCAUUUAGUAUAGGAGAUUGGAGAAAAAAAGUCGUUCGAAUUUUGGUUCACAGAUUUGUGACAUUCAAAACUGUUUCAUGAAUAUAAAUUAUGUUGUAAAAGAGAAGGGAAAUGUGAGCUUUCAAUUGAUACAAACGGUGCAAACAAAGGUCAUAUAGUAACAAUUUUAAAAGUCUGAUGACUUAAAUGAAAAUUUUUGUAUAGUUCAGUGAUCAUUUUAUAAUUUUAAUAAGUAUACUUACAUUUGUCUUUAGAAUUUGCAAAACAAAUAGAAAAUUCACUUUAAAUGUAUAAAAAUGAAUAAAGAAAACUCACCUUCAUUUCUGAUAGCAAAUAAGAAAUAUGAAAAAAAAACUCUACCACUUUAAUAUUAAAUCUACCACUUUUCCCUUAGAUAUGCAAUUGCAAUGGGUGAUUUUGGGAAACUAAACCAAAGGCCUAUCUUAAGGCUUGCUAAACUUCAUCAGAUACUAUAAAUCAACUGUACAAGGAAAGAUUUCUUAUGUGGAAUUAAUUAAUCAUCUAUAAGAAUUAUCUCAACAUCUGUAGAAAAGAAAAUUAAAAUAUCUGAAUUUUUUUCUCAAGAAACAAAUAGAAAAAGUAAAUGGAAUAUAAGGGUUUUAAAGUUGAGGAAGGGAAAGAGUGGUGAAAAAAAUUGUUUACUGUUAGUGUCAAACAAGAAAAAGAAAAUUGGGUUGAAGGAAGAAGAAGAAAAAGAAAGAAGGAAAAGAAAAGGAACAUAAAAAAAAUGUUGUAAAUUUAACGGGGUUAAACUUAGGGAUCGGUUUAGUUGAUGGAAAAAAAGUUCGAGACAAAAAAACAUAAAUAUCAAUUUGAGAGAAGUGGAUAAGUUCAGAUACUAAUUUAAUAUUUAACUGUUAUAAAUAUUAUAGAUUAAGUUACCAGCAGUGGGCUUGACUUGCGAUUGAUAUAGAGGUGGCCCACUUUGUUUGUCGAAAACUUACAUUUUCAGCUAUAGCAAGUCUCAACCGCACAACCAAGUCCAAACGUAUUAAAAUUAAAAUUUGAAAAUUUAAUAAUAUUUUUUCUCCCAAUAAAAUAAUAAAUACAUGUAUCAUUCAAAAUGGAAGUAGGCAAUUGGAAAAAAAUAAGAGUGGGAACAUAUUUAUGAGAAAUGGGCAACCGCGUUUUGGGUUGGGUCCUAGACUUUUUCUUAAUUUGUUUGAACACUCCUAACAGGUAACAGCUCUUGAGGGGCCAAGCCGAUAGGCAUCGUGUUUGACCCAAUGAAAUUUCUGGCUUACAAAACUCAACCAAUUUUACAAUCACUCAACUAAAUGAAGUUUUUUGGUUUAAUCAUUUUUUUUAUAUGAUGAUCCAAGGCAUCGAAUUAGAGCCUUCGGUAAAAGUAAAGAAAAUUUCAAAGUAAAAAAUAAUUUUCAAGAAAUGGGGCCUUAAGAUGUGGACUGCAAAGCUGCGUAGGGGAUGGGAUAAUAAGGCAAAUUAGAGAGCAAAAGUUGGAAGCAAGGUUUAAUGGUGGUGGCCCCCCUCAUUUUGGGCAUAUGUUUCAGCACUUAUCCAUUUUCAGACAAGGAAAUUAUUUAAUAAAGAAAAAGAAAAAUGGUGCACAUGGGAGCAUUUUCAAGCCCACCUUUGAGUUAUGAAAGACUGGGGUAGGUGGAAGUAAUUAACGGGCAAAGUGGGGUUAAGAAGGGUAAUUAAGAAAUGGUGCAGUGGAUGGAGUUAGAAUGAAGAGGAUACUCACGGGCAAGACAGGGGGUUUGGUUUUCUCAGCAAAAACACGUGUGAAGAUGUGGAAUUGUCAAGCUUUUUGAAUUAUUUUACAUAAGGACAAAGCAGAUAGAGAUAAAUCUGCUCAUGAUGAAUCACCCACAUGAAAAAUGUCAAAUAUUAUUUGAUUGGCUGGAAGGACCACUUCACCCAUAUCUUCGUACUUGCUUGGUUGAUCAAAGGUUAAAAGGAGAGGAUGGCCCUGAAAUUCAGAAAAGAAUCGGUUCCCUUCCCCUUUCCCCUGCAAUUCCUAUUGUUUUGUUUUCUUGAUUUCCAAAUCCAUGUAGUAAUAAAUGAAAAAAAGAAGAUCCACACAGACAAUACCCUGUACAAUAUCUACUUUGCUUUUAAGCGCGUUCUAUCUUCGUCCUUAAUAACUCUUAUUUAUUCACAGUUUAAACCCCCAGAUUCUGGUUCGAUUUCAGUAUCAUUCUUAGUCCAUUUAUUUUAUUUUUUAUUUUAAAAACUCUUUUAUUAUUAUUUGUUUUAAGUUUUUUUAUUUAUCAUUUAUUGUAAACUGUUUUACAUGCUAUUUAUUUAAUUCUUUUAAUAUGUUAUUCAUUUUAAACCAUUAUAUGUACAUAAUCUUUUAAAUUCCUAUAUAUGUAUUUUUUUUUAAAAAUGUUGUAUGUCGUUUAUUUAUUUGUUUUAAACUAUUAUUAUUCACUUUAAGUUUUUAUAUACUGUUUAUUUGAAGCCUUUUAUUAUUUAUUUUUGAAUUGUUCUUGUAAAUUAUUUAUUUUAAAUUAUUAUUUGCUUUAAACUGUUUUGCAUAAUAUUUUGUUUUGUUUUCUUCAAUUGUUAAUGUUAGUAUUACAACUAACAUACAUUGUGUGAUUAUUGCCAUCAUGUGUACUAUAAUUAGCUUUUUCGUGUUUUAAUAUUAUUGUCUUUCAUCAAUGUAACAUUUUAUUCAUAAAUCGUUAUUUCAUGUUAUACAUUAUCAUUCCAUUUCAUUUCAUCACUUCGAAAGUUGCGUUCAAUUUUUAUAUACCCAUAAUAAACCGUUCUAUUUUAUACCAAAUAAAACAAAUGCACCUCGUUCAAGUAUUGUACUCACUAUGAUUCAAAAAAGGGAAAAGUUUUUUAAUAAGGCAAUAUUUCGCGUUUUGGAGAUUCGAGAAAUUGUACACUAAUUUACGGGGUUUCAAUUUUCUCGUUAAAUCUAAAUAGCAAAAUAUCUUUUUAAAUUUCAAGAUAUACAAUAAAAAUUAAAGGCAAGCUUAUUCUCUAAAGUUCCAAAUAUCGUGUCCUAACUUACGGGACAUGACAUUUCGUUACCUCGAGACAAGUGGGUCUUUAACUCUCUUUUCGAUUUAUUCAAGCGUUUUUUUUAUUAACAUUAAUAAAAAAGGGAUCGUAUUUUAAAAUAUUUUCAAAAUUUUAACUUUCGACAUUAAGACAUUAAUUAAUCAACUAGGUACCAAUUUUGGGAGUAUCGAGGUUGCUAUUCAUUCCUCGUGCGUAACCGACUCCCGAACCCAUUUUUUGGAUUUUGUAGACUAAAAAUUACCGUUUUAGUAAAUUUAACUUUUAUUAAAAUGAUUAAAUUAUAAGGUGAUCUGAUCACACCUAAAUAAAAAGGAUUGGUGGCGACUCCAUUUUCGUGAUGCAUUAUUCUAAAAAGUGAUGCAUUAAUUAUAUCUUUUAUCUUUUAUAUAUUGUUUCGAUUAAUACCUAAAUUAUUUGUACGAAAAAAAAUCAAAAUGAAAUGCAACAUGUUCUGAACUUUUAUUAAAGCUCAUCUUUUUGUUGAAGAUACCUCAAUCCAUGAUUUCAACAUUGGAAUUUUUGAAAGUCCCUAGUAAUAGUAUGAAUUAUGAAAUUUCAAAAAAGCAUAUUCUUAUUUAUUGUUAAUUUCAAGGUAUUUUUAAUAGCUAUACUUACAUUUGUCUUUAGAAAAUAGAAAAUUCACUUUAAAUGUAUAAAAAUGAAUAAAGAAAACUCAUCUUCAUUUCUGACAGAAAAUAAGAAACAUGAAAAAAAAACUAAAAAAGAAAUACAUAUUUUCUUGAAAGACGCUUCAAAUGAAACAAAUAUGAAAAACAUAGUUGUAAGAGUGUUCAAUUACUUUAUCGAUCGGUCAACCAAAUCAAAUUAGUAUUAACUAAAUCAAAAUUAUCAUGAAAAAGUGAAAAAGUCAUAAUUUAGGGGUGGUUGAUGCAAUUAACUCAUUUCUAAUGGUGCUAAUACUUAAGUCUGCUAUGGGACAAAGUGAAAAAGUGGAAAGCAGAGUUAAAAUAUGACCCAAACACUCACCUUUUUCUAAGUCGUCUCCUAUCAUAGUUGCAAAAUAAAUGGAUAGCAGUAAACCAAAUCCUUUGCUACUAAACCAAGAAAACCCAGUUGUCUUAAGAGUUCAUAUUUGUGAAGGUUUCUUAACAUUUUAGUGCAACCUUGAUUUUUAUUUUUAUUUAUUUCCUUUCCCUUAAAGAGAAAAAAAGAUCUUCAAGUUUUUUUUCUUUUUUAUUCUUCAGUUUUGCUUACUUUCUUUUGCUCCCAAAAACCAAAAAAAAAUAUCCCUUCAAAUCCCAUUUGAUGGUUUUGAAGUAGCAACGAUCUUCUCAGCACCUAGUCUAGUUUGAUUUUGAAGUUCCCAAGUGAGGUCAAUGUAUUUAUGUAUGCUUAAUUUCUAUAUUUUCGGUUUUUUUAUAUAUAAAUUUGUUAUAUAUUUCUUCAUCUAAUAUUAUGUUUUUAUGUUUUUCUUGAACUAAAUCAGAGCAAAAUAGACUGUUUGGAUUUGCUCUUUUUUUCCACACUCAAAUUCUUGGAAUCAUUACUUCAUUUUGAAGGGGUAAGUGGGUAUGUUUCUUAUGUUUUCCAUCAUUAUAUGCAUAAUAUUAAAUGGAUACCAAGCAGUACCAACAUCAAUAAUUUAGAUCCCCAUUUUGUAUAAAAUUAUUAAAAAAAACUCACAAUUAUUUAUAAAUAGAAAAAUGUAUAUAAAAAUUCUAGAAAAAUAAAAUCUAUGUUGUUUCAUAACUAAAUUGGAUGAGAAAUAAAGAAAAUCACCAUUCAAUAACAUCCGAUAACAAAUUAAAAUCAAAACAAAACAAAACAAAAAAUGUUAGAUUAUUAUAUGUUUCCUGAAUAUUUCUCGAAACCAAAUUAGUAGUAUUAUCAAGCUGAGUUUCAUGCCCUUGAAGAGUAUCUAGAACUGAUAUUACAAAUACUUAUGAAAUUGACCUUGAUGCCAUAUUUUUAGUCAAAAGAAUACAAAAUAUACCAUAAUUUUUCUUUUCCAAACUCAAUUCGAAAUUUCAUUACAUUUUAAUUGUUUUCAGAAUUUUAUCUUUUCUUAUAAAGUAAAAGCUGUCAAGUAAUGAAGAUGUAAAAAACAAAUGAAUUUGCUUAAUAUUUUUUCUGUGUUUGUUUUUAAAGAAUGAGUAUUGAAGUAAUAGAUAAUAUAGAGAAAUUUUCUUCCUUUUUUCUAUGUCAGGACUCGGGUCUUUAAAGUUCCUCAAUUAUUUUCUUCCUUCUUUUCAGAAUUAGAUUUUCUCUUUUUGCUUGAAUCUUGAUUUUAUAGUCAAUUUGGUGGGUUAGGUUUCUUGAAGCUUUAAGGUUGUAUGGUCUUGACUAGCGCCAAAUAAAAGGUAAAUGCACAAUGAGUUGAAUUGAUUUACUUAUCUUUACCAUGUUCACUAUGGUUUGAAUAUUUUAAGUUACUCUUAUUUUCAUGCAGAGUUUUUAUAUUUUUCUUUUCAAACUCAAUUCAAAAUUCCAUUACAUUUUAUUUUUUUUUUCAAAACCCAAAUUGUAAAAUGAAAAUAUAUUCAAAAAUUUAUCUUUUCUUAUAAUGUAAAAGCUAUGUCAAGUAAUUGAUGAGGUAAAAAAGUAUAGAACAAAUAAAUUUGCUUCAUAGUUUUUUCUAUAUGUUUGUUUUUAAAAUAAUGAGUAUUGAAUAUUUCAAUAUAGAUAAUAUAGAGAAAUUUUGUAGGGUUUAAAAAUAAUUAUCCCUAAUUUUCUCACUUUAUUUAUUUUUAAAAUUUUUAUUUUACUUUUAUUUAUUUUUUAAUUUUAUAAUGUUCUAAAAUUUUAAAAAUAAUUUCAACUUUUUAUCAUUUUAUAUAUUAUCAAAAUGAAAUUCACCGAAAGUAUAAAAAUUUAGGACUAAAAUUUUUAUUAAAUCAUUUAAAAAGUUCCACUUAAUAGUUGAGUGACAAAAAAAUAAUAAUUUCAAAAACAUUAGUGGUGAAAUUGUAAUUGUUUUUAAUUGAGUGAUUAAAACAAAAAUUAGUAAUAGUUUAAUGACUAAUAAUGUAGCUUUUUUUUUUUGGGUACAACGAUAACUCGAAAUUUGGUUAUUCCUAAAAAGGGUGAACAUCCGAUCAUAUUUAUUCACAUAUUACAAACAUCCAUAUGCAAGCUCAUCUUUUUAUCUUUUAUAUAUUAUUUCGAUUGAUACUUAAAUUAUUUGUACGAAAAAAAAAAUCAAAAUGAAAUGCAACAUGUUCUGAACUUUUAUUAAAGCUCAUCUUUUUGUUGAAGAUACCCCAAUCCAUGAUUUCAACAUUGGAAUUUUUGAAAGUCCCUAGUAAUAGUAUGAAUUAUGAAAUUUCAAAAAACCAUAUUCUUAUUUAUUGUUAAUUUCAAGCUAAUUUUAAUAGCUAUACUUACAUUUGUCUUUAAAAAAUAGAAAAUUCACUUUAAAUGUAUAAAAAUGAAUAAAGAAAACUCAUCUUCAUUUCUGACAGCAAAUAAGAAAUAUGAAAAAAAAAAACUAAAAAAGAGAUACAUAUUUUCUUGAUAGACGCUUCAAAUGAAACAAAUAUGAAAAACAUAGUUGUAGGAGUGUUCAAUUGCUUAAUCGAUCCGUUAACCAAAUCGAAUUAGUAUUAACUGAAUUAGUAUUAACUAAAUCGAAAUUAUCAUGAAAAAACUCAAACUUAUAAAUCCCUAUCCCCAAAAAAAAAAAAUUGAAGCAUCCAGAAAAUACAUCAAGCAUUGAACUAAAAAAGAACAUAUCACUAUUCAUAGUUGUAGAGGAGGAUUAGACACUGCUGCUAACGAUGGGUGAAGAAAUAUGCCAACCAAAGACAUAUUGUUGUGUCUGGUGGGGUUAUUCAACCUAUACCAAAAACAUGUUAUUUCAACAUUACAAUGAAAAUUUUGAUACAGUGAUAAUAUAAUGAAAUAAAUUUUAUCAUGUUAUGAAUAAGAAUUCAUAAGGGGAAUUUCUAUUGCAUUCUAUAUUUUUCAUAAUCUUUACAGGUAGUAUACUCCACUAUAUAUAGAAAGAUUAGACUCUUCAUAUUCUAAUACAUAAAUAAGAAAAAGGGGUUAUAAGGAGAUGAAAGUUUAAAAAUUAAAGAAAAUGAAAGAUUAAAGUCAAGAGAGAUGAAAGGUAAAAGGUUGAACAUCCACUUAAUAAUAUUAAUAAUAAAUAUUUUAAAUGUAGCAAAAGUCAUAAAAAUAAUAGAAACACCGCUCCAAAUGAACCAAUUCCACUCAAGCAAUUACUAAAACUUCAAGGAAAACAUGAGAGCAUAGAUUAAUUAUUUUUUAAUAAGUUAAUUGCACCAAAUAUUUUUAAAUUAUUACCUGCAUUCUAAAUUAAUUCACUUUCGAAAUAUUGUGAGUAAUUGCUCACUUUCGAAAUUGGUAGGGAUUAAAUUGUUUCGAUUUUUUUAAAGAGACCAAUUUACUGAAUAUCAAAAUUGAGAGGGACUAGAGAGGUCAUUUUAUCUAGUUUAGUAAUUAAAUGACAUGUUAAAUCUUAUGUGAUAUAAUUUAAAAUGACAAUUUUAAAAAUUGUGGAAAUAUUUGUUUUAAAAAUCUUGGUUUUGAAGUUUUUACAAAAUUUUUAUUGUUCAUUUUUUUUAAAAUUUCAAUUUUAUUUAAUUUUAGUUUCUUUAAAAUUUUCAUUUUAAAAUUAGCUAGAUAAUGAUUUUAAUAAUAAAUGGCCUGAUUAAUAUAACACCAACAGUUUAGAAAUGUAAUUAGAUAAGUUUGCAGUUUGAAAAUAGAUUUAAAAUAAUGGUCAUAAUUUAGGGGUGUUUGUUGCAAUUAACUCAUUUCUAAUGGUGCUAAUAAUUAAGUCUGCUAUAGGACAAAGUGAAAUAGUGGAAAGCAGAGUUAAAAUAUGACCCAAAGAUAUGGAUGGGGCCAUUACCAACAUCAAUAAUUUAGAUCCCGAUUUUGUAUAAAAUUAUUUAAAAAAAAACUCACAAUUAUUUAUAAAUAGAAAAAUGUAUACAAAAAUUCUAAAAAGUAAAAUCUUGAAUAUGUUGUUUCAUAACUAAAUUGUAUGAGAAAUAAAGAAAAUCAGCAUUUAAUAACACCCGAUAACAAAUUAAAAUCAAAACAAAACAAAACAAGUUAGAUUAUUAUAUGUCUCCUGAAUAUUUCUCGAAACUAAAUUAGUAGUGAGUUUCAUGCCCUUGAACAACAUCUAGAACUGAUAUUACAAAUACUUAUGAAAUUAACCUUGAUGCCAUAUUUUUAGUUAAAAGAGUACAAAAUAUAGCAUGAUUUUUCUUUUCAAACUCAAUUCAAAAUUUCAUUACAUUUUAAUUUUUUUUUUCAAAACCCAAAUUGUAAAAUGAAAAUAUAUUCAAAAAUUUAUCUUUUCUUAUAAUGUAAAAGCUAUGUCAAGUAAUUGAUGAGGUAAAAAAGCAUAGAACAAAUAAAUUUGCUUCAUAGUUUUUUCUAUGUUUGUUUUCAAAACAAUGAGUAUUGAAUAUUUCAAUAUAGAUAAUAUAGAGAAAUUUUGUAGGGUUUAAAAAUAAUUAUCCCUAAUUUUCUCACUUUAUUUAUUUUUAAAAUUUUUAUUUUACUUUUAUUUAUUUUUUAAUUUUAUAAUGUUCUAAAAUUUUAAAAAUAAUUUCAACUUUUUAUCAUUUUAUAUAUUAUCAAAAUGAAAUUCACCGAAAGUAUAAAAAUUUAGAACUAAAAUUUUUAUUAAAUCAUUUAAAAAGUUCCACUUAACAGUUGAGUGACAAAAAAAUAAUAAUUUCAAAAACAUUAGUGGUGAAAUUGUAAUUGUUUUUAAUUGAGUGAUUAAAACAAAAAUUAGCAAUAGUUUAAUGACUAAUAAUGUAGUUUUUUUUUUGGGUACAACGAUAACUCGGAAUUUGGUUAUUCCUAAAAAGGGUGAACAUCCGAUCAUAUUUAUUCACUUAUUACAAACAUCCAUAUGCAAGCAAUUCUCCCGAAUUAAAAUCAAAUUUUAAUAUCAACAACUUCAACAACUCAUAAAUAGGAAGAUAAUAUGUUUCGGUACACUUAAAACCACAUCCUUCUAUAUUGACAGCAAUUAUUAUGACAAUGAAGCUAAGACUUUAUUCACAAUACCUAUAUAUUUUUGUUAUACCUAAUUAAAGUCAUUUACCAGUAUAUUAGACAUUCUUAUACCCUACUUUCCCAUACUUUCCCAUUAUUAUCGUGAUGAUGAUGAUGUAACACCCCCUAACCCCAAACCGUCACCGGAACAGGGUUAUAGAGUAUUACCAGACAUAUCGGAUAACUUAUAACUAAUUCACAAAUAAAUAACAGACAUAGCAUACUUUAAUCAAAUAUGUCAUAUUAGUUCCAUUUCAUACUUAUAAUCAAUUUAAAACAUCGUUCUAAAACCACAAUCACAAAACUCUUAUACUUAACCUAUAUAUCACUUAGGUACAUGCCACAUUAUCAAAACAAAAGUACAUCACCAAAAUUUCUCUGAGGUCGGGAUUACUCUGGAUGCUGGACCGAGCACUGGCUUCCUACUAACCUGCGCACGGAAACAACCGUAUUGUCACUUUCGAACUGGNNNNNNNNNNNNNNNNNNNNNNNNNNNNNNNNNNNNNNNNNNNNNNNNNNNNNNNNNNNNNNNNNNNNNNNNNNNNNNNNNNNNNNNNNNNNNNNNNNNNAACUUUGAGAUAAAUCUGACGCGAUCUGCUCCACUACAACUUUAGAGAGAUGAGAUCUGCGGUUUUACUCCAUACCAUUACAACUUCAAGGAGAUAGGAAUUCUGGCUUCAAUGUACUCCACUGUAACCUCAAGGAGGUAAAAUCUGCCAUCCUCGAUCUACUCCACUACCGUCUAGGGAGAUAAGUUUUAUUAUCUUUAAUCUAUUCCACUGGUGCCCAGUGAGAUAGAAUUACUGGCUUCAAUAUACUCUAUUGUAACCUCAGGGAGGUAAAAUCCGCCAUCCUUGAUCUGCUUCAUUACUGCUUAGGGAGAUAAGAUCUGUUAUCUUUGAUCUACUUCACGCCAAUACAUGAAGACAAGAUCUGCUUUCUUCGAUCUGCUUCGCCACCAGUAUGGGAAGACAAGAUCUGGUAUCUUCGAUCUACUUCACGCCAAUACAUGAAGACAAGAUCUGCUUUCUUCGAUCUAUUUCACCACCAGUAUGGGAAGACAAGAUCUGCUAUCUUUGAUCUACUUCACUCCAAUACAUGAAGAUAAGAUCUGUUUUCUUCGAUCUACUUUGCCACCAGUAUGGGAAGACAAGAUCUACUAUCUUUGAUCUACUUCACGCCAAUACAUGAAGACAAGAUAUGUUUUCUUUGACCUACUUCGCCACCAGUAUGGGAAGACAAGAUCUGCUAUCUUUGAUCUACUUCACGCCAAUACAUGAAGACAAGAUCUGCUAUCUUUGAUCUACUUCACACCAAUACAUGAAGACAAGAUCCGUUUUCUUUGAUCUACUUCACGCCAAUACAUGAAGACAAGAUCUGCUAUCUUUGAUCUACCUCACGCCAAUUCAUAAAAAUAAGAUCUGCUGCUUUUCAACCUGCUCCACUGUUGCUCAAGGAGAUAAGGCUUUAUGAUUUCACCGAUCUGUUCUCUGUGGAACAUGGCCUGUAUCAUUCAAUUUAUGAACCUAAUUAUGUCUAGUGAAUAGGAUGUCAUGAUCAAAUGAAUCAAAUACUCCUAACUGGACAUGUAUGAAUGACAUUUGAAUGAAUGCAAAAUGUCAUUUUUCGAGAAUGAUCCCUCCUUAUCACUUAGGUUAUCAUUACUCAAAGUUUAUCAAAGUUUUAUUGCCAAUGUGCUAUAACGCCUCUUACUCGGCUGACGUCUCCAAAGAAACACUUGACCAGAUUGCCCCCACUGUAAACCUCCAAGUUUGAUCCACUAGGAUGCAAAAUUUACAUUAUCUUUCUCCCGUUGUAACCCAAGAGUAAAAGAUUUGGCCUUUUCUCAAUCCUCUGUUAUCACAAUUUAAGGAUAAAGGAUGUGAAACUUUUUGGUCUCUUACACCAUUCUCAGGGUGUCACACAAAAUGCUCAUGAAAAAAUGAAGAAUUUUCCUCUCCAAGAACAGCUUCUUCUUAUUAUUCGAUGAUCAUUGCUUGCUUGUUCAUUGAAGCUUUAUCACCAACACGGCAUCUUGCCAUUUUGUUUAAUCAAUACUUUAGACAAGAAAAUUCAAAGGGAUAGUCUUAAUUUAGACUCUUCUUUAUCAAAUUUCCAACCUUUGAACCUGGUACGUUUUAGAUAAUAGUUAUGUUUGAGGUUCCUAUAUUAUUUAGAAGCUUCUAGACUAAUAUGCAAAACUUCCCUUGUGAAGGUUUUAUUGGUCCAUUAAUUAUUAUUCUAAUGCAACACACUUGCAAAGAGAACAAAAUGAUGGAUAAAAUUGAAUUGGUUCUGAGCAUAGCUCGAAAUGAAAUAAAUUAUCAAAGAUAAUAAAGAUGGAUAACAAAGACAUUGAUUCAGGAAUGCGUAUUUUUGGAAAUAAAUGAAGCGUUCCAAGUAUAACAAAGUAUAAGGAUUAGGUACCUCAGAUAUCGCAGCUUGAACUUCUCUGUACAGACUUUCUGAAGACCAUUCUGAGUUUAACACGUGUUUAGGAGAUCGAUACCCCAGGAUGUCGCCUACACUUUCCUAUUGAUUCAGGUAUAGAAAGAUCAUUGCAUGCCCCAUUCUGGUCAUAUUUGAGCUGCUCUGAUAACUUCAAGCGCCAUUUUGAUCAACAUUUGAGCCGCCAUUUUCGGGUUUUCAACUCAAAUCCCCUUUGGUCUAAGGUGCCAUUUGCGGGUUUUCACCUUGGCCUCUCCAUUUCUUUUUCUCUUCUCUUUUUUGACUCAAGGCUCCCUUUGUAGGGUUUCACCCUGGGUUUUUUUUUAAGCGGAGUAUUUCCUGACUGAAUCCGAGUUUGCAGGACUUUGCAAGUUUAUUAUCUAUCUCCCUCAAAAUCAAAGCUCAUUUAGAAAAGACCUUCUCUAUAACACAAGGUUCUUCCCAAUUUGGCAUUCGUUAUAUUUUUUGUAGAGUGAGGAUCUUCUUCGGCAUUAGGUCACCAUCGUGGAAUUCUCUUGGACAAACCUUUUACUAUAGGCUCGCAUAAUUCAUUUCUUGGUACAUCUGACCCUGAUGAAUAGUUUCUAGCCUUUUUCUUUAACUAGGUUCAACUAAUUGUACCGGGAUUGGAUUUUCAUCCUACUUCAACUCAGCCAAAACUUAAAGAGAAAGAAUUUCAACUUCAAUGAAAAUCGUGAUAAACUGGAAAGAGUGGCAUUGCCCCGCUAGAGUUUUCAUUGCACCAUUCAUGAUAUUCACCUUGAACAUACUGUAAAAUUUUGAUAUCGUGCUAUUGUUCAGAUUGCAAUGACAUCACUUAAAACGGGCACAUCCUGGUAUGACCAUGCGAAGCCAUCUUUGAAUGCUUGAAGUAACUCAACAUCGUUUUGCUUUGUUUUUUCGGUCAUGCAUGUUCCCUCAAGGUCACAACCUCUAUUGUCUCAUUUAUUUCUCUUAUUGCUUUACCAUCAUCAACAAGUCAGGAGAUAAGCUACAAUUUAUGACAUCUUCAAAGUCAUAAGAUCCCUCUAAAUACAUGGCUCACUCAAAAAGGGAUUUUGAGUCCGUAGUAGCGUCACUCAUGUCAUUGAUAUCUAGGAACCCAUAGUAAAUACCAAAAAAUGUACAAAAGAAUGUAUGAAUAAUAUGAAUGAAUGAACAAAUGGUUUGGUAGAAAAAAAAUUCAUAAGAAUGAAAGAAGUGCAAAGAAUGAAAGAACAUUUACUCCAAGAUGAUUGCAAUAAUGUAUUUCAUUAAAAUAAUCAUGUUCGGACAUGAGCCAAUUUCACAAAGGCAUUCCUAUUGCUUUUAGGCUAAAAGCAACAAGCGUGUUCUGAAUAUUACUCUAACAGACCCUAAAUACUGUAGGGGUUUCCUCUGCAGUCCCAUUAUUUAUAACACCUCCCAGGCGAAUAUCUAACCAGAGCCCUUUUAAUUAUGUCUGCACAUAUGGCGUCGAUGUGAAAAUCUCACCACUUCCAUACAUUGUCCUCCCCCAUUAUCACUCGUGAUUAGGUAGCGGAUUUUCUGCACUAGACGAGUCACCAAACUUGACAAUACCCAUGUCGAUGAGUCUUUCAACUUGCUUCUUGAAGGUAGUGCAGUUCUCAAUCGAGUGUCCCAUAAUUUCUGCGUGGUAUUCACAUUGUGCAUUCGCAUCAUACCAUUUGGGAUACGGAGGUUGUAGAGGCUUCACAGGAAAAGGAGAAACAACACGUGCAUCAAACAAAUUCUAAUACAGUUCUCUAUAUGACACUGGAACUGGCGUAAAUUGGGGCCUCUCUGUGUUUUGUCCUGUACCAACUUCCUGUCUCAAUGGACCUUGUUGGUUAGCAGCCAUCUUUCUUGGCUGACUCACAGUAAAUGAUUUAAAGUAACCCGUGUUGUUCACCUCAUCUUCUCUUCUCCUUGAGACUGACCUCUUGUUACUCUCCUCUGCAUCAAUUUUCCCGCUUCUUAUAGCAUUUUCAAUCAUUUCACCAUUCAUAACUAUGUCAGAAAAAUUUUUGUGGCACUUCCUAACAUAUGUGAUGAACGGGGCUUUCAAUGUAUUUAUAAAAAGCAUCGUCAUUUCUUUCUCUAAGAGCAGUGGUUGAACUUGGACUGCGUCUUCCCUCCAUCUUUGUGUGUACUGCCUAAAGCUUUCGCUUGACUUCUUCUCCAUGUUUUGAAGGGUAAUUCUAUCAGGAGCCAUAUCUGUCACAUGACUAUACUGUUUCAUGAAUGCUUGUGCCAAGUCCUUCCAUGAACCAAUUGUGGUGCAGCUCAGUUGAUUGUACCACUUAGAUGCUGCCUCUGCUAGGCUAUCUUGGAAACAGUGUAUUAAUAGCUGGUCAUUAUUAACGUAUCCAGCCAUUCGCCUGUAGAACAUGGUGAUAUGAGCCUCUGGGCAAGUCGUCCCAUUGUACUUCUCGAUUUCCGGCAUCUUAAACUUAUGAGAGAGUACCAAAUCAGGAACUAAGUUCAGCUCUUUAGCGUCAAUCCCACGACAGCUUUCAGUGACUUCCAUUGCCCUGAAUUUCUCCUCGAGCCAUUUGCACAUUUCCUCUAGCUAUUUUGGUAACUCCUCCUUUAUUCUUUCCCUCUUGGCCACUUCAACAAAGUCAGGAAUGGUAGAGUUCACAGGGUUGUUUUCGGGAUUAGAACCCGAUCCAGCUUGAAAGUUCGAAAUACCAGCCCGAAACUGCUUAAGCAUGAUGGUGACAGUAGACUUACACGAGUAUUCAGCUUGAGUUCGCAUAUGUGGAGGGGUGAAACCUGGUGGAUAGAGAGGUUCAUCAUCAUUUCCCUCAUCGACAUUUGCCAUGGGGCCCUUUCCUUUAUCACUUCCCUUAGUUAUCAGUUGGGCUAACUUUGCCACUAUAUCUUCGUGGGAUUCUCACAUCUUCUCAGACAUCUCUUGUUUCAUCUUGUCUAACCGCUCCUGCACCUGUAGCUGAAGUCGGUCCUGCAUCUUCUUUUGACACUGUUCGAGUUUUUCCAAUCUCUGAUCCAUGUCUUUAAUCUUUGCUUGAGUGUUGUAACAAUGUUUGGUUGAUUGGUUGGUUUCCAGGUUAACUGAGCAGUGAUUUUAAUUAAUUAGGAUCAUUUAAAGGUGUCUAAUGCACAUGAUGUAAUGAAAUGCAAAUGCAUGAAAUGAAUGUAAAAAAAAACGUUGAUUCAGGUUCAAUUUUUUUACUAGAAAACUUCUUUAGAAAGUAAAUCUCUUUACACAAAGUGGAUAUAUAUAUACGGCUUCGUCCUCGAGCUCCAAGCGAAGACAACGACCAUUAAUAUGCAUCUUGCGAAUCUUCUAAUAAGCAUCUACUAGCUCUUUUUUACUUCAUCCAGGUUGCAACUCCUUGAUCCUAUGCUUGUGAGCUUCUUUAAAAAGGUUGGGAUGUUUGACGACUCUUGAAUAAUCUUUGCUAAUCUUGAAUCAACGCAGCAAAGUCGUAUACUCCUAUUGUUACACUUCUUGCAUCACGCUUUCUUGGACUAUAUUCGGAGAACCGUAUUAUCUUCCACUUUAUCAAGAAACCCGUUUUCCAUGACAAGCUCUCUAUUUAGCAACCGAACAUGAAUCAACACCUCUUUUCUAUGAUGAAAUGCAAUGCAGUCAAAAUGUCAUGCAACCAAAUCAAAACAUAACAAGUUAGUAUCAGGUAUAAACAUUAUAUCCAAUACAAUCAAGAAAUAAUAAAAACUCCUAGUCAGGAAUCUACUAAGGUUUAGAGUACUUCUACCUAGGGUAAGUUCCUAAAGCUCACUAUAUGAGGUUUAGUUUCUAGAGUAAGGGUACCCGAACCAGCAAAUUCCUCGAUCCUCACCCAUUAUAGGCUCAUGUGGAUCGAGUUCAGUUCAGGGGGAUGCAUUUUCCUAUGGCUGCACGGAGAUGAAAAUCUCACGAAGACAUAGGUACAGAUAUAUCCCGGAAGCGGUCCACUACCCUGCACGGAGGUGAAAACCUCACGAAGGACUAGUUUCUCGCUCCCACUUAAGGGGGUAACACUGACCAUGCAAUGCAAAAUGCAAAUACAGAUCACCCAACUUGAUUCAAUCAUGCAAAUGAUGAAAAUCAAUCAAUGCGAAAGGAAAUCAUGAUUUUUAAAAAACUUUUGACUUUCGAUAAAAAAGACAAAGCAUAAUCAAUUCAUGGCUCGACUCUCAAAUGUCCUCAGCGGAGUCGCCAAGCUGUCGAAACCGCUUUUUUGGAAACAAAAAAAUUUUAGUUUCGUCUUAAAAAUAAAAACUGGAGUCGCCACUGGUCCUUUAUUAAGGUGUGAUCGGCCCACCUUAAAAAUAAUUUUGGUCUGCGAAAUUUGAGAAAACAGGUUUAAUGGUGGUGGCCCCCCUCAUUUUGGGCAUAUGUUUCAGCACUUAUCCAUUUUCAGACAAGGAAAUUAUUUAAUAAAGAAAAAGAAAAAUGGUGCACAUGGGAGCAUUUUCAAGCCCACCUUUGAGUUAUGAAAGACUGGGGUAGAUGGAAGUAAUUAACGGGCAAAGUGGGGUUAAGAAGGGUAAUUAAGAAAUGGUGCAGUGGAUGGAGUUAGAAAGAAGAGGAUACUCACGGGCAAGAGACAGGGGGUUUGGUUUUCUCAGCAAAAACGCGUGUGAAGAUGUGGAAUUGUCAAGCUUUUUGAAUUAUUUGUCCCCAAAAAAUAUAGAUGUGAAGAAAACACAUGCACCUUGUCGAAACCGUUUUUUUAGAAACAAAAAAAUUUUAGUUUCGUCUUAAAAAUAAAAACUGGAGUCGCCACCGAUCCUUUAUUAAGGUGUGCGGCCCACCUUAAAAAUAAUUUUGGUCUGCGAAAUUUGAGAAAACAGGUUCGGGAGUUAGUUACGCACGAGGAAGGAUUAGCACCCUCGUAACGCCCAAAAUUGGUACCAAAUUGAUUUUUUUAAUGCCUUGGUNNNNNNNNNNNNNNNNNNNNNNNNNNNNNNNNNNNNNNNNNNNNNNNNNNNNNNNNNNNNNNNNNNNNNNNNNNNNNNNNNNNNNNNNNNNNNNNNNNNNCAUGGGAGCAUUUUCAAGCCCACCUUUGAGUUAUGAAAGACUGGGGUAGAUGGAAGUAAUUAACGGGCAAAGUGGGGUUAAGAAGGGUAAUUAAGAAAUGGUGCAGUGGAUGGAGUUAGAAAGAAGAGGAUACUCACGGGCAAGAGACAGGGGGUUUGGUUUUCUCAGCAAAAACGCGUGUGAAGAUGUGGAAUUGUCAAGCUUUUUGAAUUAUUUGUCCCCCAAAAAAUAUAGAUGUGAAGAAAACACAUGCACCUUGUCGAAACCGUUUUUUUAGAAACAAAAAAAUUUUAGUUUCGUCUUAAAAAUAAAAACUGGAGUCGCCACCGAUCCUUUAUUAAGGUGUGCGGCCCACCUUAAAAAUAAUUUUGGUCUGCGAAAUUUGAGAAAACAGGUUCGGGAGUUAGUUACGCACGAGGAAGGAUUAGCACCCUCGUAACGCCCAAAAUUGGUACCAAAUUGAUUUUUUUAAUGCCUUGGUGUCGAAAAUUUGAAAAGAUUUUAAAAUGAAACUUUUUAUUUCAUGAAUGAAUCAAAAUAAUAAGACAUUCUUAUUUCAAAGAAAUGAAACACCACACCCAGUGAGUUAGGGCACAAUGUUUUUAAAUUUUCAAAAUACCCGAAUAUUGCCUUUUGCUUUUGAAAAUUCUUAUUUCGAGAAAUCAAAAUAUAAGGACCAGUAAGUUAGGACCCAACAUUUUGAAUCCCCGAGAAUAAGCUUUUAUUUAAAAUUUGUGAAUUUAAUGCAAAAUGAAUACUUAGCGUUCUAAAUUCAUCGAAGAAUAAUCGCAAUCCAGUAAGUUAGGACACGGUCUUUCUUGAGAAUCAUGAACGCCAAAUACUUUGAAAAUUUAUAAAAUAUGAUGAUUUCAAUGUUUUGACAAAACCAAAAUAUGUCUUCUUUAAAAGCAAGAUAAAAUGUUAAUAAACAACAUGGAACACGUACUUUAAUUUAAAUUAUAAAUAUGCAUGUAUUUACAAAAUAUAUAUACAAAUACAAUACACAAGUAAAUUUGAAAAUAUGUGCAUGCGUAUGUUUAACACACAUAUACAAGUAUACAUAUAAAAAAACAUGUAUAGCAGAACUUAUAAUAAUCUCUAAAAAUAUGUACGUAUAUUUCAUAAAACAUGUAUAUGUACAAAAAAUAGGAAAAAUACAUAUGUAUUGUAAAAUAUAUAUAUUUAUUUAUUUAUAAAAACUAUGAAAACAAAAAAAAACAAAUAUAUAAAUUAUGCACGUAUUAAAAUAUGUAUAUGUAUGUGUACAUAUAUGAAUGCAAAUAACUAGAAGAACAAACUAAUAUAUGAAAAAAAAGAUAGGUAUAAAAGUAUGUGGAUAUGUAUGCAUUUUAAAAAAAUAAAAGAAAUGUAUAAGUAUAUAUAUAUAUAUAAUGUAAAAUAUAUGAGUAAAAAAAUAAAAAAAUAAAAGACGUAUGUAAAAUGCAUGCAUUUUAAGAAUAUAUAUAUAUUAUAUAAAGAAUUAUGCAUAUAUGUACUAUAUAUAAAAAAAUCGUAUAUGAAUAUAGAAAUAGUAAUAAAUGAUAAUAAAUAAUAUAGUAAUAAUUUUAAAAAUAAAAAUUUUAAAAAACGAAUUGCAACAAAAACAAAAUAGCCAAAAAAUGAAAUUAAAAUAGAACAUGGACCAAUUUGCAACACACGCAUUAUAUGAGGGGCCCAAAUGGAAACAAUCCGCCUCCUUAAAAUGCUGCGCUGCAAUGGGGACCGAUUUGAAAUGAGGAAAAAACAUUCGGGCCAAAUUAAAAAGAGAUAACUGGCUUAAUAAAACAUGGCGCAAAGGGGAAGGACUUAUUUCGAAAUUAUCCCAUUUAAGGUUGAUAUGCGUGAACCCCCAAAUAAACAGCGCCAUCCUUGCUCUGCUCUGUUUUAAGUUUAAAAAAAACAAAUUUAGGGAAAUAUUUUGCCUUUCCCUUUGAAGCAGAAACUGCUUCUUUUAGGGUUUCCUUAACCCUUUGGCCGCCGUUCAGCCCACGGCCUUCGUCGACGGAGAAGACGCCGGCCCGUCGACUCCGAUGACCAGGUAAGUUUCUUCCUCCUUUCUUUUUAUUUUCAAUGAAAAAUAAAACAAUAAAAAAGGCUAAAAGAAAAAAAAACAAAAUGAAACUCAAAAUGCUGAGAAAAUGAAAAAACACCUUUUGUAUUCGGAAAAGAAAAUUUGUUUGUUGAUAUUAAAUCUUUUUUAUUGAUUCUUCCCAAAAAUCUCCCCUUUUUACAGAUUUAAAUCACCCUUAUAUAGCCGAAAAUUAGAGAGGAAAAUAAUCAAAAAUCGAAUCUAUAUCUUUUCUGUUAUUUCCCCUUAUUUUCCUAUUAUUUUAUUGUUUCGUGGUUGUUUAUUGUUUGUUGCAGGAGCCAACUGGAGGAGAACGUGUGGGGAAGGCGCGCAAAGGGCGGCGAUGAACGUGGCUGCUGUUGAGGAUGGCGGCUGGUGGUUUUUUCUACUUAGGGCUUCUGUUAUUUUUGUUUUUGGGCUAGGUUUAGUUUAUUGGGUUUGGGCCCAGGCAUAUUUGGGACUAUUACACACCUCAUGAAAAAUGUCAAAUAUUAUUUGAUUGGCUGGAAGGACGCGGAUUGGCAAGGACCACUUCACCCAUAUCUUCAUACUUGCUUGGUUGAUCAAUGGUUAAAAGGAGAGGACGACCCUGAAAUUCAGAAAAGAAUCGGUUCCCUUCCCCUUUCCCCUGCAAUUCCUAUUGUUUUGUUUUCUUGAUUUCCAAAUCCUUGUAGUAAUAAAUGAAAAAAAGAAGAUCCACACAGACAAUACCCUGUACAAUAUCUACUUUGCUUUUAAGCGCGUUCUAUCUUCGUCCUUAAUAACUCUUAUUUAUUCACAGUUUAAACUCUCAGAUUCUGGUUCGAUUUCAGUAUCAUCCUUAGUCCAUUUAAUUUAUUUAUUAUUUUAGAAACUCUUUUAUUAUUAUUUGUUUUAAGUUUUUUUAUUUAUCAUUUAUUGUAAACUGUUUUACAUGCUAUUUAUUUAAUUCUUUUAAUAUGUUAUUCAUUUUAAACCAUUAUAUGUACAUAAUCUUUUAAAUUCCUAUAUAUGUAUUUUUUUUAAAUGUUGUAUGUCUUUUAUUUAUUUGUUUUAAACUAUUAUUAUUCACUUUAAGUUUUUAUAUACUGUUUAUUUUGAAGCCUUUUAUUAUUUAUUUUUGAAUUGUUCUUGUAAAUUAUUUAUUUUAAAUUAUUAUUUGCUUUAAACUGUUUUGCAUAAUAUUUUGUUUUGUUUUCUUCGAUUGUUAAUGUUAGUAUUAAAAACGAUAUACAUUGUGUGAUUAUUGCCGUCAUGUGUACUAUAAUUAGCUUCUUCGUGUUUUCAUAUUAUUGUCUUUCAUCAAUGUAACAUUUUAUUCAUAAAUCGUUAUUUCAUGUUAUACAUUAUCAUUCCAUUUCAUUUCAUCACUUCGAAAGUUGCGUUCAAUUUUUAUAUACCCAUAAUAAACCGUUCUAUUUUAUCACAAAUAAAACAAAUGCACCUCGUUCAAGAAUUGUACUCGCUAUGAUUCAAAAAAAGGGAAAAGUUUUUUAAUAACGCAAUAUUUCGCGUUUUGGAGAUUCGAAAAAUUGUACCCUAACUUACGGGGUUUCAAUUUUCUCGUUAAAUCUAAAUAGCAAAAUAUCUUUUUAAAUUUCAAGAUAUACGAGAUUUCAAUAAAAAUUAAAGGCAAGCUUAUUCUCUAAGGUUCCAAAUAUCGUGUCCUAACUUACGGGACAUGACAUUUCGUUACCUCGAGACAAGUGGGUCUUUAACUCUCUUUUCAAUUUAUUCAAGCGUUUUUUUAUUAGCAUUAACAAAAAAAGGAUCGUAUUUUAAAAUAUUUUCAAAAUUUUAACUUUUGACAUUAAGACAUUAAUUAAUCAACUAGGUACCAAUUUUGGGCGUAUCGAGGGUGCUAAUCAUUCCUCGUGCGUAACCGACUCCAGAACCCAUUUUCUGGAUUUUGUAGACUAAAAAUUACCGUUUUAGUAUAUUUAAAAUUUUAUUAAAAUGAUUAAAUUAUAAGGUGAUCUGAUCACACCUAAAUAAAAAGGAUUGGUGGCGACUCCAUUUUCGUUUUUAAAUAAAAAGUUGACCCUUUUUUCAAAAAAAUGGUUUCGACAACCCUUAUGUCCGUUUUCGGAUCACAAGAAUUCUAUGAAUUAAAAAAAUAAUCCUACAUGGAGAUGAUAGUCCAUGGUCUAUUUCCUAAGAACCACAACAUUAACAAAGCAAACAAUUAGAUAACAAAUAUAUAAUAUCGCAUUCAUUCCUACAUAUAACACAAAAAUAUGUAUAAGAUCUAAAGAAUGUCACUUUCUAUGUAAUCAAAUCAUUCAAGAAGUGAAUUUUAUUUUGAUUAUCUGUUUAUACUUAUCGAUAGAGCAAAACCUGGUUCUGAUACUAAUUGUUCAAAAAUGAGUUUUUGAAAAUGCAGCAAAAAUCAAUUUAGGGAAAAGCCUAAGUUUAAAAAAAUUCUAAAAUAAGAAUUUAGUUGUGAUAUCUAAAGUAAUAAACACUUAAUAAAAAUUGUACCUUUUCGAUUCGUCUAUGAUGAAUGCUUCAUUGAGUAGUCUUUUCUAUUAUCCUCAAACUCACGUUUGCCGAGUCACAAUAACAUUAAACAAGUGCAACAACUAAACCAAUGCUGAUAGCACUUAAAGGCAAUGGUUGAAGCAAACAACAAUUGAAAAAAAAAUGAAAGAAUCGGUGUUGCAAAUUUUUAAGAUUAGCACAAUGGCCACAAGGUAAUUGACGGCUAUAAUAAAGGGUUGAUCGACAAAUGCACAGCAGGCUAAAACAACAAGAAAUUGAAGCUAAUCAGCACCCAAAUAACAGGCAACACAUUUAGAUGGCAAACAGUAGAAGGUUAAGCAACAAAAUUGAAGCAAAUUAAAUAGCAAGUCAGUAACAAAAGGAACCAGUAGCAGCUAAUUGGAAGUUGAUUGAUAAGUAUUUGGUAAAACAACGUUAUUUGACCAACAUGCAAAAUAGUACACAUGCAUACACCACUCACAAUUGAUUUGAAUCCCACACCUCAAUUACAAUCCAUAGAACAUUAACAAUUGACCGGAGCACCACUACAACUCGGAUUCGUCUCGAUUCCUUCUUAACGCUACACCGGUUUGAAGAUUUGCGUUAAUAGUCGAUCAACAAUAAUGAAUGCUCACUAACCAAGCUAAGAGGGUUCGGUCAAGGGGUGAGAAAUAAUGAUGACAAGGGCAACAAAAACUUCAAUGUGCGACUACAGGAGAAGGAGAAAUGGACAUCAAUGGAGAAUCAAAAAUGGCAGAAAAUUCUAAACAAAAUAUUGAUAUUAAAAAGGCAAGGAUUCAGCCAAAUAAAUUGGAGAAGUGAUAGGCAAAAGGGCAGCACAAAUAGAAAAUAAAACUUGUGUUUUAGGUUGCAAUAAUGGUGGAUUAUGAGAGAAAAUUGAAGAAUAAUGGAGAGGAAAAAUGAAGGGGACGACAAUAGCUUGAGAAAAAUAAAUAAAAUAGGCUAAACAUAAAAUAAAAUGCAAUUUAUACCGAGGUUAAAAAGGGCUUGGAAGGCAACAAGGUUUUGGGGAGCAAAAACAUUGAAAAAAUAAAAGUUUGCAAGGGAAGGGAAUCAAACUCAAGUCUUAAGGUCAAUUUCACUAACUCUUUACCAGUAUGCCAAUUACUUAUCCUUUUUAUAAAUGCUCAAACAAAACCUUAAAAAUUAGGGCAAGACAACUUUCAGUUCACUAACCCGAUUUCUUCCGACUCAAUUCCUUCUGACCCAAUUUUUGGGACAUGACAAAACUAUUAGUAAGUUUAUGUUUCGUUUUAGUCACUUAACUUCAAAAUGCUACAAAAUGGUCAAUAAACUAUUCAAAAGUUUUCAUUUAAGUCAUUGGUUUGUUAAGUUUUUUUUUUUUUAAGUUUGAUUAAUGAGCUCCAAGCGAUGAUUCGACGAUUGAUGUAGAGAAUCUAUACCCAUUGACGAGUGGAACAUAUCUUAGAUCCAAGCUAACCUGCCAUUUAGUGUAGGAGAUUGGAGAAAAAAAGUUGUUCGAAUUUUGGUUCACAAAUUUGUGACGUUCAAAACUGUUUCAUGAAUAUAAAUUAUGUUGUAAAAGAGAAGAGAAAUGUAAGCUUUUAAUUGAUACAAACGGUGCAAACAAAGGUCAUAUAGUAACAAUUUUAAAAGCCUGAUGACUUAAAUGAAAAUUUUUGUAUAAUUCAGUAAUCAUUUUAUAAUUUUUUAAAAUUAACUAAAACAUAAACUUAUUAAUAAUUUAAUAACCUCAAUUGCCAUUUACCCAUAAAACUAUUGAGACCAUUCUAAAAAGUGAUGCAUUAAUUAUAUCUUUUAUCUUUUAUAUAUUGUUUCGAUUAAUACCUAAAUUAUUUGUACGAGAAAAAAAUCAAAAUGAAAUGCAACAUGUUCUGAACUUUUAUUAAAGCUCAUCUUUUUGUUGAAGAUACCCCAAUCCAUGAUUUCAACAUUGGAAUUUUUGAAAGUCCCUAGUAAUAGUAUGAAUUAUGAAAUUUCAAAAAACCAUAUUCUUAUUUAUUGUUAAUUUCAAGCUAAUUUUAAUAGCUAUACUUACAUCUGUCUUUAGAAUUUGCAAAACAAAUAGAAAGUUCACUUUAAAUGUAUAAAAAUGAAUAAACAAAACUCACCUUCAUUUCUGAUAGCAAAUAAGAAAUAUGAAAAAAAAAAACAAAAAAAGAAAUACAUAUUUUCUUUGAAGACGCUUCAAAUGAAACAAAUAUGAAAAACAUAGUUGUAGGAGUGUUUAAUUGCUUAAUCGAUCCGUUAACCAAAUCGAAUUAGUAUUAACUGAAUUAGUAUUAACUAAAUCGAAAUUAUCAUGAAAAAAUUCAAACUUAUAAAUCCCUAUCCCGAAAAAAAAAACUGAAGCAUCCAGAAAAUACAUCAAGCAUUGAACUAAAAAAGAACAUAUCACUAUUCAUAGUUGUAGAGGAGGAUUAGACACUGCUGCUAGUCAUGGGUGAAGAAAUAUGCCAACCAAAGACAUAUUGUUGUGUCUGGCGGGGUUAUUCUACCUAUACCAAAAACAUGUUAUUUCAGCAUUACAAUGAAAAUUUUGAUACAGUGACAAUUAAAUGAAAUAAAUUUUAUCAUGUUACGAAUAAAAAUUCAUAAGAGGAAUUUCUAUUGCAUUCUAUAUUUUUCAUAAUCUUUACAGGUAGUAUACUCUACUAUAUAUAGAAAGAUUAGACUCUUCAUAUUCUAAGACAUAAAUAAGAAAAAGGGGUUAUAAAGAGAUGAAAGUUUAAAGAUUAAAGAAAAUGAAAGAUUAAGGUCAAGAGAGAUGAAAGGUGAAAGGUUGAACAUCCACUUAAUAAUAUUAAUAAUAAAUAUUUUAAAUGUAACAAAAAUCAUAAAAAUAAUAGAAACACCGCUCCAAAUGAACCAAUUCUACUCAAGCAAUUACUGAAACUUAAAGGAAAACGUGAGAGCAUAGAUUAAUUAUUUUUUAAUAAGUUAAUUUCACCAAAUAUUUUAAAUUAUUACCCGCAUUCUAAAUUAAUUCACUUUUGAAAUAUUGUGAUUAAUUGCUCACUUUCGAAAUUAGUAGGGAUUAAAUUGUUUCGAUUUUUUAGAGGGACCAAUUUGCUGAAUAUCAAAAUUGAGAGGGACUAGAGAGGUUGUUUUACCUAGUUUAAUAAUUAAAUGACAUGUUAAAUCUUAUGUGACAUAAUUUAAAAUGAAAAUUUAAAAAAAAAUUGUAGAAAUAGUUGUUUUAAAAAUCUUGGUUUUGAAGUUUUUACAAAAAUUUUAUUGUUCAUUUUUUAAAAUUUUCAGUUUUAUUUAAUUUUAGUUUGUUUAAAAUUUUCAUUUUAAAAUUAGCUAUAUAAAAUUUAACAUGUCAUUUAAUAAUUUUAAUAAUAAAAUGAUCUGAUUAAUAUAACAUCAAUAAUUUAGAAAUGUAAUUAGAUCAGCUUGAAGUUUGAAAAUAGAUUUAAAAUAAUGGUCAAACUUUAGGGGUGGUUGAUGAAUUAACUCAUUUCUAAUGGAGCUAAUAAUUAAGACUGCUAUAGGACAAAGUGAGAAAGUGGAAAGCAGAGUGAAAAUAUGACCCAAAGACUCACCUUUUUCUAAGUCGUCUCCUAUCAUAAUUGCAUAAUAAAUGGAUGGGGCCAUUACCAACAUCAAUAAUUUAGAUCCCGAUUUUGUAUAAAAUUAUUAAAAAAAACUCACAAUUAUUCAUAAAUAGAAAAAUGUAUAUAAAAAUUCUAGAAAAAUAAAAUCUUGAACACGUUGUUUCCUAACUAAAUUGUAUGAGAAAUAAAGAAAAUUAUCAUUCAAUAACAUUCGAUAACAAAUUAAAAUCAAAACAAAACAAAACAAAAAAACGUUAGAUUAUUAUAUGUUUCCUGAAUAUUUCUCGAAACUAAAUUAGUAGUAUUAUCAAGUUGAGUUUCAUGCCCUUGAAGAACAUCUAAAACUGAUAUUACAAUUACUUAUGAAAUUGACCUUGAUGCCAUAUUUUUAGUUAAAAGAGUACAAAAUAUACCAUCAUUUUUCUUUUUCAAACUCAAUUCAAAAUUUCAUUACAUUUUAAUUUUUUUUUCAAAACCCAAAUUGUAAAAUGAAAAUAUAUUCAGAAAUUUAUCUUUUCUUAUAAUGUAAAAGCUAUGUCAAGUAAUUGAUGAGGUAAAAAAGCAUAGAACAAAUAAAUUUGCUUCAUAGUUUUUUCUAUGUUUGUUUUUAAAAUAAUGAGUAUUGAAUAUUUCAAUAUAGAUAACAUAGAGAAAUUUUGUAGGGUUUAAAAAUAAUUAUCCCCUAAUUUUCUCACUUUAUUUAUUUUUAAAAUUUUUAUUUUACUUUUAUUUAUUUUUUAAUUUUAUAAUGUUCUAAAAUUUUAAAAAUAAUUUCAACUUUUUAUCAUUUUAUAUAUUAUCAAAACAAAAUUCACCGAAAAAUUUUAGGACUAAAAUUUUUAUUAAAUCAUUUAAAAAGUUUCACUUAACAGUUGAGUGACAAAAAAAUAAUAAUUUCAAAAAAAUUAGUGGUGAAAUUGUAGUGAUUAAAACAAAAAUUAGCAAUAGCUUAGUGGCUAAUAGACCUGUCCAUGGGCCGGGCGGCCCGCCCAAAAUAUGGGAGGGUUUGGGUAAAAAUAUAGGCCCGAAAUAUGGGCUUGGGAAAAAUUUUAGGCCCGUUUAAAAAAUGGGCCGGGCCUCGGGUAAGAUUUUUUGGGCCCGGGCCCGGCCCGAAAAAUAUUAAAUAUAUAUUUUUUAUUUUUAAAAUAUAAUAGUUUUUUAUUUUAAGUUUAUUUACUUUCAUUUCCUUAACUAGUGUUACAAAAUAAUAAUAAUAAAACAUCAAGUUUGUUUUACUAAUCAAAUGUUAGAUUUUGUUACAACAAUUAAUACAAUUAAUACAAUUAAUAAUUUGAUAAAUUUAGUAAUCAAAUGUUAGAUUUUAUUACAACAAUUAAUACAAUUAAUACAAUUAAUAUUUUGAUAAAUUUACUAAUCAAAUGUUAGAUUUUAUUACAACAAUUAAUACAAUUAACAAUUAAUAAUUUGAUAAUUUUACUAACAAUUAAUUUUAAUAACAAUUAGUUUUAAUUUUAUUAAAAAAAUAAUUUUAAUUUUAAUUUUAAUUAAAAACGGGCCGGGCCGGGCCGGGCUCGGGCCCCAUAUUUUUUCUUCGGGCCGGGCCUGGGCAAAAUCUCAGGCCCAUAUUUCGGGCCGGGCCCGGGCCUAGUAAACGGGCUGAAAUUUUUUGUGGGCCCAGCCCGAACCCAGCCCGGCCCGGCCCAUGGACAGGUCUAGUGGCUAAUAAUGUAACUUUUUUUUGGUACAAUGAUAAUUCGAAAUUUGGCUAUUCCUAAAAAAGGUGAACAUCCAAUCAUAUUUAUUCACAUAUUACAAACAUCCAUAUGUAACCAAUUCUCCCAAAUUAAAAUCAAAUUUUAAUAUCAACAACUUUAACAACUCAUAAAUAGGAAGAUAAUAUGUUUCGGUACACUUGAAACCACAUCCUUCUACAUUAACAACAAUUACUAUGACAAUGAAGCUAAGACUCAAUUCAUAAUACCAAUAUAUUUUUGUUAUACCUAAUAAAGUUAUUUACCAGUAUAUUAGACAGUCUUAUACCCUAGUUUCCCAUACUUUCCCCUUAUUAUCGUGAUGAUGAUGAUGAUGAUGUUACAAUUGAGCACCAAGAUCACUGUAAUACUUGUUUUAAUUGGUAUAAUAAUAAUAAUUUAUUCCUAUUUUUUUUAUAUAUUUUCUAUCAAUUUGACUCUGAUUUUGUAUAAAAUUAUUAAAAAAAACUCAAAAUUUUAAAAAUAAAAAAAUGUUUAUAAAAAUUCUAGAAAAAUAAAAUCUUGAAUAUGUUGUUGAAUAACUAAAUUGUACGAGAAAUAAAGCAAAUUACCAUUCAAUAAAAUAUGAUAACAAAUUAAAAACAGAACAAAACCAAAAAAAGCUUCCUCAAUGUUUCUCGAAACCAAAUUAGUAAUAUUAUCAAGUUGAGUUUCAUGCCCUUGAAGAACAUCUAGAACUCAUAUUACCAAGGCUUAUGAAAUUGAUCCUAAUGCCAUUUUUUUAGUCAAGAUAUAUAACAAAAUUUCCUUUUUCAAACUUAAUUCAAUUUUUCAUUGCAUUUAAAUUAUUUUUCAAAACUCAAAUUAUAAAAUUAAAUUAUAUUUAGAGAACAAAUUUAUAAUGUAAAAACUAUGUCAAGGAACAGAGAACAAAUAAUUUUACUUAAUGUUUUUUCUACGUUUUUUACUAAAGAAUUUGUAUUGGAUAUUUCGAUACAAAUAAUAUAGAGAAAUUUUGUAGUGCCCAAAAACAAUUCUCUCUCAUUUUCUCACUUUAUUUAUUUUUGAAAUUUUUAUCUACUUUUAUUUAAUUUUUUAUUUUAUAAUGUUCUAAAAUUUUAAAAAUAAUUUUAAUUUUUUACCAUUUUAUAUAUUUUCAAAUUCAAAUUGACUGAAAGUAUAAAAUUUGAGGAUUAAAAUUGUUAUUAUAUCAAUUAAAAAAGUGUCACUUAACAUUUGAGUGACAAAAAAAAAACAAUUUCAAAAACAUUAGUGAUGAAAUUGUAACCUUUUUAAUUAAGUGACCAAAAAAAAAAUACCCAUAGUUUAGUGACUAAUAGUGUAGNNNNNNNNNNNNNNNNNNNNNNNNNNNNNNNNNNNNNNNNNNNNNNNNNNNNNNNNNNNNNNNNNNNNNNNNNNNNNNNNNNNNNNNNNNNNNNNNNNNNAAAACUCAAAAUUAUUUAUAAAAUAGAAAAAUGUAUAUUAUUCAACAUAGGGAUUCUUUACCCAAAUCAUAUAAAAAUAAUUAAUUAUGAAAAUGGUAUGGAAAAUAAAUUAAUUACAAAAAUAAGGCAUUUGGUACAAUGUUCUGCUGGUGUCGCCUAACAUAUUGGUAGCACCAGAUUAAAAUGUGAUGAUCUAAAAUAUUCAAAGACUUGAUAUGUAAAUUUCUCAUUUUGAUUGACUGUUGAAAAUAAGCUAUAAGAGUGAUGUGUGAUAGUGUCGCGGCACAAAAUCUUAAAUAAGAUUAAUUUCCUUGUAAACCCUCAUUAUUUAUUAUUUUAUUGUUAUUCUCCUUCAACACCAAAAUCAGAAAGGUUUCUUACCAAUUAAUCUAGGUCAAAUUAUAUUGGCAUAAAAGUUAACACUAUUGAUAGUAAUUUUCUUUGGCUCAUAUUAUAUCUAAGAAACUAUAAAUUUAACUAAUAAUUAUAAUUUAUAUAUAGUAAAUAUUNNNNNNNNNNNNNNNNNNNNNNNNNNNNNNNNNNNNNNNNNNNNNNNNNNNNNNNNNNNNNNNNNNNNNNNNNNNNNNNNNNNNNNNNNNNNNNNNNNNNNNNNNNNNNNNNNNNNNNNNNNNNNNNNNNNNNNNNNNNNNNNNNNNNNNNNNNNNNNNNNNNNNNNNNNNNNNNNNNNNNNNNNNNNNNNNNNNNNNNNNNNNNNNNNNNNNNNNNNNNNNNNNNNNNNNNNNNNNNNNNNNNNNNNNNNNNNNNNNNNNNNNNNNNNNNNNNNNNNNNNNNNNNNNNNNNNNNNNNNNNNNNNNNNNNNNNNNNNNNNNNNNNNNNNNNNNNNNNNNNNNNNNNNNNNNNNNNNNNNNNNNNNNNNNNNNNNNNNNNNNNNNNNNNNNNNNNNNNNNNNNNNNNNNNNNNNNNNNNNNNNNNNNNNNNNNNNNNNNNNNNNNNNNNNNNNNNNNNNNNNNNNNNNNNNNNNNNNNNNNNNNNNNNNNNNNNNNNNNNNNNNNNNNNNNNNNNNNNNNNNNNNNNNNNNNNNNNNNNNNNNNNNNNNNNNNNNNNNNNNNNNNNNNNNNNNNNNNNNNNNNNNNNNNNNNNNNNNNNNNNNNNNNNNNNNNNNNNNNNNNNNNNNNNNNNNNNNNNNNNNNNNNNNNNNNNNNNNNNNNNNNNNNNNNNNNNUUUCAUCAUGUUUCUGUCUGCCACCCAUCCAUAGCUCCAUCUAAUAAACGCCAUUGCUUGAAACUUGCAUUCAUGUUUCCUUUUCAUGGUUACACAGACAUAUCAAUACUUCAUCCAAUACAUUCAAAGAUUUUCAUUAUCUGCUACUGUUAUAUAUGAUUGCAUUGCAGGGACAUAGCAAUGGAGUACGUAGAGCCUGUUGCUGCCAUUGCAAAUUGUCUCGGAAGUCCUGUUUGUAAAUAUUUGCAAUAUCACAGAAAGCUGAACGAUUAUGUGAGAAACUUCAAGAGGAUCAGAGAUAAAUUGAAUUGCAAAAUGGAAGAUAUAGAGCUGCAAUUGAAAGCAGAGCUUCUUCGUCCUCUGGGGAAGAUACCGAAGAAGGGAGUUGAAAAUUGGUUGAAAGAUGUGAAAGAGAUGAUUAGGGAAACACAAGUUGUUGAAAACAAAGUCAGUAAUGGGAGAUAUCUCUGUCGUGCUUGCAACGGGAAGCUGGUUGAUAAAAAGUCUCGACAAAUGCAGGAAUAUCUUGAUAAAACUCCUAAAGCCUCUGAAGGUCUUGCCGUGGAUGGUCCAAGUUCUGGGUUGCCACUGGAAACAUCAGAACUAGUUGGAGAGGAAGCUGUCAGAAAAGAGAUUUGGGCAUGUUUGAUGCAGGAGGAGGUAAGCAAGAUUGGGGUUUGGGGGAUGGGCGGCGUGGGUAAAUCGACCAUCAUGAAGCACAUCCACAAUGAUCUUUUGAAAGAACAACGAUUUGAAAGGGUGGUUUGGGUUACUAUAUCAAAGGAGUUUAAUAUUGUGAAGUUACAAAAUGAUAUUGCAAGUGCAUNNNNNNNNNNNNNNNNNNNNNNNNNNNNNNNNNNNNNNNNNNNNNNNNNNNNNNNNNNNNNNNNNNNNNNNNNNNNNNNNNNNNNNNNNNNNNNNNNNNNNNNNNNNNNNNNNNNNNNNNNNNNNNNNNNNNNNNNNNNNNNNNNNNNNNNNNNNNNNNNNNNNNNNNNNNNNNNNNNNNNNNNNNNNNNNNNNNNNNNNNNNNNNNNNNNNNNNNNNNNNNNNNNNNNNNNNNNNNNNNNNNNNNNNNNNNNNNNNNNNNNNNNNNNNNNNNNNNNNNNNNNNNNNNNNNNNNNNNNNNNNNNNNNNNNNNNNNNNNNNNNNNNNNNNNNNNNNNNNNNNNNNNNNNNNNNNNNNNNNNNNNNNNNNNNNNNNNNNNNNNNNNNNNNNNNNNNNNNNNNNNNNNNNNNNNNNNNNNNNNNNNNNNNNNNNNNNNNNNNNNNNNNNNNNNNNNNNNNNNNNNNNNNNNNNNNNNNNNNNNNNNNNNNNNNNNNNNNNNNNNNNNNNNNNNNNNNNNNNNNNNNNNNNNNNNNNNNNNNNNNNNNNNNNNNNNNNNNNNNNNNNNNNNNNNNNNNNNNNNNNNNNNNNNNNNNNNNNNNNNNNNNNNNNNNNNNNNNNNNNNNNNNNNNNNNNNNNNNNNNNNNNNNNNNNNNNNNNNNNNNNNNNNNNNNNNNNNNNNNNNNNNNNNNNNNNNNNNNNNNNNNNNNNNNNNNNNNNNNNNNNNNNNNNNNNNNNNNNNNNNNNNNNNNNNNNNNNNNNNNNNNNNNNNNNNNNNNNNNNNNNNNNNNNNNNNNNNNNNNNNNNNNNNNNNNNNNNNNNNNNNNNNNNNNNNNNNNNNNNNNNNNNNNNNNNNNNNNNNNNNNNNNNNNNNNNNNNNNNNNNNNNNNNNNNNNNNNNNNNNNNNNNNNNNNNACCAUAAUUUCAUCAUGUUUCUGUCUGCCACCCAUCCAUAGCUCCAUCUAAUAAACGCCAUUGCUUGAAACUUGCAUUCAUGUUUCCUUUUCAUGCUUACACUCACAUAUCAAUACUUCAUCCAAUACAUUCACAAAUUUUCAUUGAUUUUAUUUGUUUUUUUUUUGUUUUUUUUAUUUUUAUUUUACUUUUUUUCCAUUUAUUAUCUUUUGAAUUAUAUUUUUAUUUUUAUGAUUAUUUCUAGUUGAGUUGUAACAUUUUAACCUUCUUCACUAUUUGUGUUUAUUUUCUUAUUAGUUUGGUCAAAACCAUGCAUUCCAUUUUCAAUUGCCUACAAUUCCGAUUUUCACUAUUAUGGUAAUUUCAUACAUAUUUAGGAUAGUUUCAAUUUUCUCCCUCUCUUAUGAUAUUUUAUCUUUUUAAUUAACCCUUAGUAAAUCCCAUUGAGCCUAACACACCAUUACUUGAUUUACCUAUUAAUGUUAACUUAUAACUCAUUUUUUCGUUGAGACUUUUUUCCGUUUUAUUCACUCCCUUUUUGUCGAGAUUUGAUUUGGUUAGUUUCUUAGCUAUGCUCUUUUGGUUGAUUUACUAAAUUAUUUCUUAUUGUUCUUGUAAAAAAAAGAUUGAAAAGAAAAAAAUAUAUUUAUUAUUAAUUAGUUUUAUUUGUUGAUUGAGAAUAAUUAAAUUCAUAUUUUGAGAAUAAGUUGGUUUUUGUUCAUGAAUAGUUUAAAUUACAUUGGUAAAAAACAAAACUUGCUUGUACAAGUGUCCAAGCUGUUAAAUCAGCUUAAUGACAACCUAAAUGACUACUAAAAACAGCUAAGUACAUCAUUAAACCUUAGCUGAACAAAAAAUGAAUACAAACAACUUGUAAAAGAGAGAGUCAACUAAUACAAAAGCUUUUCAAUCGAGUUACACCUUGGACAUUAGCAUGCAGCUACUGUAAUGUUUGGUUACUUGCAUGCUGCAGUUGUGUUGCUUGGUUUCUUGCAUGCUGCUGCUGUGUUGCCACCUUUUAACAGUAAUGAACUGUUGCACACUUGAAUUUAGCAUUUUAUAUACACCGAGAGCCUAAUUCUGGUGACCAGAAUUUCAUGAUCAUGUUUCUGUCUGCCACCCAUCCAUAGCUCCAUCUAAUAAACGCCAUUGCUUGAAACUUGCAUUCAUGUUUCCUUUUCAUGGUUACACAGACAUAUCAAUACUUCAUCCAAUACAUUCAAAGAUUUUCAUUAUCUGCUACUGUUAUAUAUGAUUGCAUUGCAGGGACAUAGCAAUGGAGUACGUAGAGCCUGUUGCUGCCAUUGCAAAUUGUCUCGGAAGUCCUGUUUGUAAAUAUUUGCAAUAUCACAGAAAGCUGAACGAUUAUGUGAGAAACUUCAAGAGGAUCAGAGAUAAAUUGAAUUGCAAAAUGGAAGAUAUAGAGCUGCAAUUGAAAGCAGAGCUUCUUCGUCCUCUGGGGAAGAUACCGAAGAAGGGAGUUGAAAAUUGGUUGAAAGAUNNNNNNNNNNNNNNNNNNNNNNNNNNNNNNNNNNNNNNNNNNNNNNNNNNNNNNNNNNNNNNNNNNNNNNNNNNNNNNNNNNNNNNNNNNNNNNNNNNNNUCCUAAUGCCAUUUUUUUAGUCAAGAUAUAUAACAAAAUUUCCUUUUUCAAACUUAAUUCAAUUUUUCAUUGCAUUUAAAUUAUUUUUCAAAACUCAAAUUAUAAAAUUAAAUUAUAUUUAGAGAACAAAUUUAUAAUGUAAAAACUAUGUCAAGGAACAGAGAACAAAUAAUUUUACUUAAUGUUUUUUCUACGUUUUUUACUAAAGAAUUUGUAUUGGAUAUUUCGAUACAAAUAAUAUAGAGAAAUUUUGUAGUGCCCAAAAACAAUUCUCUCUCAUUUUCUCACUUUAUUUAUUUUUGAAAUUUUUAUCUACUUUUAUUUAAUUUUUUAUUUUAUAAUGUUCUAAAAUUUUAAAAAUAAUUUUAAUUUUUUACCAUUUUAUAUAUUUUCAAAUUCAAAUUGACUGAAAGUAUAAAAUUUGAGGAUUAAAAUUGUUAUUAUAUCAAUUAAAAAAGUGUCACUUAACAUUUGAGUGACAAAAAAAAAACAAUUUCAAAAACAUUAGUGAUGAAAUUGUAACCUUUUUAAUUAAGUGACCAAAAAAAAAAUACCCAUAGUUUAGUGACUAAUAGUGUAGCCUUUUUUUGGUAAAAUGAAAAUUUGACCCUGAUUUUGUAUUAAAAAAACUCAAAAUUAUUUAUAAAAUAGAAAAAUGUAUAUUAUUCAACAUAGGGAUUCUUUACCCAAAUCAUAUAAAAAUAAUUAAUUAUGAAAAUGGUAUGGAAAAUAAAUUAAUUACAAAAAUAAGGCAUUUGGUACAAUGUUCUGCUGGUGUCGCCUAACAUAUUGGUAGCACCAGAUUAAAAUGUGAUGAUCUAAAAUAUUCAAAGACUUGAUAUGUAAAUUUCUCAUUUUGAUUGACUGUUGAAAAUAAGCUAUAAGAGUGAUGUGUGAUAGUGUCGCGGCACAAAAUCUUAAAUAAGAUUAAUUUCCUUGUAAACCCUCAUUAUUUAUUAUUUUAUUGUUAUUCUCCUUCAACACCAAAAUCAGAAAGGUUUCUUACCAAUUAAUCUAGGUCAAAUUAUAUUGGCAUAAAAGUUAACACUAUUGAUAGUAAUUUUCUUUGGCUCAUAUUAUAUCUAAGAAACUAUAAAUUUAACUAAUAAUUAUAAUUUAUAUAUAGUAAAUAUUUUUUAAAGUUUUUAUAAUUAUAAUUUUAUAUGGUGCCCUUAAAUUAAAUUGAUAAUAAGAAUAUGUGUAAUGGCAAAUAGCAAAGAAAAAAGCUAAAAGAAAAAGUAAUAAAAAUAGGAUUUCAUCCUAAUAAUUCUGCCUUUGUACGGAUCCUACCAGAGGCUUCAUAAUUUGCCUGUUUUUGUUGGAUCUUUCAGCAAGCAAAAAAAAGCAAAACCAAAAUGGAAGCAAAAGAAAACUAAAAAUGAAAAAAACUUCAAAAAAUUGUAACUGAAAAGUCAUUAUAAUUUCAUUCAAAUUUUGAAUAUAUGAGGGUUACAAACAAUUUGACAGUUACCUACUGAUUUUAACUGCUCCUACUUAAUACUUACUAAAAAUAUAGCAACUUGUAUACAAAAGAAAGUUGGCAUACCAGCUAUUACAUCAAUCAAUCUUUCCUACUAACUUAGCUAACACAUUACAAAGAUUUGGACUAAGUUCUGUAAGAACAAAAUAUUCAAAACAUAACUCUAUAACAGAACCAACUCAAUUUCUUUACUUCAAAACAGUAUGGCAGCUCAAUUGUCCAAUUUGCUACUACUGGUCUUUGAUCAGUUUGCUGCUGUUGGUUCUCUGUUGCACUGCAGGCCACGGUUUCAACACUCCUCCUUGGACUGUAUGCAACAGACACCAAUCUUUUCUUUCAAGGCAUUAAAUCGGUUAGCUCCCAAUGGUUUAGUUAAAAUGUCAGCUAACUGAAUCUCUGAACUACAAUGAACUAAGCUAACCUCCCUCAAUUGCUCAACUUCUCUAACAAAAUGGAAUUUGAUUUUGAAGUGUUUAGUCUUACCAUGGAAGACUGGAUUCUUGGCUAUGGCCACAGCUGAUUGAUUAUCCACACUAAUCUCAGUAGGCUGAGUUUGAUUUUCAUUCAAAUCAUCCAAAAUCUUCCUAAGCCAAAUGGCUUGAUUUACUGCUGCUGCAGCUGAGAUAUACUCAGCCUCUGCUGUAGACUGUGCAACAGUUUGUUGCUUCUUUGAACUCCAGUUGAAAACACUCGAGCCUAAAGUAAAGAAGUAACCUGAAGUGCUCCUCAUGUCAUCAACUGACCCUGCCCAAUCGCUAUCAGAAUAGCCUGCAAGUUUCAGCUCCUUUGUCCUCCAAAACUUUACACCAGCAUCGAUGGUUCCUUUGACAUACCUUAACACUCUUUUUGCUGCCUUCAGAUGUGCCACAUUACUGCAGUGCAUAAAUCUUGAAAGUAGACUAACAACAUAGACAAUGUCUGGUCUAGUUGCUGUUAAAUAAAGCAAGCAGCCAAUUAAGCUUCUAUAUGCUUUCUCAUCUACUCGAUCAUGCUCACUUGUACUUGACAAUUUUUCCCCCAAUGCAAUUGGUGUAGUGACUGAUUUGUAUAUAAAAUUUGACCCUGAUUUUGUAUUAAAAAAACCCAAAAUUAUUUAUAAAAUAGAAAAAUGUAUAUUAUUCAACAUAGGGAUUCUUUACCCAAAUCAUAUAAAAAAUAAUUAAUUAUGAAAAUGGUAUGGAAAAUAAAUUAAUUACAAAAAAAGGCAUUUGGUACAAUGUUCUGCUAGUGUCGCCUAACAUAUUGGUAGCACCAGAUUAAAAUGUGAUGACCUAAAAUAUUCAAAGACUUGAUAUGUAAAUUUCUCAUUUUGAUUGGCUGUUGAAAUUAAGCUAUAAGAGUGAUGUGUGAUAGUGCAGCGGCACAAAAUCUUAAAUAGGAUUAAUUUCUUUGUAAACCCUCAUUAUUUAUUAUUUUAUUGUUAUUCUCCUUCAACACCAAAAUCAAAAAGGUUUCUUACCAAUUAAUCUAGGUCAAAUUAUGUCUGGCAUAAAAGUUAACACUAUUGAUAGUAAUUUUCUUUGGCUCAUAUUAUAUCUAAGAAACUAUAAAUUUAACUAAUAAUUAUAAUUUAUAUAUAGUAAAUAUUUUUUAAAGUUUUUCUAAUUAUAAUUUUAUAUGGUGCCCUUAAAUUAAAUUGAUAAUAAGAAUAUGUGUAAUGGCAGACAGCAAAGAAAAAAGCUAAAAGAAAAAGUAAUAAAAAUAGGAUUUCAUGCUAAUAAUUCUGCCUUUGUACGGAUCCUACCAGAGACUUCAUAAUUUGCCUGUUUUUAUCUUCACUUUCUUCUUAUUUCUUCUUCNNNNNNNNNNNNNNNNNNNNNNNNNNNNNNNNNNNNNNNNNNNNNNNNNNNNNNNNNNNNNNNNNNNNNNNNNNNNNNNNNNNNNNNNNNNNNNNNNNNNNNNNNNNNNNNNNNNNNNNNNNNNNNNNNNNNNNNNNNNNNNNNNNNNNNNNNNNNNNNNNNNNNNNNNNNNNNNNNNNNNNNNNNNNNNNNNNNNNNNNNNNNNNNNNNNNNNNNNNNNNNNNNNNNNNNNNNNNNNNNNNNNNNNNNNNNNNNNNNNNNNNNNNNNNNNNNNNNNNNNNNNNNNNNNNNNNNNNNNNNNNNNNNNNNNNNNNNNNNNNNNNNNNNNNNNNNNNNNNNNNNNNNNNNNNNNNNNNNNNNNNNNNNNNNNNNNNNNNNNNNNNNNNNNNNNNNNNNNNNNNNNNNNNNNNNNNNNNNNNNNNNNNNNNNNNNNNNNNNNNNNNNNNNNNNNNNNNNNNNNNNNNNNNNNNNNNNNNNNNNNNNNNNNNNNNNNNNNNNNNNNNNNNNNNNNNNNNNNNNNNNNNNNNNNNNNNNNNNNNNNNNNNNNNNNNNNNNNNNNNNNNNNNNNNNNNNNNNNNNNNNNNNNNNNNNNNNNNNNNNNNNNNNNNNNNNNNNNNNNNNNNNNNNNNNNNNNNNNNNNNNNNNNNNNNNNNNNNNNNNNNNNNNNNNNNNNNNNNNNNNNNNNNNNNNNNNNNNNNNNNNNNNNNNNNNNNNNNNNNNNNNNNNNNNNNNNNNNNNNNNNNNNNNNNNNNNNNNNNNNNNNNNNNNNNNNNNNNNNNNNNNNNNNNNNNNNNNNNNNNNNNNNNNNNNNNNNNNNNNNNNNNNNNNNNNNNNNNNNNNNNNNNNNNNNNNNNNNNNNNNNNNNNNNNNNNNNNNNNNNNNNNNNNNNNNNNNNNNNNNNNNNNNNNNNNNNNNNNNNNNNNNNNNNNNNNNNNNNNNNNNNNNNNNNNNNNNNNNNNNNNNNNNNNNNNNNNNNNNNNNNNNNNNNNNNNNNNNNNNNNNNNNNNNNNNNNNNNNNNNNNNNNNNNNNNNNNNNNNNNNNNNNNNNNNNNNNNNNNNNNNNNNNNNNNNNNNNNNNNNNNNNNNNNNNNNNNNNNNNNNNNNNNNNNNNNNNNNNNNNNNNNNNNNNNNNNNNNNNNNNNNNNNNNNNNNNNNNNNNNNNNNNNNNNNNNNNNNNNNNNNNNNNNNNNNNNNNNNNNNNNNNNNNNNNNNNNNNNNNNNNNNNNNNNNNNNNNNNNNNNNNNNNNNNNNNNNNNNNNNNNNNNNNNNNNNNNNNNNNNNNNNNNNNNNNNNNNNNNNNNNNNNNNNNNNNNNNNNNNNNNNNNNNNNNNNNNNNNNNNNNNNNNNNNNNNNNNNNNNNNNNNNNNNNNNNNNNNNNNNNNNNNNNNNNNNNNNNNNNNNNNNNNNNNNNNNNNNNNNNNNNNNNNNNNNNNNNNNNNNNNNNNNNNNNNNNNNNNNNNNNNNNNNNNNNNNNNNNNNNNNNNNNNNNNNNNNNNNNNNNNNNNNNNNNNNNNNNNNNNNNNNNNNNNNNNNNNNNNNNNNNNNNNNNNNNNNNNNNNNNNNNNNNNNNNNNNNNNNNNNNNNNNNNNNNNNNNNNNNNNNNNNNNNNNNNNNNNNNNNNNNNNNNNNNNNNNNNNNNNNNNNNNNNNNNNNNNNNNNNNNNNNNNNNNNNNNNNNNNNNNNNNNNNNNNNNNNNNNNNNNNNNNNNNNNNNNNNNNNNNNNNNNNNNNNNNNNNNNNNNNNNNNNNNNNNNNNNNNNNNNNNNNNNNNNNNNNNNNNNNNNNNNNNNNNNNNNNNNNNNNNNNNNNNNNNNNNNNNNNNNNNNNNNNNNNNNNNNNNNNNNNNNNNNNNNNNNNNNNNNNNNNNNNNNNNNNNNNNNNNNNNNNNNNNNNNNNNNNNNNNNNNNNNNNNNNNNNNNNNNNNNNNNNNNNNNNNNNNNNNNNNNNNNNNNNNNNNNNNNNNNNNNNNNNNNNNNNNNNNNNNNNNNNNNNNNNNNNNNNNNNNNNNNNNNNNNNNNNNNNNNNNNNNNNNNNNNNNNNNNNNNNNNNNNNNNNNNNNNNNNNNNNNNNNNNNNNNNNNNNNNNNNNNNNNNNNNNNNNNNNNNNNNNNNNNNNNNNNNNNNNNNNNNNNNNNNNNNNNNNNNNNNNNNNNNNNNNNNNNNNNNNNNNNNNNNNNNNNNNNNNNNNNNNNNNNNNNNNNNNNNNNNNNNNNNNNNNNNNNNNNNNNNNNNNNNNNNNNNNNNNNNNNNNNNNNNNNNNNNNNNNNNNNNNNNNNNNNNNNNNNNNNNNNNNNNNNNNNNNNNNNNNNNNNNNNNNNNNNNNNNNNNNNNNNNNNNNNNNNNNNNNNNNNNNNNNNNNNNNNNNNNNNNNNNACAACAUUGUUGUUUUGUGGCUGUCGAGGAUUAAGAGAUCUGCCAAGUCUUUCGAUGCUUCAAGAAUUGAAGAAGUUGGAUCUAAGUCGGACUAAAAUUGAGGAAGUCCCUGAAGGAAUGGAUAUGCUGAUAAUGCUAAGAUAUCUUGAUCUUAGAGUGCGCACUCUGAAAGAGAUACCCGCUGGACUUAUAUCAAAACUCGUUCACCUUCAGCACUUGAGUUUUGAUGUGGACAGUGAAAAAACAAGUCUAAAAGCAGAGGAGAUGGAACCAUUGAAGAAGUUGGAGUACUUUACCGGACGUUUCGAAGACAUCAGUGAAUUCAAUAAGUUCAUCUCCUCAAUGCAACAAAGUAAAAAAAAUCUCAUCAACUACCAUUUACAGGUGGGCUCAGAUGAUGCGGGUGGUGCAAGAGAUAAAAGAGAUAAAAGAGUAACAAUUGCAGGAGUCCAGAAUUGGGAAGGUGAGUUAAUUAUGCACCCAAUUGAAAUUCAAGAGUUGUAUAUUUUAAAGUGCGACUAUUUGAGAAGCUUAGUCAAUGACAAUUCUUCCUUCAAAAAUGCGAUUGACUUGAGGGAUUGUAGGAUUCGGGGGUGUGAAGGGAUAGAGUGUGUUGUUUCCCUGUCCUUUUCUGCCUCUUCUUCCGCUCAUCCAUUUCAGAGCCUCCAGGUGUUGGAUCUUCAAUUUCUGCCAAAGUUGAGUGCCCUUAUUAUGAAAGAUGAAGGAAUUGGUUCAGCAACAACAUCAACAUUGGUUCCGUCUGCCACCUUUUCCCAUCUUAAGGAAAUUACGAUAUACAGCUGCUCAAGUAUGAAGACGUUGCUUCCACAUUGGUUGCUUCCAAACCUCCAAAACUUGGAAAAAAUACGCGUGGAGUAUUGUAGUCAGCUAGUAGAAAUAUUGGGAGCAGCAACAUCAGAAGUUGAAGAAAAAGGGAGUGAUGCAUUAAUCAAAUUCCAUCUUCCCAAAUUGAGGUAGUUGUUAUUCUGGGAUUUACCAAACUUGAAGAGCAUAUGCAGCAAAAGUGGAGUGAUGGUUUGUGAUUCUCUCCAACUUAUCCAAGUUGUUGGAGAUUGUGAUAAACUGAAGAGAAUUCCACCAUUUGUUCCCCUUGUUGGCAAUGGGCAGCCAUUUGCAUAUGCUCCACCUUCUCUUACCAUCUGGUCAUUGAAAAAAUGGUGGAAAUCGUUGGAGUGGGAUGACCAUCCAAACUUUAAAAAUGUUCUUCAACCCCUUUGGGAGCUUUUAAGGUAUGAACCAUUUAUAGUUUAGUUUAUUUUAUAAAGCUAAUUUCUCCAUUUUAAAACCAUUUCAUGUUAUAUUUUAUUUUUGUUUGAAGAUGAUGUGGCCUCCAUUGGUGCGAAAGAAGUAGAAGAGAGUAGCAGGGCGGAUGAUGGUGCAAAAGAGAGGAUAAAAAAGGUGGGAAUAAAAGGAAUGAUGGAGCAUUGAGGAAUUGAGCAGCCACCAUAAUAAUCGACUCCUUUUCCAUUUUAAUAACAAAUAAUUUUAUUGUAUUUUUAUAUAAAACAAUUAAAUUAUAGACUUAUUUUAAUAUGGCGUAGAAUCAAAUAUUAUUAUGGUCUAUUAUUUAAAAAAUCUUUAUAUGUUCUUAAAUGGAGAUGUUAUUUUUAAAAUUAUUUGUCUUUAAAAUUAUUAAACUUAUUAUUCUUCUAUCAAUCAUUUAUGCAUUUUUUUUUACUAACGAUUCUAAUAAAAGUUUUAACAUUCAAAAGCAUAUAAGUUGAAAUAAAUUUUUUUUCAAAUUUAAAAUAUGCAACUUAAAAAAGUACUCCAUUAUUUUCAUAAAAUAAUAUCAAAUUAUGACUACCUUUAAAGUAUAAUUUAUUGGAUAAACUACACCGUAGGUCAUUCUAAACUAGUAUUAUUUCUAUUUUGGUCACUCUAUAAUUGCUCAAAUUAGUCACUGACAUGACUUUUUUUUUUACUUUUGACUAAAGCCAGGGACUUUGCUAUAAUUAGCCCAAAACAUUUGUUUUUGUUUAUUUGCAACAUAAGAACCACAUAUCCUUGUCACCACUCAUCCCUUGCUUUCCAUCUCUAUUGCUCCUCACUGCACCAUAAAAACCACGUUUCAUCACUGUAUAGCCCAAAUUUCGCCCGGGCCCAAUAACAGUCCAGAUUACAAAAAACAAAAUAGCAGGCCCAAACCCGGAGCCCAAAACAAGGCCCAACUGGCCCAACCCGCUCAAAGCUAAGCUAGGGUUUCAGAAGAGAAACCCUAGCGCCGCACCUAAGGUCUUUAGACCUUUAGUCUUCCGGCGCCGCCUUCACCAGCACUGUCACGCCACCACCUCACGUCCCAUCGCCACUUGCCUGCAACACCAGAGAAGGAAAUGACAAGAAAAAAUAAUAAUAAUAGAAUACAAGUUGUAAAUGGCUAUAAAGCUAUAACAGAAAUCAAAAAAAGGGGGGACCGAACUUCAUUCUUGUAACGGGGGGGUUUCUUUUUUUGUUAACGUUUUCAGAAAUAAAAAGCAAAAAAAAAAGAGUUUAAAGGUGAUUGUCGGUUCCCUUUUAUUUUCGUUUUCUUCUCAGAUAUUUUAAUUUUUUUUGUUUAUUUAUUUAUAUAAACAUAUAAUAUAAAGAGAAAAGUGCAAAAAAAAAUACCUUUCUUGAAUUUUCUGGCCAACGUGUACGGUGGCAGGCGCGGCGGCGUCAACGGCGACCCUCCAUGCCGGAUUCUGGGCUGAGGGAGGGAGAGAGAAACUUGAGAGGUUUUUUUUCAGUUUUUUUUAGAAGGAGAAGAAGAAAAUGAAGAUUUUAAAAAAAUUUUGGGUUUAAAUCACCCUCACAAAACGACGCCGUUUUGGCCCUGACCCGCGUGGUGACCCGACCCAGGGGGAGGAUCCGCGCAUUUUCUUCAAAGGGAUUAUUUUCGCAAAUAGUCCCUUUGAUUUUGUAGCACUUUCAUGGAAGUUUUUCGCUUAUUUGCAAUUUGGCCAUAAAGUUUUAUUUUGGAUUCAUUUUAGUCCUCAUCUAAGCGCAGCGUUUUGNNNNNNNNNNNNNNNNNNNNNNNNNNNNNNNNNNNNNNNNNNNNNNNNNNNNNNNNNNNNNNNNNNNNNNNNNNNNNNNNNNNNNNNNNNNNNNNNNNNNNNNNNNNNNNNNNNNNNNNNNNNNNNNNNNNNNNNNNNNNNNNNNNNNNNNNNNNNNNNNNNNNNNNNNNNNNNNNNNNNNNNNNNNNNNNNNNNNNNNNNNNNNNNNNNNNNNNNNNNNNNNNNNNNNNNNNNNNNNCAUGAAAUUUUUAAAUAUAUUUGUUUUAAUAUAUUAUUAUUAUACAAUUGUUUUUAUAUACAUAUACGUAUAUAUAUAUAUUUAACUUAUUUAAUAUACCUACUCAAUUUUAUAUGCAUAUAUAUAUGUUUUUAUAUAUAUUAAAAUACGUAUGUUGUUUAUAUAUAUUAUGUCAUUUCAUUUUCCACAUAUGUAUAUAUCUUUUCAUCUAUAUGCAUAUAUUCCUAUAUUUUGCAAUAUUUAUGUAUACCUUUCUUAUAAUAUAUAUGUACAUAUUUUAAUUUAUGUCCAUAUACAUAUAUAUACACAUAUAUAUUUCUUUGUUUUUUUAUUGUAUUUACUCUUUAUUUAUUUCAUUUUCAUUAUUUAUUUUGAAUGAAUGAUUUAAUUUUAUUCGUUUUUAUGUUUUACUUGUUUGGAUGUUGUAGGUUCGAUCUUAUUUUAUAUUGUUGCUAUAAUACUUUUGCGUGCAUUAUAAUUUUACCAUGCAUAACAACAAUGUAAUUUGCUUUCGCAUUUCCGUUACGAUUUUCGUGUUUUAUUAUACUUUAUUUAACAAAAUUUGUUUUGAAUAAAUAAUAUUUCGUGUAUAGAUUCGAGAGGAUCGUACCCUAACUUACUGGGUUUCGAUUUUCACGAUAAAUCUAAAUGCACGAAUCUUUUUAAAUUCGAAUUUUAAAUGAUCUCGGGAUUAAAAAUCGCGUCCUAACUUACUGGUCGUGAUUUCGUUUUUUAAAUCCGAGAUGGAUAAAAUAUUUUUAAAAUAAGCAUUUUUUAUUCGCGUAUCGGGAACUCGAGACAUUGUGUCCUAACUCACUGGAUAUGAUUCUCUUUCUCGAACAACGUAAAAUAUGCUUCUUUUCUAUUUUUCUAUUAUUUUAAUACAAGGAUCGUAUUUUUAAAAUUCUUCAAAGUUCUCAAUUUUCGACAUUAAGACAUUAAGUAAUCAACUAGGUACCAAUUUUGGGCAUAUUGAGGGUGCUAAUCCUUCCUCGUGCGUAAUCGAUUCUCGAACCCGUUUUUUUGGAUUUCGUGGACCAAAAUCGUUGUUUUAAUAAAAAAAAUAAAAUUGUUUAUUAAAAACAACCAGUUUUCAAGGUGAUCCAAUCAUACCUCAUCAAAAAGGAUUAGUGGCGACUCCCGUUUUAUUCGUUUUCGUCAAAACCCAAGUCGACCCCGUUUUUCAUCCAAAAAAUGGUGUCAACAAUCACAAUGGUGUACAAAGAGUGUUGGUUGUGUUUUGACUAUCGUACAAAUUAGUGUAGAAAUACAACCGGACAAACUUCCGAGCGGAUACUAUUGGGAAACUGUAGGUGAAGCUGGAGCGAAAAACACAAGCCGUCAUGUAAGGACCUACAGCUAUCGUUGGAUCUUGCAUGGCGACUGGGGAUAUGACAGAUUUUUCCAACAUGGAACUUGGAUCCAAUAUCUGGAGUCCAUUUUCACUUGAUCACUUGAUCAAGUGAUUUUUUAUUUUUGGGGCUCUCCGGACUGUUGGUUUUUAUUUUGGUUUUGGAUGCGGUUUUUUAUUCUUUCAUUGCAUUGUAUUAGUCAUUCAACCAUGAGUAAGUUUUCAUUUUGAUCAUUUAACUAAAAAAAGUUACAAUUUAGUCACUAAUAUUUUGGAAAUUGUUUUUUUAUCACUUAAGGGGUACUUGUUUUAAUUGGAAUAAUAAUAAUUUUAGUCCUCUUUUUUUUAUAGUUUCUAUCAAUUUGACUCUGAUUUUGUAUAAAAUUAUUAAAAAAAACUCAAUAUUUUAAAAAUAGAAAAAUGUUUAUAAAAAUUCUAGAAAAAUAAAAUCUUGAAUAUGUUGUUGAAUAACUAAAUUGUAUGAGAAAUAAACCAAAUUACCAUUCAAUAAAAUCCGAUAACAAAUUAAAAACAGAACAAAACCAAAAAAAAGCUUCCUCAAUGUUUUUCGAAACCAAAUUAGUAAUAUUAUUAUCAAGUUAAGUUUCAUGCCCUUGAAGAACACCUAGAACUCAUAUUACCAAGGCUUAUGAAUGACCCUAAUGCCCUUUUUUUAGUCAAAAGAAUACAAAAUAUACAACAAAAUUUCUUUUUUCAAACUUAAUUCAAUUUUUCAUUACAUUUAAAUUAUUUUUCAAAACUCAAAUUAUAAAAAUUAAUUAUAUUAAAAAAAUUUAUAACGUAAAAGCUAUGUCAAGAAACAGAGAACAAAUAAUUUUGCUUAAUGUUUUUUUCUAUGUUUUUUUACUAAAGAAUGGAUAUUGGAUAUUUCGAUACAGAUAAUAUAGAGAAAUUUUGUACGGCUUAAAAAUAAUUAUCUCUCAUUUUCUCUCACUUUAUUUAUUUUUAAAAUUUUUAUCUACUUUUAUUUUUGAAGCUUUAAAAAUAAGUCAUUUACCAUCCAUAAAACUACAAAAGUGAAGUUCAUAUAAGACAAACGAAAGCACGAUUCAUCAAUAUACCAAGUAAAAAAAGUUAAGUCAAGAGUUAGAUUCAGUUCAAUGAUACCAUCCACAGUAUGACACUUAAAGGUAUCCAUCCACAGUAAAGGCACCCUUCUACCCAGAGGUGAAACUAGGAAACUUUUUUAGGGGACGAAAUUAAAUUGUAAUUUAAAAAAAAUAUAAUUUUACCAUUUUAAUAGCCUAUAUCUUUAUAAUUUUUAAAAUAUUAAAUCAAAUUUUUAUAUUUUUAAGGCGGCAAAGUGCAAUUUUACCUUUAUUCAUUUAAAAUGUUAAAAAUUUUAAAAGAGACUAAAUGAAAAUUUUUCUAUUUUAAGAGGCCGGCACCUGCCACCACCCAGGUUCGCCCUUGCUUUCACCAAGGGUUUAUUUUCAUUCCACUAAAGGUUCAUUGAUCGAGCGGUGGCUUGCCUUAUUACAUUAGCAUAAUCCUGAAUAGUUUCUAUCGCCUUUAAGGUGAACUUAAUUUCAAACGAUUGCUUUAUCUUCAAGGUUAACAUAAUUUUAAAUACUCAUAAACGAUUGCAAUGCCUACAAUACCAGCAAAAUUUUAAAUAUUUGUGAAUUACAACAAUUUUUGUAAAAAAAAAAAAUACAAGCAAAUUUUCCUAAAUCUAAUUGACCUGUUCAAGACACAAAGAUUCGAACAUGUAAGAUCUGAUAUUACAUCAGAUUUUCGAAAAACAAAGACUGGCUUAAACUAAAAGAAAAAAAACUCUAGAUAAUGAUUUUUUUUAAAAUUAAGAUGAGAGGAAGGAAUUAUCGACAACUUAACAACACAAGUCAUUUACUUACUAGAACACUAUAAUUAGUUAAUUAAAAAUUUAGCUAUAGCUAGUUGGCUGUUAGGAUUUGUUAAAUUAGUGCCAUUGUACAUCUUUUAAAUUAAUGUUAUCUUACAUCUAUUAAAUCUUUAACUUUUUCCACUUUCAUCUUACUCUAAUUUCAACAUUUCAUUACCACUCUCCAUUAUUUAUACCUCCUCUUGCAAGGGCAGCUGCAGGUUUCAGAGAUGCCAUAAAUAAGGAUUUCAUAGCUCAAGAACUUGACAAUGACAGGGAAGAUGACUAAGAAGAAGAAGGGGUUGCUAUGGGAAGAUAGGGUUCACUGAUGGGUUGUCACAGUCUUCUUCUCAAGUAAAGAAAUCCAAGCUCAGUUUGUCGGAUGCAUUUAACCGCAAUCAAAAGGGAGUCAUUGCAGACAUAAUCAGCUUAUGGUACCAAUCUUAAGAACCAAAACAUCAACUUACUAUACUAUGAUGAAGGAUUUUAUAACAACGUCAGAGGGAAUCUAAGGGAUAACAUCUGAAGGAAAUUCAGAUUGUUAAACACAAAAUUUGAAAUUCAUGGCAGAUUAGGUAUCUGAUCAGCUGAACCGCUAAAGCGAUUGAAAGCUUGGUAGAUUAUUAUGUUCCGAUGCUACAAAUUCAACUUUGGUUUCCUUACUUCAUUAGACAGUUUCAUUAUAGUUUGCCUAUGUGUAGAAAGCUUAGGAUACGACACAAAAUAUGCAUAACAUUCUAUCCAACAUUAGAACGGUACAAAAAAAAGUUAGUUAUUAUGAUGGAAAUGUCAUCCUUGUUCCUCUUAACAGCUUCCUUAGUUAGGUGCUUUGCUGCAGAUCGAGCAUCCUUAAUGCCUUUGAUAGCAUCGACAGCUUCUUGGUAACGGACCAUUAAAUCUCAGGUUCAACAUGUAGGUUCAAUAAAAGAAAAAUGUGAUUAGAUAGGGCUUACCUUCCAUAAACCAUCACUAGCCAAUAUUUUAAGGUCGGUAUCAUCGUCGGUUGUUUCAAUGCUCACAUCUGGCUCCGAAGUAAGAUGUUUCUUUAAACUCUUGUCACCAAAUGAUCUUGCCACCGCCAGCUGACCAUCAACACGCGCGACAUCCCCUGAAACAAAAACAAUAUCAGGAAAAGAUGGUGUAACCUUGAGCGUCAUCCCCAAAAGAUCAGGCACCCAUUACCUGGAAUCCAAUAUAUAUUUUUUUGGACCCAUAUCAUGGUUUCAAACAGGUCAUUAGAAAAUUUUGUAAAACCUUAAAAAGAAUAACCAGUACCACACUAAGGUAUCUCUUGUUCUUAAAAAGAAUAAACAGUUCAUUGAAUAACUAAAUUGUAUGAGAAAUAAAGCAAAUUACCAUUCAAUAAAAUCCGAGAACAAAUUAAAAACAGAAUAAAACCAAAAAAAGCUUCCUCAUUGUUUCUCGAAAUCAAAUUAGUAAUAUUAUCAAGUUGAGUUUCAUGCCCUUGAAGAACAUCUAGAACUUAUAUUACCAAGGCUUAUGAAAUUGAUCCUAAUGCCAUUUUUUUAGUCAAAAGAAUACAAGAUAUAUAACAAAAUUUCCUUUUUCAAACUUAAUUCAAGUUUUCAUUACAUUUAAAUUAUUUUUCAAAACUCAAAUUAUUAAAAUAAAUUAUAUUUAGAAACAAAAUUUUAUAACGUAAAAGCUAUGUCAAGAAACAUAGAACAAAUAAUUUUGCUUAAUGUUUUUCUACGUUUUUUAACUAAAGAACGUGUAUUGGAUAUUUCGAUACAGAUAAUAUAAAGAAAUUUUGUACGGCUUAAAAACAAUUAUCUCUCAUUUUCUCUCACUUUAUUUAUUUUUGAAUAUUUUAUCUACUUUUAUUUAAUUUUUUAUUUUAUAAUGUUCUAAAAUUUUUUUUAAAAAUUAAUUUUUACCACUUUAUAUAUUAUCAAGAUCAAAUUGACUGAAAGUAUAAAAUUUGAGGAUUAAAAUUGUUAUUAUAUCAAUUAAAAAAGUGUCACUUAACAUUUGAGUGACAAAAAAAAUAAUUUCAAAAACAUUAGUGAUGAAAUUGUAACUCUUUUAAUUAAGUGACCAAAACAAAAAUACCCAUAGUUUAGUGACUAAUAGUGUAGCCUUUUUUUGGUAAAAUGAAAAUUUGACCCUAAUUUUAUAUAAAAAAAACUCAAAAUUAUUUAUAAAAUAGAAAAAUGCAUAUUAUUCAACAUAGGGUUUUUUAUCCAAAUCAUACAAAAAUAAUAAUUAAUGACGAAAAUGAUAUGGAAAAUAAAUUAAUUACAAAAACAAGUCAUUUGUUACGAUGUUCUGCUGGUGUUGUCUGACAUAUUGGCAACACCAGACUAAAAUGUGAUGACCAAAAAUAUUCAAAGACUUGAUAUGUAAAUUUCUCAUUUUGAUUAUCUGUUGAAAAUAAGCUCUAAGGGUGUUGUGUGACAGUGUGACGGCACAAAAUCUUAAAUAGUUUUAAUACUUGCAAAAUCAAUACUUCAUCCAAUACAUUCACAAAUUUUCAUUGGUUUUAUUUGUUUUGUUUUAGCUUCUUCUUUUUUUAAUUGUUUUAUUUUUAUUUUACUUUUUUUCCAUUUAUUAUCUUUUGAAUUAUAAUUUUAUUUGUAUGGUUGUUUCUAAAGUUGUAACCUUUUAAUCUUCUUCACUAUUUGUGUUUAGUUUCUUGUUAGUUUGCUCAAAACUAUGCACUACACCUUCAAUUGCCUACAAUUCCAGUUUUGCAAUUAUAUAUAUAUUGAGGUAGUUUCAAUUUUCUCCCUCUCUUAUGAUAUUCUACUUAGUUUGUGUUUAUAUCUGGUUGUACAUUGAGCACAAUGUACAUUUUAAGUGUGGGGAGGUUAUUUAUAUAAUUAUUAGAAAAUUCUUGAAUUAUUUGUGGUACUUAAGUAAUUUUCUCAUGCUUCCAUUAGAAUGAAUUUUUAUCGAUUUGAGAUUUUUAUUGAUAUUGUUUUGGAUUAAUUUGUAGAUACUUGUGUAUUGGUUGAUUUAAACUUUAAGACAUAAGAGAAUCAAGCACGAUAAGUUAUUUUUUAAAAAACAAAUUUCAGUUGUUUCCCUAAAUUUAAUAUUAUUUUGAAGUUUGAGAUUUGCAAGUUUGACGUCAAAAACUAUGAUUUUUUUUUUUUUGAGAUUUUGAGAUUUUCAGCCACUAAGUCAGGUAAUAAGACUGAAGCUAUGAUUUCCUCUGCUGAUUAUCAACAGUUUUAGAUUUCAAGACUGGAUGAUCAGCAGACAUAAUCUACUUUAGAUAGAAAUUAAUACCAAAAGAGCUACCCAGAAGCAAUAUAAUGUUGAAAUCCCAAACUGUUGAACAUUUUACCUCUUUAAUGUUAAAACUCAUUGCUAAUACAACUCAUUGACUUGUAUAUUUAAUUUCAAGUUGUAUAUUCAAUACUGACAACUUCAACGAUGCAAAUGAUUUAGUAAUGGGGUGCGAAUAACUAUACCUAAUGCAACUCCUUUACUUGUAUAUUUAAUUUCAGGUUGUAACUUAUAAUUAUGCAUUUUUAUACCCUGCCAACUAUUAUUAUUAAAUAUUAUUUAUUGCCAUCUUCAAUGAUUUUGUUUUGAUGUCCAACGUCUAUCACAACAUUUCAAGCAUCCUGUCAAGGUAAUUUUCUUUCAUUUGCUUAAUCCAUCACAUGCUUUUCUUUGCUUGAUUCAUGACUUUGCAAUGAUUGUUUCUGAUUAUCUGCUACUCUUAGCCGCUAGCUUUGUAAGACAGUCAACUUCACUGCUUCAUUUUCAGUUCUAUUCUCUCGACACUUUUCAGCCACUAAGUCUGGUAAUAAGAUCUGAAGCUAUGAUUUCCUCUACUGAUUAUCAACAGUUUUAGAUUUCAAGACAAGAUGAUCAGCAGACAUAUUCUACUCUAGAUUGAAAUUAAUACAGAAAGAGCUACCCAGAAGCAAUAUAAUGUUGAAAUCUCAAACGGUUAACAUUUUAGCUCUUAAUAUUCUGUAAUGAACUGUUGCACACUUGAAUCUAGCAUUUUAUAUACAUCGAGAGCUUAAUUCUGGUGACCAGAAUUUCAUCAUGUUUCUGUCUGCCACCCAUCCAUAGCUCCAUCUAAUAAACGCCAUUGCUUGAAACUUGCAUUCAUGUUUUCCUUUUCAUGCUUACACUGACAUAUCAAUACCUCAUAAAUUAUUCAAUUCAUUCACAGAUUUUCAUUCUCUGCUACUGUUAUAUAUGAUUGCAUUGCAAGGACAUAGCAAUGGAGUACGUAGAGCCUGUUGUCGGCAUUGCAAAUUGUCUCGGAACUCCUGUUUGUAAAUAUUUGCAAUAUUACAGAAAGCUGAACGAUUAUGUUAGAAACUUCAAGAGGAUCAGAGAUGAAUUGAAUUGCAAAAUGGAAGAUAUAGAGCUGCAAUUGAAAGCAGAGCUUCUUCGUCCUCUGGGGAAGAUACCGAAGAAGGGAGUUGGAAAUUGGUUGAAAGAUGCGAAAGAGAUGAUUAGGGAAGCACAAGUUGUUGAAAACAAAGUCAGUAAUGGGAGAUAUCUCUGUCGUGCUUGCAACGGGAAACUGGUUGAUGAAAAGUCUCGAGAAAUGCAGGAAUAUCUUGAUAAAGCUUCUAAAGCCUCUGAAGGUCUUGCCAUGGAUGGUCCAAGUGCUGGGUUGCCACUGGAAACAUCAGAACUAGUUGGAGAGGAAGCUGUCAGAAAAGAGAUUUGGGCAUGUUUGAUGCAGGAGGAGGUAAGCAAGAUUGGGGUUUGGGGGAUGGGUGGCGUGGGUAAAUCGACCAUCAUGAAGCACAUCCACAAUGAUCUUUUGAAAGAACAACGAUUUGAAAGGGUGGUUUGGGUUACUAUAUCAAAGGAGUUCAAUAUUGUGAAGUUACAAAAUGAUAUUGCAAGUGCAUUGAAUGGAAAGAUGCCCGAAGAAGCAAACAAGGUCAGACGAGCAGCAAUCUUGUCCGAAAUGCUGAAGAGAGCAGGAAAACAUGUUCUAAUCCUAGAUGAUGUGUGGAGUGAAGUCUCGUUGGAAGAAAUUGGGAUCCCUAAGCCAAGUAGCAGCAAUGGGUACAAGUUGGUGUUGACAACCCGUGUGGAGCAAGUUUGUAAGUCUAUUGGCUGUAAGGUAAUAAAAGUGAAGCCCCUUUCAGAAGAAGAGGCAUUGAUACUAUUCUUGAGUGAAGUUGGACCUAACAUAGUGCAAAAUCAAACUUUAAUGCCAACUUUGAAGCUUGUUGUCAAGGAAUGUGCAGGUCUGCCUCUUACAAUUGUCGUCAUAGCUGGUACAUUGAGAGGAGAAGAUGACCCUCUUAUUUGGAAAAACACACUCAGGGAAUUGAAAGAGCCAAUAGGGAAAGUGAAAGAAGGGGAAGAUAAAGUGAUCGAGAGUUUGAAAGUUAGCUUCAAUCACUUAAAAGACGAGAAAAUGAAGCAUUGUUUCUUACAUUGCGCAUUAUAUCUUGAAGAUUUUCAAAUUUGGAAGGAUGGGCUAAUUGAGUGCUGGAUUGAGGAGGGAUUCAUAGAUGAUAUGCGUACAAGACAAGAAAUGAAAGAUAAGGGACAUGUUAUUUUGAAGAAAUUAGAAGAUAAUUGCUUGUUGGAAAAUGUCUCGUGUGAAAAAGUGAAAAUGCAUGAUGCAGUGAGAGACAUGGCAUUGUCGAUCACAAGAAUGAAUCCUCGAUAUAUGAUACAAGCAGGUUCGCAAUUAGAAGAGUUACCAGAAAAGGAGCAAUGGAGUCCGAAUAUUGAGAAAGUGUCACUUAUGUAUAACUCCAUAUCAGAAAUUUCCAUAGAUGUGCUGCCCACAAAAUGUCAACUGCUCACAACCUUGUUAUUGCAGCAUAACCCUAUAAAGAAGAUCCCAUGUUCUUUCUUCAUAAACAUGCCCUGUCUUUGUGUCCUAAAUUUGUCCUAUACGGAGAUCAAGAGUUUACCAAAUUCCAUCUCUGAACUAAAGAACCUCACAACAUUGUUGCUUUGUGAUUGUGAAGAAUUAAGAGAUCUACCAUGUCUUUCGAUGCUUCAAGAGUUGAAGAAGUUGGAUCUAAGUUGGACUAAAAUUGAGGAAGUCCCUGAAGGAAUGGAUAUGCUGAUAAAGCUAAGAUAUCUUGAUCUUAGAGUGCCCACUCUGAAAGAGAUACCCGCUGGACUUUUACCAAAACUCGUUCACCUUCAGCGCUUGAGUUUUGAUGUGGACAAUGAAAAAACAAGUCUAAAAGCAGAGGAGAUGGAACCAUUGAAGAAGUUGGAGUGCUUUACCGGCCGUUUUGAAGACAUCAAUGAAUUCAAUAAGUUCAUCUCCUCAAUGCAACAAAGUAAGAAAAAUCUCAUCAAGUACCAUUUACAGGUGGGCUCAUCUUUUAUGCUUGCUACAAGAGAUAAAACAGUAACAGUUGGAGGAGUCAAGAAUUGGGAAGGUGAGUUAAUUAUGCACCCAAUUGAAAUUCAACAGUUGAAUAUUUUAAGUUGCGACUAUUUGAGAAACAUAGUCGAUGAUAAUUCUUCCUUCAAAAAUGAGAUUGACUUGAGGGUUUGUAGGAUUUGGUGGUGUGAAGGGAUAGAGUGUGUUGUUUCCCUGUCCUCUUUUGCCUCUUCUUCCGCUCAUCCAUUUCAGAGCCUCGAGGUGUUAGAUCUUGGUGAUCUGCCAAAGUUGAGUGCCCUUAUUAUGAAAGAUGCAGGAAUUGGUUUAGCAACAACAUCAACAUCGGCUCCGUCUGCCACCUUUUCCCAUCUUAAGGAAAUUAGGAUAUACAAAUGCUUAAGUAUGAAGACGUUGCUUCCACAUUGGUUGCUUCCAAACCUCCAAAACCUGGAAGAAAUACAUGUGGGUGCUUGUAGUCAGCUAGUAGAAAUAUUGGGAGCAGCAACAUCAGAAGUUGAAGAAAAAGGGAGUGAUGCAUUAAUCAAAUUCCAUCUUCCCAAAUUGAGAGAACUGGAAUUGUGGGUAUUACCAAAUUUGAAGAGCAUAUGCAGCAAAAGUGGAGUGAUGGUUUGUGAUUCUCUCGAGUUAAUCGUUGUUGUUGAGUGUGAUAAACUGAAGAGAAUUCCUCCAUUUAUUCCCCUUGUUGGCAAUGGGCAGCCAUUUGCAUGUGCUCCACCUUCUCUUACCAUCAGGUCAAGCACAGAAUGGUGGGAAUCAUUGGAGUGGGAUGACCAUCCAAACUUUAAAAAUGUUCUUCGCUUCAACCCCCUGUGGAGGAUAAAAGGUAUGAACCAUUUAUGGUUUUGUUUAUUUUUUUAUUUUGAUAAAUCUAAUUUCUCCAUAUUAAUAAAAUUUGGUGUAUAACUGUGAUGAUGUUGAAGAGAAAGAUAAAAGGGUUGGUGGCAAAGAAGUAGGGGGGAGGAUAGUGCAAAAGAGAGGAGAAAAGGAAUGUUGGAAGGAAGAGGUUAAGAGGCAAAGGUAAAUAAGAAAUCAAACUGCCUCUACUUUUUAAAUAUUUUCCCUCUCUUAUCAUUCCUUCUAUUCUCUUAUUCUUCUCUAAUAUAUAUAUAUAUACUUGCCAAAAUAACCUUCUAAAUAUUUAUUAUUAAAAUAUUUAUAGUAAUCAAAAUGAUUUAAGGUGAGACAAAACCUACUUCUCUGGAGUUGCAGUGAAGCGGAUUAAAGGUCUAAUGCCUAACGUUACAGUGGAGUAGACUUAAACCACAAAUCUCACCCCCCUGAAGUUGCUGUGAAGAAGAUUAAAGCUACAAGUCAGAUCUUUCUGAAGUGCAGUGGAGUGGAUUGAAGCAACAAGACAUAGUGAAUUGGAAUGAAGCUACUUGAGGAAGAGAAGCACCAGAACAAGUCAAGAAUCGGCGAGGCCGGGCAAAAUAGGCCUUUCUUAGUCUUUGCUCUGUUGUCGUUACACGACAACGAGCAAAGAGGGGCAGCUGUACAGGCCCAUUUUAGACCCAACUAGACUAACCCAAAUAAAAGACCCAAUACCCAAUUAUAACCAACAGGCCCAACACCAAUUUACAAAACCCUAGCCCAAAUCAGAAAACAAUAAAAAGGGUAACCCUAACCCUAGGUGCGCCGCACCUAGGGUCGGCCACUUGCUCUGCCCAGCGCCGCAGCUCUGUCACGGCCACUUGCUCUGCCAUCGCCGCACGUCCCACGUCACCCACUUGCGCCAUCAAAUCAUCUGCAAGAAGAAGACAAACACGCAAACAGAAAACAGAAAGAAGAAAAUCGAAAAUAAAUCAUGAAAAUUUCGGUUAUAAAAACUGAGAUCUAAAAAAAAACGGGGGCUUUUUCUUCUUUUAUUUUGACCUUUUGUAUUUUUUCCCAAAAAAAUUAAAAAAAAAAAGCAAAAAGUCGAUCAAAGGUGAUUUUUUUUUCGCAUCUCUCUUUUUCAUAUUCGUCUUCUUUUUUACAUACAUACACACACAUAAAUAUAUUAAAGGCAGUUUAUAUUUGCGAAAAAAAUAAAUUUUUACCUUUUUCGAGUUUUCUGGCCACCGCGUGCAGUGGUCGGCGUGGCACCGGUACGGAGAGCCGAUGGUCGACGCGGCGGGGACCUUAGAACCCCAAAGGGCUGAAUGCUACAGAGAAAAAGAAGAAAAUUUUUGGUUUUUUUAAAAAAAACAAGGGCUGAAAUGAAUUUUUUCAGAAAAGUUGGGUUUAAAUACCCAGAUUGAAACGGCGUCGUUUAAGGCAGGGGGAUCCGCGCGUCAAACCGACCCGACCCAGAGGAUCCGCGUGUUUUCAUUUUUUGGGAUAUUUACGCGCGCAGUCCCCGUGACUUUACAACGUGUUGCAUUUUGGCCCUUGUUUCGUUAUUUUCUGUUAUUUUAAUUUGGCCACAAAGUUUUAUUUUUGUUUCAAUUUAGUCCACUGUUGCGUUGCGUUUUGGGGGCUUCGGUUUAUUUGCAGUUUCGGUCCCCCCUCUUUCGCGCGCGUCACAUUUUGGUCCUUCCUUUUACUUUGUUUUUGAUUUUGCCCCAAAUCUUUGUUUUGGAAUUUAAAUUAGUCCCUUUUUUGUUAUUUUGUUAAUUAACUUAGUUAUUAUAAUAUUUUUAUAUCUCAGUAUUAUAUUAUUAUAUUAUGUUAUUAGUUUUGUAUUAUUAUUGUUAUUGUAUUUCUAUUCUAUUUAUUUAUCUAAGUUUAAAUAUCCAUGUUUUAAUUCAUAUACAUAUAUAUGUACAUAUACAUACUUAUAUAUUUUAUGUAUAUAUUAUAAUUUGUUUACAUAUCCACAUAUAUUUAUAUAUAUAUUUUUAUAUUUCAUGAUAGUUAUAUAUGUAUAUAUAUGUACAUGUUUACUUAUAUAUAUAUAUAUAUAUAUUAUAUAAUAAUUUUAGAAUACAUAUAUAUUUUUCAUAUUUUUAUAAAUUUAUGUACAUACACAAUUUUUUAUAACGUAUAUACUUAUAUUAUAUAUAUUUUUAUUUUAUUUUAUAAUCUAUAUACCUAUAUAUGUAAAUAUUUAUGCUUUUAUUUUUUUAAAUCCAUAUACACAUCUUUUAUUUAUUUUCUUCAUUUAUUUGUAUGUCCAUUAUUAUUAUUUAUUAUGCUUUAGAAUUUUUAUUUGUUUAUUGCUCGUUAUUGUACAUAUGUGAUUGAUUUUAUUUAUAUACAUGUGACUUCUUAUUUAUUUAUCUUUUGUUUUUGCUUGUAUUAUUUUUACUUACAUCAUUAUCAUUAUUAUUCCGUUACACCCAUUUUUAUUUAGAUUUCAAGAAAGAAAUUUUAAAAAUAUAAGUAAUAUUCGGUAUUUGGGAUCUUCGAGAGAAUCGAGCCCUAACGUAUUGGGUUCCACUUUUCUUCGUUGAAUCUAAAUAAUCGAGAUUACUUCUUUAAAAAUGAUAAAAGCUCAUUAUUGGGAAUUUAAUGCGUUGUGUCCUAACGUAUUGGAUAUGACACGUUAUUUUCUUGAGAUGAGGAUUUUUAUUAAAAUAACAAAGGCAAUAUUCAAUGUUUGGAAUUUGGAGAAAUUGUGCCCUAACGUAUUGAGUUGCGAUUUCCUCAUCUGACUUGAACAAUUGAAUAUCCUUUUUAAAUUUUAUCGUAUGAGUUUUUUUUAAGACAAACAUUUUUGGGAAGGUAAAAUAUCGUGCCCUAACGUAUUGGGUGUGAUGUUUUCUCUUUCUGAAAUGAGAGGGUCUUAACAAGUGACUUGUUCUAUAUAAGUUCUUUUUAUUUUAAUACAAGGAUCGUAUUUUUAAAAUUCUUUAAAAUUUUCAAUUUUCGACAUUAAGAUAUUAAGUAAUCAACUAGGUACCAAUUUUGGGCGUAUCGAGUGUGCUAAUCCUUCCUCGUGCGUAACCGACUCCCGAACCCAUUUUCUGAAUUUUGUGGACCAAACUUGUUGUUUUAAUAAAAUCAAACCGUUUAUUAAAAACAACCAGUUUUCAAGGUGAUCCAAUCACACCUCAUCAAAAAGGAUUGGUGGCGACUCCCGUUUUAUUCGUUUUCGUCAAAACCCAAGUCGACCCCGUUUUCCAUCCAAAAAAUAGUGUCAACACUGAGUAUGACUUAUAAUAUCUGAAUGUAUGUACUAUUAAUUGCAUAAUUGCAUGACAUAUUUUGUAUGUUGCAUUGCAUCCGGGUGGGUUAAUGAUAUUUGGAUGAAGUGUCUGAAAGGCUAUUAAGCCUGUUAUCUGGCAGCUUGGCUACAACCUUCUGAUUAUAUGCUGCAUUUCGGUACAGCAUGGUGUGCAAGGAUGGGUGGGUUGAUUUAAUCUCCACAUGGUGUGUAGGGUUGGACGGAGAUGGUGUGUAGAGGCUAGUGGGUAGGAUUCUGAUUUACUGUAUCUGCGUUUUGUAUCUUAUAUGAGCCAAGGCCCUAAUGUAUUUCCGAGACUGUAUCUGAACGGGCUAAGGUCCAAACUGAUUCUGUUGAUUAUCUAUAUGCAUGUUUUCUGUGAGGAUUACACACUGAGUUUGCGAAAACUCACCCUUUCUCUAUUUAAUCUGUACGGGUCGGUGCAACGGAGGACUCCACGGUGGCCACACGUAAAUUUCGGACUGUUUUCCGUUAAUGCCUAGAAUUUAUUACUUAUUUGGGGUUUUUGAUGUAUCUUCUGAACUAUGGAUUGGUUGGCUUUAAAUUUGGGAUUUUAUACUAUUUUUUUAUGGUUUUUUUUUAAACUACAACUCCACAAAACAUUGUUUUUUUUCUAAAAACUAAGAAUUUUCGUAAAUAGAAAUGAUUUUCCCUAAAUUAAUUGGUUACAAAAGUUUCCGCUAAGAGACAAAUUUUAAAGCAAAUCAACAAGUUUUUUUUCCGAAUUAAAUAAAAGCUAACUUACUGUAACGGUUUUUAAACUCGACAAUGACAUCGCCAGAUUCGGCCAUAACGUCUAGGCCGAGUUUGGGGUGUUACAAAAUUAAUCAUACUUCAUUGGAUUAUGAGAGUGAAUUUUAAUGAAAGAUAAUAUGUGAAGAAAGGAGAGAACUAAAAGGGAAAUUGCACCAAAAUAUAAAAAUAGAAAAACAAUGGCAGAUUGCUUCAAAUGCAAUAGACGCAAGAAUGUGCUAAAUUGUCUUUUUAAAUUCAAAGUGUGUAUUCAUGCCACAAUUAAAAACCUUUAUAUACCUAUCUCAGAGAACCAAUUUCACAUGAUUUUACUCCUAGAAUCAUGCUUAACAAGCAACCACUAAAUCAAAAUUUUCUAAAUAUAGAAUUUGUCAAAGUAAAAAAUCUAAUAAUUUUUAUCAGCCCAAAAAUAAUUUUGCAACUGUCAAUUCAACCCGCCAACUGGUUUUUUGUUCCAAUUUAGCUCGAUCUGUUUGUUUUUGAACUUCGACACUCCAAUUGUGUUCAUGAUAAAAUUCAGGCAAUAAAUCAUAAGUUUAGUAGAAUUCUAUUAAAAAGUUUACCAAAAUUGGGUAUAUUAAAUAUAUAAAAUUAACUUGCUAUCAGAUUUGGAACUAAUUAAUAAUAACAUAUGAAAUAUGUAUUAUAUAAAAAUAAAAAUUAGAAUAAAUUGUGAGCAAAACGAAAUCUAAACAAAAAAACACAUCAGAUUAAAAAUACUAAAUGAAUACAUUUAUUUAUCAUUGUUUUGUCUUCAAUCCUGAGUUGGUGUUGUGUUUAUUUGUGACACUAACUCAAUAACAUUUUUUAAUAAAUAAAAAAUUAGAAUAUAUAUAUACUUAUUAAAGUUUAAAGUGAAAAGUAAAAAGUAAAAAUUGGUUUAGUUCAAAAGUUAAUGAAAAAUAUUUAUAUGCAUGGUGUCCUUGGUUCAAAUCUUGUAAUGGAUAAAUUUUUAUUGAUUUAUAAAUAUAUGAAAAGACGAAAACACCCUAAUAAUCAUAUAUCUUACUUUGCAAAUAAAAUCUUGAAUAUAUUGUUGAAUAGCUAAAUUGUAUGAGAAAUAAAAGCAAUUAUCAUUCAACAGAAUCCACUAUCAAUUUAAAAACAAAACAAAUCCAAAUUAGUAAUAUUAUCAAGUUGAGUUUCAUGUCUUUGAAGCACAUCUAGAACUGAUAUGAUAUAAGCUUAUGAAAUUGAACUUGAUGCCAUUUUUUAGUAUCAAGAAUACAAAAUAUACCACCAAAUUUUCUUUUUCAAACUCAAUUCAAAAUUUUAUUACAUUUAAAUUAUUUUUCAAAAAUCAAAUUAUAAAAAUAAAUUAUAUUUGCAAUUUUAUCCUUUCUAUAUUUCUUUUGAAGAAUGGAUAUUAGAUAUUUCGAUAUAGAUAAUAAAGAGAAAUUUUAGAGGUUUAAAAAUAAUUAUCCCUCAUUUUUUUAAUUUUUGAAAUGUUUAUUUACUGUUAUUUAAUUUUUAAUUUUAUAAUAUUCUGAAAUUUUAAAACAAUUUCAAAUUUGGGUACAAUGAUAAUUUGAAUUUCGGCUAUUUCUAAAAACAAUGAGCACCCCGUCAAUAAACGACAAUUUGGAUUUAAAAGUAGUGUAACUUAUAAAGGAAUUUAUAUGUACUUGAAUAGAUUGAUUCACAUUAUUCACGUCUUACAAACAUCAUAUGUAAGAACAACUAUAUUUUUUUGCAGGAUGCCGACUAGUAUAUUUAAUUUCAAGUUGUAACAUGUAAUUAGGCAUUCUCAUACCAUACUUUCCCAUUAAUAUGAUGCUGCUGCUGCUGAUGUUGUUAUUACAAUUGAGCACCAAGAUGACUGCAAAACUUGUUAGUAAUGUCCAGAAUGAAGGGAAAGGACAUGGCAGAUUAGUGAAUUAUUACAGAUUUAAAGAAGAAUCAAAUUGUAAAUCAGCUGAUAGAUACAACUACUGAGAAUCAAAUACCCAAAAUGCCAACUAUAAUGGCAGAAGCAAAGGAAAAGUAAAAAAAAGAUGGGAUUCCUUACUUAAUACUUCUGCCUUUCUACCCACAACAUUCUUUCUUCUUUCACAAAAUUUCAACCUACUUUUCUUUCAUUUGCUUCUUUCAUUACAUGCUUUUCUUUGCUUAAUAGUUCUGCCUUUCUACCCACAACAUUCUUUCUUCUUCACUGUUUUUAUUUUGUUUUCAUCUCCAAGGUCUAUCACCAAAUUUCAAGCAUCCCGUCAAAGGUAAUUUUCUUUCAUUUGCUUCAUUCAUGACAUGCUUUUCUUUGCUUCAUUCAUGACUAUGCAAUGAUUGUUUUUUGUUAUCUGCUAGCUUUGUAAGAUAGUCAAGGAAGUCAACUUCACUGCUUCAUUUUCAGUUCUAAUCUCUCGACACAUUUCAGCCAUUAAGUCAGGUAAUAAGGCAAUGAUUUCCUCUACUGAUUAUCAACAGUUUUAGAUUUUAAGACAGGAUAGGAUGACCGGCAAACAUAAUCUAGCAUACAUAGGAAUCUCAAACUUUUGAACAUUUUAGCUCUUAAUAUUCCGUAAUGAACUGUUGCACACUUGAAUCUAGCAUUUUAUAUACAUUGAGAGGUUAACUCUGGUGACCAGAUGUAAGCAAUUCUCCCGAAUUAAAAUCAAAUUUUAAAAUCAACAACUUCAACAACUCAUAAAUAGGAAGAUAAUAUGUUUCGGUACACUUGAAACCACAUCCUUCUACAUUGACAACAAUUACUAUGACAAUGAAGCUAAGACUCAAUUCACAAUACUUAUAUAUUUUUGUUAUACCUAAUUAAAGUCAUUUACCAGUAUAUUAGACAUUCUUAUACCCUAGUUUCCCAUACUUUCCCAUUAUUAUCGUGAUGAUGAUGAUGAUGUUAUAAUUGAGCACCAAGAUCACUGUAAUACUUGUUUUAAUUGGUAUAAAAAUAAUUUUAGUCCUCUUUUCUUUUAUAUUUUCUAUCAAUUUGACUCUAAUUUUACAUAAAAUUAUUAAAAAAACUCAUAAUUUUAAAAAUAAAAAAAUGUUUAUAAAAAUUCUAGAAAAAUAAAAUCUUGAAUAUUUUGUUGAAUAACUAAAUUGUACGAGAAAUAAAGCAAAUUAUCAUUCAAUAAAAUCUGAUAACAAAUUAAAAACAGAACAAAACCAAAAAAAAGCUUCCUCUCAAUGUUUCUCGAAACCAAAUUAGUAAUAUUAUCAAGUUGAGUUUCAUGCCCUUGAAGAACAUCUAGAACUCAUAUUACCAAGGCUUAUGAAAUUGACCCUAAUGUCAUUUUUUUAGUCAAGAUAUAUAACAAAAUUUCCUUUUUCAAACUUAAUUCAAUUUUUCAUUACAUUUAAAUUAUUUUUCAAAACUCAAAUUAUAAAAAUAAAUUAUAUUUAGAAAAAAAUUUAUAACAUAAAAGCUAUGUCAAGGAACAAAGAACAAAUAAUUUUACUUAAAUUUUUUUCUACGUUUUUUACUAUAGAAUGUGUAUUGGAUACUUCGAUACAAAUAAUAUAGAGAAAUUUUGUAGGGCCCAAAAACAAUUAUCUCUCAUUUUCUCACUUUAUUUAUUUUUAAAGUUUUUAUCUACUUUUUUUUAAUUUUUUAUUUUAUAAUGUUCUAAAAUUUUAAAAAUAAUUUUAAUUUUUUACCAUUUUAUAUAUUUUCAAGAUCAAAUUGACUAAAAGUAUAAAAUUUGAGGAUUAAAAUUGUUAUUUUAUCAAUUAACGAAGUGUCACUUAACAUUUGAGUGACAAAAAAAACAAUUUUAAAAACAUUAGUGAUGAAAUUGUAACUUUUUAAUUAAGUGACCAAAAAAAAAAUACCCAUAGUUUAGUGACUAAUAGUGUAGCCUUUUUUUGGUAAAAUGAAAAUUUGACCCGAUCUUGUAUAAAAGAAAACUCAAAAUUAUUUAUAAAAUAGAAAAAUGUAUAUUAUUCAACAUAGGGAUUUUUUUACCCAAAUCAUAUAAAAAACAAUUAGUUAUGAAAAUGGUAUGGAAAAUAAAUUAAUUACAAAAAUAAGGCAUUUGGUACAAUGUUCUGCUGGUGUUGCCUGACAUAUUGGUAGCACUAGAUUAAAAUGUGAUGACCUAAAAUAUUCAAUGACUUGAUGUAACGCCCAAAAAUUUUAAUUUUGGGUAUUGUGAUUGUGUAACAUAAAUAUUUGUCAGCUUUAAUGGUUAUGUGUUCUAAAAGUGUUUGAGAGGUCCUAAGUUUAAGUCAAGAUUUGGGCAAAUUUUAAUAUGUAAAUUUCAAAAAUAUUCAAAGACUUGAUAUGUAAAUCUCUCAUUUUGAUUGGCUCUUGAAAAUAAGCUCUAAAGAUGUUGUGUGACAGUGUGGUGGCACAAAAUCUUAAAUACGGUUAAUUUCUUUGUAAACUACCAUUGUUUAUUAUUUUGUUUUUAUCCCCCUUCGACACCAAAAUUACAAAGGUUUCAUCCAAUUCAAAUUAUGUCUAGCAUAACCGUUAACAUUGUUGAUUGUAAUUUUCUUUGGCUCAUAUAUAUAUAUAUAUAUAUAUAUAUAAUAAAAUUUUUCUAAAAUUUUUAUAAUUAUAAUUUUAUACGAUACUGUAAAUUAAAUUGAUAAUAAGAAUAAUUAUAAUGCUAUCUAUAACGGCAGACAGCAAAGAAAAAGUAAUAAAAAUAGGAUUCCUUACUAAUAAUUCUGCCUCUGUGGAUCCUAGCAGAGACUUCAUAAUCUCCCUGUUUUUAUCUUCACUUUCUUCUUACUUCUUCACUGCUUUUAAUUUGUUUCGAUGUCCAAGGUCUAUCACAAAUUUUCAAGCAUCCAGCCAAGGUAAUUUUCUUUCAUUUGCUUAAUUCAUCACAUGCUUUUCUUUGCUUUUGAUUAUCUGCUACUGUUAUAGCAGCUAGCUUUGUAAGAUUGUCAAGGAACUCAACUUCACUGCUUCCUUCUCAGUUCUAAUCUCUCAACACUUUCUAGCCACUAAGUCAGGUAAUAAGAUCUGAAGCAAUGAUUUCCUCUACUGAUUAUCAACAGUUUUAGAUUUUAAGAGUGGAUGACCAGCAGACAUAAUCUACUAUAGCUAGAAAUUAAUACAAAAAGAACUACCCAGAAGCAAUAUAAUGUUGAAAUCUCAAACUGUCAACAUUUUAACUCUUAAUAUUCUGUAAUGAACUCUUGCACACUUGAAUCUAGCAUUUUAUAUACAUCGAGAGCUUGAUUCUGGUGACCAGAAUUUCAUCAUGUUUCUGUCUGCCACCCAUCCAUAGCUUCAUCUAAUAGACGCCAUUUCUUGAAACUUGCAUUCAUGUUUUCCUUUUCAUGCUUACACUGACAUAUCAAUACUUCAUAAAAUAUCCAAUUCAUUCACAGAUUUUCAUUCUCUGCUACUGUUAUAUAUGAUUGCAUUGCAGGGACAUAGCAAUGGAGUACGUAGAGCCUGUUGUCGGCAUUGCAAAUUGUCUCGGAAAUCCUGUUUGUAAAUAUUUGCAAUAUCACAGAAAGCUGAACGAUUAUGUGAGAAACUUCAAGAGGAUCAGAGAUGAUUUGAAUUGCAAAAUGGAAGAUAUAAAGCUGCAAUUGAAAGCAGAGCUUCUUAGUCCUCUGGGGAAGAUACCAAAGCAGGGAGUUGAAAAUUGGUUGAAAGCUGUGAAAGAGAUGAUUAGGGAAGCACAAGUUGUUGAAAACAAAGUCAGUAACGGGAGAUAUCUCUGUCGUGCUUGCAACGGGAAGCUGGUUGAUGAAAAGACUCGAGAAAUGAAGGAAUUUCUUAAUAACGCUCCUAAUGCCUCUGAAGGUCUUGCCAUGGAUGGUCCAAGUGCUGGGUUGCCACUGCCAACAUCAGAACUAGUUGGAGAAGAAGCUGUCAGAAAUGAGAUUUGGGCAUGUUUGAUGCAGGAGGAGGUGAGCAAGAUUGGGGUUUGGGGGAUGGGCGGUGUGGGUAAAACCACUAUCAUAAAGCACAUCCACAAUGAUCUUUUGAAAGAACAAAGAUUCGAAAGGGUAAUCUGGGUUACCAUAUCAAAGGAGUUCAAUGUCAUGAAGGUACAAGAUGAUAUUGCAGAUGCUUUGAAGUUGAAGGAAGGUUGGCCCAGAGGAGACAAGCUCAGACGAGCAGCAAUCUUGUCAGAAAUGCUGAAGAACGCAGGAAAGCAUGUUCUAAUCCUAGAUGAUAUGUGGGAUAAAGUCUCUCUAGAGGAAGUUGGGAUCCCCGAGCCAAGUGGUAGCAAUGGCUGCAAGUUGGUGUUGACAACCCGUUCGGAGCAUGUCUGUAAGUAUAUGGGUUGUAAGGUGAUAAAAGUGAAGCCACUUUCAGAAGAAGAGGCAUUGAUACUAUUCUUGAAUAAAGUUGGACCUAACAUAGUUCAAAGUCCAACUAUAAUGCCUACUUUGAAGCUUGUUGUCAACGAAUGUGCGGGUCUACCUCUUACAAUUGUCGUGGUAGCUGGUACCAUGAAAGGAGAAGAUAACCCUCGUAUUUGGAAAAAUGCACUCAAAGAAUUGAAAGAGAGAAUAGGGAAAGUGGAAGGAGUGGAAGCUGAGGUAAUCGAGCGCUUGAAAUUUAGCUUCGAUCACUUAAAGGACGAGAAAGUGAAAUAUUGUUUCUUACAUUGCGCAUUAUAUCCCGAAGAUUUUGGAAUUGAAAAGGAUGAACUAAUUGAGUGCUGGAUUGAAGAGGGAUUCAUAGAUGAUAUGACUACAAGACAAGAAAUGAAAGAUAAGGGCCAUGUUAUUUUGAAGAAAUUAGAAGUUAAUUGCUUGUUGGAAAAUGUCUCGAGUGAAAGAGUAAAAAUGCAUGAUGCAGUGAGAGACAUGGCAUUGUCGAUCACAAGAAUGAAUCCUCGAUACAUGAUACAAGCAGGUUUGCAAUUAGAAGAGUUACCAGAAAAGGUGCAGUGGAGUCCGGAUAUUGAGAAAGUGUCACUUAUGUAUAACUCCAUAUCAGAAGUUUCCAUAGAUGUGCUGCCUACAAAAUGCCAACUGCUCACAACCUUGUUAUUGGGGAACAACCCUAUAAAGAAGAUCUCAAUUUCUUUCUUCACAAACAUGCCUUGUCUUAGUGUUCUCAAUUUGUCCUAUACGAAGAUCAAAAGUUUACCAAAUUCCAUCUCUGAACUAAAGAACCUCACAACAUUGUUGCUUUGUGGUUGUUUUGAAUUAAGAGAUCUACCAUGUCUUUCGAUGCUUCAAGAAUUGAAGAAGUUGGAUCUAAGUCGGACUAAAAUUGAGGAAGUCCCUGAAGGAAUGGAUAUGCUGAUAAAGCUAAGAUAUCUUGGUCUUCAAGUGUUCAGUCUGAAAGAGAUACCCGCUGGACUAUUACCAAAACUCGUUCACCUUCAGCACUUGAGUUUUGAAGUGGACAAUGAAAAAACAAGUCUAAAAGCAGAGGAGAUGGAACCAUUGAAGAAGUUGGAGUGCUUUACCGGACGUUUCGAAGACAUCAAUGAAUUCAAUAAGUUCAUCUCCUCAUUGCAACAAAGUAAGAAAAAUCUCAUCAAGUACUCUUUACAUGUGGGCUUAUCUUAUAAGAAAAUUUUCAUGAAGUACAUCUUACCUAUUUCCCUUUAUAGAAGAGAUAAAAGAUUAACAAUUGCAGGAGUCCAGAAUUGGGAAGGUGAUUUAAUUAUGCACCCAAUUGAAAUUCAAGAGUUGAAUAUUUUAAAGUGCGACUAUUUGAGAAACUUAGUCGAUGAUAAUUCUUCCUUCAAAAAUGCGAUUGACUUGAGGGUUUGUAGGAUUUUGGGGUGUGAAGGGAUAGAGUGUGUUGUUUCGUUGUCCUCUUUUGCCUCUUCUUUCGCUCAUCCAUGUCAGUGCCUCGAGGAGUUAGAUCUUAGAGUUCUGCCAAAGUUGAGUGCCCUUAUUAUGAAAGAUGAAGGAAUUGGUUCAGCAACAACAUCAACAUUGGUUCCGUCUGCCACCUUUUCCCAUCUUAAGGAAAUUACGAUAUACAGCUGCUCAAGUAUGAAGACGUUGCUUCCACAUUGGUUGCUUCCAAACCUCCAAAACCUGGAACGAAUUUUGGUGCGUAGUUCUAGUCAGCUAGUAGAAAUAUUGGGAGCAGAAACAUCAGAAGUUGAAGAAAAUGGGAGUGAUGCAUUAAUCAAAUUCCAUCUUCCCAAAUUGAGAAAGUUGGAAUUGUGGGUAUUACCAAAUUUGAAGAGCAUAUGCAGCAAAAGUGGAGUGAUGGUUUGCGAUUCUCUCCAACUUAUCAAUAUUACUAUAUGUGAUAGACUGAAGAGAAUUCCUCCAUUUGUUCCCCUUGUUGGCAAUGGGCAGCCAUUUGCAUAUGCUCCACCUU
rnacentral:lncRNA from 1 species